rnacentral:lncRNA from 1 species
GCGGGAGGAAUAGUUUUAGAGUCGACAUCUUGUUUCCUUCUGAAACUUACUAGAGUCGACUUUUGUUUGUAUUCUUUUGUUCACUUUUUUGUUGUUGUUGUUGACGGGGGUGAUAGGUAGAUAGGAGGAUGGUUGGAUGACAUAGAUAUGAGAGUAUGAGUUUCCCUUUUUUUUGUUUAGUUUAGCCUUUUGCUGAAUCUGUUGGAUCAAUUUGAUCAACAAGGAGAAAAACAGUUCCUAGUAUUGCAGAUCAAUGCUUGAGCUUAAAUGCAUAGAUUAGAAGUUGAACAACAUAUAUGGCGUGUGUCUAAGGGUUUUUGCGGCCGGGGAUGGUGAAGCAGGUCAAAGAUCAAAAUCCGAUUCAGAUCCAACGGUCAAAAUAUUGACUUGAACUUAAAGAAUUUUUGCUUCGUUGGCAAAAGGUUGGAUGCCAAAAUUCAUAUGGACUAUAUAGAAGGUCAUUAUUUAACUAAAUCAGAUACAAUUGUCCAAAGAUUGAUUUGAAUUUACAAAAAAUUUGCUAGCUCGGCUGGCAAGAGGUUGGUUGCCUAAACUCGUACAACCAAACAUAUAGAAAACUUCCAUAGUAAGCCAGUGGGGAGGGCCAUGGCGACCACCAGUUGGCCAAAAGGCCCACUAAAUAACAUUUCUUUUAGAAAAUGCCAUGAAUAAAAAUUUGAAAACGAAAAAAUGCCAGAAAAGUUGCCAUGUUCUUAGCCAUCAUGGAAAACACUUUGCAAAAAAAAGUGACAGUAAACAAAAAUGCCACCUCCCAAUAUGAAAAAUGACGUCCUCUUAAAAUAAUAAAAAAGUCAUCCUCACAAUAAUAAAAUAAUUACAUCCUCUUCUAAUAAUUUUUUUAUAUUCUUAUAAUAAAAUACCAUCCUCUUAUAAUAAGAAAUGCCAUUAUCUUAUAAUAAAAAUGCCCAAAUAGAAUGCAAAAAGAAAUCUCAAAUUUUGGGACAAUUAAAAAAAAGCUUUCAAAAUACCAAGUUAAAUACGUUUUAACACGAAUGUUCAUGAAACUUCUCUUGUGCCCAUAGGCAAAAAACCCUGCACUCUCGCGAGAGGUCACGAGUUCGAAACCUGCCCCAGCGCGCAGGAUUCACAUUUUUGGGGAUUUUCUAUAGAAAAACUAGUGUUCACCAGGCAUCGGCAGACAACGAACACCUCCGGAAAUCUGACGUGUUAUUGCCCCUCCGCCAAGGUCCGUGCAACGACGAUGGGGGCGUUUGCUGGGGUUGGCCUCCGAGGAAACGUCAGCAAGAUAAAAAUUUCAUUAUUUCAUUGCAUUCAUGAGGUGGUGAAGAAGAUGUUCGUCUCCUAGCGUCGCAUGUGACGAAAGGUUGGCUAGGAUCAAGAUUUUGAGAUCCAGCGAAAACAAGAUAUGAACCAGAUUCAAAUGUAAUGAUCCAAAAUAACGUUUGUAUUUCAUGUAAACAUAACACAUGAAUACUAAAUCCUUGCUAUAAAGAAACAUUACAAAAUAACAACAAUGAUCGCAUAUUUGUUAUGGUUCCUUGUGAUGCUGUGAAGUCACAAUACAUGGACCCAGGUCUCGUUUAAUCUAAUCCAACCUCGGUAACCACACCAAGUGACAGUGAAGUGGACCUAUGUGUCGUGUCAUUUGCCAACCCAUGUACAUCAACUUGUGCAAGCUACAUUGCCUCCCUUGUGUUGUGCUGGUCGAUGAAAGCCACACUUGCUGCAGGAAACUGUGUUUCCUCGCCAUUUCCUCGGCGAAUAGGGCAAACUCUCUUCUAUAGGCUUCGCCAGCGAGCCUGUGGAUUCACCACCAUGCAUCUCGCACAAGUCAUUGUUUGCAGUUUGUUGCCAUGCGUUUGGUCCCUCACUAUUGCAUGAAUGGCUAGCAGUGGCGGGUGGGAAAAGCCCAACAGUGGAGGGCACGGCUCUCAGGGCCGCCCGCCACUGCUAGAACGCCGUCAGUGGCGGGCGCCCUCCUGCCACUGAUACGUCUCCAAUGUAUUUAUAAUUUUUUAUUGUUCCAUGCUAUUAUAGUAUCAGUCUUGGAUGUUUAUAUACAUUUACAAGCAACUUUGUAUCAUUUUUUCCGACUAACCUACUAACUUAGUGCCCAGUGCUAGCUACGGUUUUUUGCUUGUGUUUUACUUUGCAGAAUAUCAGUACCAAAUGAAGUCCAAAUGCCACAAAACUUGGAGAUUUUUUCUGGCGAUAAGAGAUCCUAGAAGCUUCAGGAAGGAACAAGAAGACGAAGCGGUGGCCCACUAUGCACCAGGGCGCGCCAGGGGCAUAGUGGGGCCUACAAGCCUCCGUUUGACCUAACUCCGCCUCUAUAAGUUCCCAAAAGUCAGAAAACCUACGAGGGAGUCCACGAAAUACUUUUCCUGCAGCCGCAAGCCUUUGUUCUAGAGUGAUCCUACCUGGGGACCCUUGUUGUCACUCUGUCAAAGGGGGAAUCAAUCAUGGAGGGGCUCUACAUCUUGCCUCCCCUCCGAUGAUGCGUGAGUAGUUUACCACGGACCUACGGGUCCGUAGUUAGUAGCUAGAUGGCUUCUUCGCUCUCGAUGUUCUUCAAUAAAAUGUUCUCCUUGAUGUUCUUGGAGUUCUAUCCGAUGUAAUUUUUUGCAGUGUGUUUGUUGGGAUCCGAUGAAUUAUGAGUUUGUGAUCAGACCUAUCCAUGAAUAUUAUUUGAGUUUUCUCUAAACUCUUUUAUACAUGAUUGUUAUAGCUUCAUAUUUCUUCUCGAAUCUAUUGAUUUAGUUUGACUGACUAGAUUGUUUUUUCUUGCGAUGGGAAGAGGUGCUUUGUAAUGGGUUAUAUCAUGUGGUGCUCAAUCCCUAUGUAUCGUUGCUAUUAAGGGUAAAAAGAUGGGGUUUAUUCAUGCGUGAGUUUAUCUUGUCUACAUCAUGUAAUCUUGCUUAAGGUAUUACUCCAUUUCUUGUGAACUUAAUACAGUACUAGAUGCAUGUUGGAUAGCGGUCGACGUGUGGAGUAAUAGUAGUAUAUGCAGAAUCAUUUCAGUCUACUAAUCUUGUAUGUGAUGCCUAUAUACAUGAUCAUUGCCUUGGAUAUUGUCAUAAUUAUUUGCUUUUCUAUCCAUUGCCCAACAGUAAUUUGUUUACCCACCGUAUGCUAUUUUCUCGAGAGAAAACUCUAAUGAAAACUACGGCCCCUCCGGUCUAUCUUUUAUCAUAUAAAAAAUCCUAAAAAUACUUGCUGCAAUUUUACUUUAUUUAUUCCAUUUAUAUUUUGCGUGACCUAUUUAUCUAUCACCAUAAAAUUUAAUCUUGCAAUUAACUGUCAAGGGAUUGACAACCCCUUGUUCGCGUUGGGUGCGAGGAUUUGUUAUCUUGUGAGCAGGUACUGUUUACAUAGUGUUGCUUGGUUCUCCUACUGGAUUGAUGACCUUGGUUUCAUAUCUGAGGGGAACACUUAUCUCUACUUUACUGCAUCAUCUCCUCUUCUUCGGGGAAAUCCCAAUGCAUCUCAAAAGUAGCAGUCAAUGUUAGGCCAUGAGCAGUGGCGGGCUCUAGGUCGUGCUCGCUACAACACUCAGUGCUGCCCGACACAGGAAUUUUGCGCUGUUGUGGUGGUACUUUUCUACCGCUUGCCACUACUGUUGUUGCAUGCCGACAUGACUGAAUUACAACAUAUUGCACCUAGAUCAUAUCAUCGGAUUGCAUUUGAUAUAUAAAUUCUGGUUUGAACCUUGAUCCACAUACACGCACCACAUUACAAUGAUUUCAAAUUAAUGUGAAAUAGUAGUUAAAAAAUAUAACAAGUGCAUUAUAAUAAUUAAUAAGCUUAUAUAUGUCGCGCUCAUCACAUAAUUAAUGGUUUGACAAGUUAUUUUUUGAGUGAAAUGAGUGUUAUUAACCUCGAGGUCCUUGUUUUUUAUUUUUAUUUUAGUUUUUAACAUAUGUUAAAGAAGGUCUACCGCAUUACGUUUUGACAAUGUGUAUACGUGGCAUACAGUUGAUCCAUCCGACCUACUUCUGAUGGAAUAAGCCGUAUGUGUUGUGGGCAAACGCUUGCUAGUGUACAACCGUUUGCGAUUGAUGAGUUCAUCACCGACGGGUUCCCUAGUGUGGUCCGUGUUCAUCUCAUCAUGUGUACGUGUCCUUUUGUCCUUCUCUCGCACGUCUUGUCACCCCGCUGCCGCAGACGUUCGACCGCAAGCUUGAGCAGUGCGCGGGGGUGUUCUUUUGGCCAAACGGUGCUGAGCUAGUUGCCGUGCAACCGCGCAGGCUCCCGCGCAAACUUCCCGCCCGACUAGGUGAAAUCCCCCAAAAUCUCAAUGCUUAUCAGCCUACUAUCUAAACCCUCACGGCCGGUGAGUCAUGCGUCACAUUUCCCCUUCCCUCCCUGUAGCUUAUCUUGUCUGCUUCUCCCAAAAUCAGCAAUGGCACCGGAUCGUCGUCGUCGCUCAGCCACUCCGCCGUCAUCAGAGCAUAGCUCCAGCUGGGAGGCUACACCGCAGCGCCGGCGCAGUCCCCGACGUAGUAUAGUGCGCGCAGCGUCCCAGUUGGGUGUGCACGGAACACGCACCACCCGCUCGGCUGCCUGUGCCCGUCGGCAGCUGUUGCUGGCCGCCAUUGCCGCCACACCUCCGUCAAAAGCCAGGGCCAUCACAUGCUCCGUUGUCGUGGCCAUCACCCCACUGCCAGCCACCGUGGCCAUCACCCGCUCCGCCACCACCGCUAGAAGGCGGGAGGUGGUGGUCGUAGUCGGCACCCCAUCGUCGUCCACCAUGGCCGCUAGCCCACCAUCGACCGCCGGGAUCAUCACCUGCUCCGCCACCGCCACCCGCGGGAGGGAGGCGAAGGUGGAGGCCCGCACGUGCGGCUGCAACCUUGCGUGCUACAUCGAGUUCCUGUGGGAGGAGGAGGAGCGCCUCGUCGAGCACGCAAAGAUCCUUAUCGCCGCCAUGGCCGUGGCAUACGCCGACGUAGAGGCAAGGAAUCAAGAGAUCUACGAGGAGAACCACUACUUCGAGAGGGGUCGUGUGUAGCGGUAGAGGGCGUUCCAGGUGCAGCAGCGGCAGGCACCGUAUCGCAGUUGUCCAGUUCGUCGGUAGCCUCCUCCUCGUCUUCCUCUUACUGAGCACACUCGGUAUAGGAGAGGCCGCUGGAAGUAGUACAAAGCCCCUCCAUAGUAGUAUUUAGGGGCUAUUUUUUUCAGUUCAUCUAACUAUAGAUGUGGUGAAACUAUACAACGUACUUAAAAUUAGAUAGUAUAUAUAGUUGAACUAGAUAUUUCAGUACGUGGUUGGUAACAAUUGGGGAAAAGUUUGGUCGGUUAAGCUGUAAAGUUGAACUGUUUGUAUAAAUUAAGCACGACUUCUUAAUCUAUGAAUGAAAUCUAUGUUUAAUUACUGAAUUUUAGUUGCAAAAAUUAGAUAGUGCUUGUGAUUUUUAGCUGCAUAUUUUGACAAAUCGUAGUGUUACAAGGAUUGACAAAUGGCAGUGUUACUAGAUCAACAAAUGUCAAUCCUUCCAGUUUGACAAAUGGCAAUAUACCCAAUAUGAUAGAUGCAAAUCUUACCAAAUUGUCUGUACAUGGUUGCACACGGGUCAUCCGAAAAACCCGUUUGCGUUGAAGGGAGCUAGAAAUCCUGCUUGCCAAAUUUUCUCUUGGCUUAGCAACGAAGUAUCGCUUUGCAUACCUUAUUCAAUCUGAACCGUUUGCGUUGAAGAGAUGCACAAAUCCUGCGCAGCGAAUUUUCCCUUGGCUUACUGCGGAAGACCAUAGCUCUCACUUUGCAUACAGGUGUUCUAUCUAAAACGUUUACGAUGAAGAGUUGAACAAAUCCUGCUUGACACAUUUUCCCUUGGCUUACUUGGGAAGCUGUCAGUGUACAUACGGGUGUUCUAUCCAAAACGUUUGCGAUGUUAGAGUGGCAGCUAGUUGUUUCAAAAUGCCUUUGUCUACUGUUAUUCGAGUGCGCCUUCUCUCAAAAUGGACACGAAAAUUACCACAACAUAUCUGGUGCCAUUCCAUGAUAUCAUGCCAAGUUUCAUGAAUAUCAAAUGAGUUUUGAAUUUACUAGAAUUUAAAAACAAAGUAUCUCAACGUUUUGCCGGCAGUCAAUAGUGAUGGUGUUUGAAAUUCAUUCUCAUUUUUUGCAUGGGACCUAAGAAUGCACCCAAGGACACAUAUUUGAUUUUUCAACCAAUUUAUAUGCACUAGAGCUUGUGCAUGUAGUUCAAAUUUGAAUUAUGCACAUAAAAUGCCUAGAAAACCUAGUUAAUAUAUAAAAAUGUCCAAACAAACCCUGAAAAAUUCCAAAAUUAAACACAACACUCUUGUUGUUCUAUGUUGACACUAGAAAUUUUUUGAAAGAAAUAACACGCAACGGGUAUCGUUUCGUCCCCAAAGGUGGCACGUUCCCUACCGAAACCAUCAAGCUUGUUGUGAGAAGCUCUGGUUUGUGAGAAGCUUAUACCCAAGCCUACCCCAAAUGGGACAAAAAUUUUUACCAUGGCAUGUCGGGUGCCAUUCCAUGAUAGCAUGCCAGGUUUCAUGAAUUUCAGACGAGUUUCGGAUUUACUAGAAUUUAAAAACCAGAUAUCUCAAUGUUUGCGGCCGAGUGACGGUGGCAGGGUGUUUGACAUUCAUUCCCCUUCCUUGCAUGGGACCUAAGCAUGCAACCAAGGACACAUAUUUAAAUUUUCAACCAAUUUAUAUGCAUUAGAGCAUGUGCAUGUAGUUCAAAUUUGAAUUAUGCACAUAAAUGCAUUGAAAACUCAGUUAAUGCAUAAGAAAUGUGCUAACAAACCCCCAAAAUUCCAAAAUUUAACACAACACUCAUGUUGUUCUAUGUUGACACUAGAGAAAAAAAUUUAAAUCAAGAAGAGGCAACGGCUAUCGUUUCGUCCAGAAAGGUGAAACAUUCCCUACCGAAACCAUCAGGCUUGUUGUGAGAAGCUUAUAACCAAACAUGUCCCAAAUGGGACAAAAAAUUUACGACGGCAUGUUGAUGCCGCUCCAUGAUAGCAUGCCAUGUUUCAUGAAUUACAAAUGAGUUUUGGAUUUACUAGAAUUUAAAAAUUCAGGUAUCUCAAUGUUUGUCGUCGAGUGACGGUGGCAGGGUGUUUGACAUUCAUUCCCAUUUCUUGCAUGGGACCUAAGCAUGCAACCAAGGAGACAUAUUUGAAUUUUCAACUAAUUUAUAUCCAUUAGAGCAUGUGCAUAUAGUUCCAAUUUGAAUUAUGCACAGAAAUGCAUUGAAAGGUCAAUUAAUGCAUAAAAAAUGUCCUAACGAACCCCAAAAAAUUUCAAAAUCUAACACAACACUCAUGUUGUUCUAUAUGUUGACACGAGAGCAAAUAUUGAAAUCAAGAAGAGGCAACGGAUAUCAUUUCGUCCAGAAAGGUGAAACAUUCCCUACCGUAACCAUGAGGCUUGUUGCGAGAAGCUCUGGUUUGUGAGAAGCUUAUACCCCAACUUGCCCCAAAUGGGACAAUAUUAUUACCACUGCAUGUUGCUGCCGUUCCAUGAUAGCAUGUCGAGUUUCAUGAAUUUCAGACGAGUUUUCGAUUUAAUAGAAUUUUAAAACCAUGUAUCUCAAUGUUAGCGGCCGAGCGACAAUGGCAAAGGUGUCUGACAUUCAUUCCCAUUUCUUGCAUGGGACCUAAGAUUGCAACCAAGGACACACAUUUGAUAUUUCAACCCGUUUAUAUGCAUUGGAGCAUGUGCAUGUAGUUCAAAUUUGAAUUAUGCAUACUAAUGCAUAGAAAACUCAGUUAAUGUAUAAAAAUGUCCACGCGAACCCCGAAAUAUCCCAAAAAAUUGCAAACACUCAGGUUGUUCUAUGUUGACACAAUUUUUUUGGGGCAACGUGGCAUGUUCCCUACCAAAACCAUCAUGCUUGUUGUGAGAGAAGCUCUGGCUUGCGAGAAGAUUAUACCAUAACCUGGCCCAAAUGGGACAAUAUUUUGUUUACCCCAGAAUCUUGACGUUGUUCCAUGAUAGCAUGCCAAGGUUCAUGAAUUUCAGAUGAGUUUUCUAUUUACUAGAAUUACAAAAGCAAGCACCUCAACGUUUGUCGGAGAGCCACGGUGUCGUGUUGUUUGAAAUUCAUCCCCAUUUCUUGAAUGGGACGUAAGCAUCAACCCAUGGACACAUAUACCAUUUUACAACCCAUUGUGCACCUAAAAUGCCUAGAAAACCAAGUUACCGUAUAAAAAUGUCCAAACGAACUCUGAAUAAUUCCAAAUUUUGACGACACACCUAUAGUUGCAUGUUCACUACAGAUAGAAGUUAUAGCAAUUCAAACACCAUCCUUUGCAGCUGUGACCCCAUUAUGUAAUUCAAAUCAAGAUGAAAAGUCAAGUAGAUCCCACACAGUUUAUUAUCACCAACUGUGUGAGAUGCAGUACAAAAUAUCGUGGAGCACCGUCGGUGUAUAGUACACCUAUGGCUUACGCAAGAAGGUUCAUCGGCUAUAGUCCACAGCCGCGUGUCAAGCACACUAGCUCGCUCCCCAAAUAUCAUUUCACUGUUCAAUCGUCGCCGAAGAAAGAUGGGGACGUGGACUCGCGUCCCGAGGGCAAUGUGUGAUGACACUGAAGCGAUUCCAAAUUUUUGGCUUCUGCAAAAAUAUCUACCACCCCGCUCCCUCCCCCUUACCAAAAGCCACAUUUCCCCUGUUUCCGCCUUCCUUUCCAAGUUGAAACCUUCACUCCUUGCUUGCAGCACCGUCCCCUCGCCGGCGACCCUCCUUCACGCCGCUCGGCCUCGCCUAUCCAGGCAGGCAAUCCACACGACCCCCAUCCUCCUCCUCCUUCCACAUCCCACAUGCCCCGACCGCCGGCGCGAGCGCGACACCUUCCACCCAAAUCACCGACCCCUCCACCAAAUAAGCGCCGCCCUAAGCCAUGUUGCACGUAGUAUAGCCAUGAUCUCAAGGAGCAUUUGGCAGUGGAGUAGCAAAUCGCGGCCGCACGCGCGGAUGAGGUCGUGAUGGCUGCCAUUCGUGCCGACACCCUAGAUUUUGGAGGAGCAACUUGCCAUUUGCUAGCUAUGCCGAUUAAGCAUGCUCAGAUUACCCGUUGCGUGUGCUGCUCCUGCCUUUCGUUAAAAGUUUGCUCUAGUGUAUAUAUUCUAUAUGUCGUGCAAUGUGUGGUGGUCACUUAUUAACUGUUUGGUUAAUUAGUUGUCCUGUUCAGUUAACAGUUUGGUUCAAUUCUCCAAAUGUGAUGUUCAACUCUUCAGGGUGCAACUUUGUAUUGUCUUCCAUGUGAGAAAUAAAUCGAUUUUUUAUUUACAAAAUACAUGAGAAACAAAUCCAAUUGCUAUAUUUCCAAGUUGUCAAGCAUGCUUGGUUUCGAUUAACUGUUUGAUCUUCUAGUAUGUUAUACAUUGUGCAAUGUGAUGCUCAGUUAACGUUUGGUUCAUUUGUUGUGGUGUUUAGUUAAGUGUUUGGUUUCAUUCCGCAAUGCGAUGUUCAAUUGUCGUGGGUAUAAUUUUGUAUUGUAUUGCAUGUGCGGAAUAAUCGAAUUUGGCUGCACUUAACACAUGGGAAACAUAUACAAUUGCUAUAUUUCCUAGUUCUUAAUUAUGAUUGGUUUGGAUAAAUGGGUUUUCCACGUGGCUUGAAUUAAUCUGAUGAAUCUGCAAUGUGCUUAUUUCUCAUCAACAUAUUUUACUGAUAGCAUGUGAAUCCUUACUUAACCUGAUGACUAACUACCUUAUAUGUGUUGCAGGGAAACAAUAUAAUGGGAAGCACUGAGGUUUUACAAUCGAGGUUAGCACGUGCAUGGUCCGUUGUCUAAUAGCACAUUAUUAUGCAAUUGCAGGAACCAUUAUAAUACUUAGGUUUUUAACAAUUUGGUCUUGCACAUGUAGGUCCUGCUGUAUGAGGUUUUGACCCACUGUUCGACCCUUUUUGCAUAUGGGAAAAUGAGUUGUCCAUGAAUAUCAAUCAAGGCAAGAAACUCAGAAAGAUUGUUAGGAUGAAGAAAUUGGUGACAAAAAACAACAAAAUCUUUGUCUGCAGAAUCAAGAAGACAUCAGUUCACUAUAGGAUGGUACGAACUAUCAUACCUUGUCUUUUUUAUUCCUUUGCCCCAUUUCCAAUAUAGAGAAGAUAUUUAUGCAUAUCCUUGUUUUCAGGACUUUCCAAAAUAGUUCACUGAUGCUUACCCCUCAAACCACCUAUAUGGACAGGAGGCGAGGAAGGUAUUCAUACAACACCCACGGUUCAGUAUUGAAGUGUUCUUGAAGAGGACGAAUGAUGGACGGUCAAUCAUCCACAGGCACUAGCCUAAAGUUGCAAAGACCUUCAACAUCAAUGAAGGCUCAAUAUCCGCCUUCUGCUUCAGCAGUUUUUCCGAAGAUGCAUCUGUCUAUGUACCAUCUAUGAUACUAAUUUUGAAAGGUCAUGUUAAACUUGGUGCCGGUGCAGUUGUGUAAUGGGGUAGCUGAGUGCUGAAGCUAUCAUGUUGUACUCUAAUGUAUUUCAAUUAUGAAAUCCUGCUUCCUUAAUAUGGGACUGCAAUAUAUUAUGUGUUUAAUAUGAAUGUCAAUUAGAUUAAUAAAUGAAUUAUUAAUAAUAGGGCAAUUAGCCUGCUAACGGCGAAUUAGCCCGUUAAUUGGUUUUUGCUAUUGCAAACGAUUAUUGAGAAAAUACCAUGGACGAUGACCUAAGGCAACGCACACAGUUUCUAGGAAUAAACCGUGUUGGAUCUAUGAAUAAUCACACACGACAUUCUCUUCAAAACUGUUUGCGUUAGGCCACCUUGCGCAAACGUUUUCCGCAUCAAAACUGUGUGAGAUGGAUAGCCUUUGCCACACAGUUUAUUCUAUGCACCAUGUGUGAUGCAUUCAAUAAUGCAAACGAUAAUUUUUUUAAUAUUGUGUGUGAUGGGAGCGGCAUCACAAACGAUUUAACAGGGAAAAUUGUGUGUGAUGUACCUACGAACGAAAACAUUUUCCAUGCAGCGAAUGUGUGGGAUGUAUAUACGAACGGAAAUAUUUCGUGGGGACUCACCGUGUGGGAUGUACUUACAACCGGAAAUGAUUUCGCCUGUAUAAUUGUAUUUUUUUGAGCACUACUGUACGUAUAACCAUAUUUGGUCGCUCGCCGGUCACACACGACCUCAUUUUGCCGAGCGUGUGUGCCAGGAGGGCAUAUCCCCGACGAUUUCUGGGUCGGGUGGGAAGGACCCCCUAAUUGCCCACACUCACUAGGCGACUGUUGCAAAUGCCAUCGCAGAAAGGGGUUUUAAACCGUUUGUAUAGCAUCGACGCGUACCAGUGAAGGUAUUAUCUUGGGGCAUAAAAUUUCUGAACAAGGUAUUGAGGUGGAUAAAGCUAAAGUUGAUGCAAUUGAUAAAUGCCAUGUCCUAAAGAUAUCAAAGUAAUUCGUAGUUUCCUCGAUCAUGCUGGUUUCUAUCGGAGAUUUAUUAAAGACUUAUCUAAAAUUUCUAGGCCUCUUACAUAUCUUUUACAAAAGGAUGUUCCAUUUGUUUUUGAUGAUGACUGUGUAGAAGCCUUUGAAACACUUAAGAAAGCCUUAAUUUCUGCACCUGUAGUUCAACCACCUGAUUGGAACUUGCCUUUUGAAAUUAUGUGUGAUGCUAGUGAUUAUGUUGUUGGUGUUGUUCUAGGACAAAGAGUUGAUAAGAAACCAAAUGUUAUUCAUUAUGCUAGUAAAACUCUAGACAGUGCCCAACGAAAUUAUGCUACCACUGAAAAAGAAUUCUUAGCAGUGGUGUUUGCUUGUGAUAAAUUUAGAUCUUACAUUGUUGAUUCUAAAGUUACUGUUCACACCGAUCAUGCUGUUAUAAAAUAUACUAUGGAAAAGAAAGAUGUUAAACCUAGACUCCUUAGGUGGGUUCUCUUGCUACAAGAAUUUCACUUAGAUAUCACUGAUAGAAAGGGAGCUGAGAACCCCGUGGCUGAUAACUUGUCUAGGCUAGAAAAUAUUCUUGAUGAUCCACAACCUAUUAAUGAUAGUUUUCCUGAUGAACAAUUAGCUGCAAUAAAUUUUUCUCAUAACACUCCUUGGUACGCUAACUAUGCUAACUAUAUUAUUGCUAAAUAUAUACCACCUAGCUACACAUACCAACAAAAAAAAUUCUUCUAUGAUUUAAGACAUAACUUUUGGGAUGAUCCACAUCUUUAUUAAGGAGUAGAUGGUAUUAUUAGACGUUGUGUACCUAAGCAUGAACAGGGACAAAUCCUACGGAAAUGUCACUCCGAAGCUUAUGGAGGAAAUCCUGCGGGAGAUAGAACUGCUCACAAGGUAUUGCAAUCUGGUUUUUAUUGGCCUACUCUCUUCAAGGAUUCCCGUACGUUUGUUUUAUCUUGUGAUGAAUGUCAAAGAAUUGGCAAUAUUGGUAAGCGUCAGGAAAUGCCUAUGAAUUAUUCUCUUGCUGUUGAACCAUUUGAUGUUUGGGGUUUUGAUUACAUGGGACCAUUUCCUUCCUCUAAUGGGUAUACACAUAUUUUGGUUGUUGUUGAUUAUGUUACUAAGUGGGUAGAAGCUACUCCAACCAAUAAUGCUGAUCACAACACCUCUAUUAAAAUGCUUAAGGAAGUCAUUUUCCCAAGGUUUGGUGUCCCUAGAUAUUUAAUGACUGAUGGUGGUUCACAUUUUAUUCAGGGUGCUUUCCGUAAAAUGCUUGCUAAAUAUGAUGUCAACCAUAGAAUUGCAUCACCCUAUCAUCCUCAGUCUAGUGGUCAAGUUGAACUGAGCAAUAGAGAAAUAAAGUUAAUAAUACAAAAAAGUGUCAAUAGGUCCCGAAAGAAUUGGUCAAAGAAAUAAGAUGAUGCACUUUGGGCUUAUAGAACAUCGUAUAAAAAUCCUAUGGGUAUGUCUCCUUAUAAAAUAUUUUAUGGAAAAGCUUGUCAUUUGCCUCUUGAGUUAGAACUUAAAGCAUAUUGGGCAAUUAAAGAACUCAACUAUGAUUUCAAACUUGCCGGCGAAAAGAGGUUAUUUGAUAUUAGCUCACUAGAUGAAUGCAGAACCCAAGCCUAUGAAAAUUCCAAGUUAUUUAAAGAAAAUGUUAAAAGAUGGCAUGAUAAGAGAAUCCAAAAGUGUUAGUUUAAAGUUGGAGAAUAUGUUCAUUUGUACAACUCACAUUUCAGAUUCUUUGGAGGCAAACUUCUCUCCAAAUGGUUAGGACCAUAUGUUAUCGAGGAGGUUUAUCGAUUUGGAGCCAUCAAAAUAAAUAAUGCCGAAGGUACUAACUCGAAGGUUUUCAACGGGUAAAGAAUAAAACAUUAUAUCUUAGGUACGCACAUUAAUUUUGAAAGUAAUAUUAUCCAAACUAUGACACCGGAAGAACACAUAAAGGAAACCUUCAGGAAUACUCCAGAAUAGUGAAAAAAAGAGGGGGUAUGUGAUACGGUAAGUAAACGGACUCCGAAAAAUCCGCAAAAAUAUGUUUUGUAAGUUUUGGAAUAUAUUAAAAAUUAGGAAAACAAGAAACGGCAAGGAAGGUAGCCCUGGUGGGCACAAGACACCAGGGCGCGCCUGGCUUGCCAGGCACGCCCAGGUGGGUUGUGCCCACCUCGGGUACCUUCCGAACUAUUUUUCUUCCAUUGGCUUGUUUCCCAAGAUAAAAAAUCUUUAUAAACCACCUAAACCCAUUGACCACCGUAUCACAGAGAAAUCUUCUGCUUUCUUUUCCUCGCUGUUUUCUUGACAGAUCUGAAAAUAUGUCAUCCCAAAACUCGGAGGGUGAGAGCUAUGUUGCUGAUUUACCACAAACCCGAAGGUUUAUGGGGAUGUGGAGCACUAUAGCUGGACUUUGGAGGAAGAAGAAGACUAUGGUCCCAAAGGGGAGGAGGAGACAUGCUCUGACGAAGUUGAAGUUCCAUUGCCUCAACCUGGGGACAUGCACAUGGAAUUCAAGAAGUCAAGUCUCCCUAAUAAAGCAAAGAAACCUAAGAUCUUGUUUAUCCCUUUUCGUCUCUUGCAAGAUAACAAGCAAGAAUUAUGCAAAAAGAUAUUAGAGCUCGAGCAGGAGAUUGGUGACUUAAAGGAGGAAAAUUUUGUCCCCAAGCAUAAGCUAAGGAAGGAGGAUAAGAUCGCUACUACUUCAUCACCACCACCUCCGUCUUCAUCACCAAAGAGACUAGAGUAUCGGGUAUGGGCACCCCCUUGGCUUGUACCAAGCUUGGGGGAGGUGCCCAGGUAUCGUAUCACCUCCAUUAUAUUUUGCCUUUACUUAUCUUAGUUUGAUCCAUAGUUAUCUUUUGCUUUAGAUGAAUAAAAGUUUAGUUCGAUCCUUUCUUUUCGAGUGUUUACUUAGUGAUCUAUCCUUGUAAUCGUGUCUGAGAUAUAUAAUAAACUUUAGUUUGAGUUUUGUUUUAUUUACUUCCAUGUUCAAUAAAAAUAUAGGAAAUAAAUGAAAAAUAUCAUAUGCUAAUCUUAUGGUAAGUAAUGACAUCACAUAAGGAAGAGUAUAAGUAGAAAAUUUUAUUGGGGAUUAAAAACAUAGCAUUGGUCAAUGAUGCGAUUCAUGGAAGAAUUAAUAAGGGAAGAGAAGAUUCACAUGCAAAUAUACUAUCUUGGACAUCUUUUGUGAUUCUGAGCCCCCAUCAAAAUAUUAUAUGCGAAAAUUGUUGACGUUGGACAAGGAAGACAACAUAAUGAUUCAUGUUUUUCAUAUUCACAUAGAAUUUAUAUUGUCAUAGAUCCUUUAACAUGUGGUGCUUGCCCUCCAUCUUUGCUAGCCAAAAUUCUGCACUAAGUAGAGAUACUACUUGUGCAUCCAAAAACCCUUAAACCCACAUAUUGUUUUGAGAGUCCACCAUACCUACCUAUGGAUUGAGUAAGAUCCUUCAAGUAAGUUGUCAUAGGUGCAAUAAGGCAAUAAAAAUUGCUUUUGAAAGUGUUGCAUCAUUUAGUGCAAGAGAAAAUUGAGUGUUGUACGAACUUGUGAUGGCAAAGAAUAAAAGCAACAGACUGCACAAUAAAGGUUGCUAUCAUAAGGGGCAAUAUAAUGUGACGUUCUUUUGCACUAAGAGAUUGAGCAUACAAACAAAGAGCGCAUGGCAACUUCUGAUUACCUCUGUGAAGGGCCUAUCUUUUAAUUUUAUGCAAGAGUCAAAGUAUUUCCCUCAAUUCCUUUUUAUUUUCUCUUUUGGCAUGAGCAUCAUGUGGUGAGGAACGAUCUAGGCACAUAUAUCCAGUUGGAUAUGGGUGGCAUGACUUGUUAUUGUUGACAUCACCCUUGAGGUGAAUACGUUGGGAGGAGAAACUAUAAGCCCCUAUCUUUCUAUGUGUCCGGUUCAAAAAUUGUGCUCAUGUGUAUGCGGUGAGUGUCAGCAAUCAUAGAAGACUAUAUGAUGGUUGAGUAUGUGGACUUGCCAAAAGGCUCCAAUACGUGACCCUUCCCUGAAAAGAUGAUGAAUUGUAGUUGCAAAGUUGACUGAGAACAUAGUUUGUUAGUUUUCAAUAGAGUUUAUGCUUUAUACUUCGAGGUUGUGAUUAACUAUUACUUACUCAUGAGAAGUUAUAUGGUAGAAUUUUUAUGAUAAAAGUUUAAUGAUAAAGUUUAUGUUAAAGUUUGUUGAUGUUAUAAUAAUAUACAUGAUGCUUCUAUGUCCGUAUUUUGUUUUUAUCGAUAACUCUCUCUCUCUCUCUCUCUCUCUCUCUCUCUCUCUAAGCAUGUGGACAUGUUUUUCGAUUUCGGUUUACGCUUGAGGACAAGCGAGGUCUAAGCUUGGGGGAGUUGAUACGUCCAUUUUGCAUCAUGUUUUCCUGCUGUUAUUUAUUAUGUUUUUAUGCAUAAUAAUUCUUUUUGGAGUAAUUCUAAUGCCUUUUCUCUCAUAAUAUGCAAGGUUCACACAAAGAGGGGGAAUACCGGCAGCUGGAAUUCUGGACAUGAAAAAGUUACGUCAGGCCACCUAUUCUGCACAACUCCAAAUGAGCUGAAACUUCACAGGGUUUUUUAUGGAAUAAAUAAGAAUUAUUGGAGCAAAUAACCACUAGAGGGGGCCCACCAGGUGGCCACAACCCACCUAGGCGCGCCCUGGUGGGUUGAUCCCUCCUCGGCCCACCUUCGGUGCCCAUCCUCUCGUAUAUAAGUCAUUUUGACCUAGAAAAAAUCAUGAGAGGACUUUUGGGAUGAAGCGCCACCGUCUCGAGGCGGAACUUCGGCAUGAGCACUUUUGCUUUUCGACAGAGCGAUUCUGCCAGGGGGACUUCCCCCCCGGAGGGGGAAACCAUCAAUAUCCUCAACAACACCAUCUCCUCUCAAACCCUAGUUGAUCUCUUGUGCUCAAUCUUUGUACCAGAACUAUAGACUGGUGCUUGUGGGUGACUAGUAGUGUUGAUUACAUCUUGUAGUUGAUUAUUAUAUAUGGUUUAUUUGGUGGAAGAUUAUAUGUUCAGAUCCAUUAUGCUAUUUAAUACCCCUCUGAUCAUGAGCAUGAUUAUCAUUUGUGAGUAGUUACUUUUUUUCUUGAGGUCACGGGAGAAAUCUUGUUGCAAGUAAUCAUGUGAACUUGAUGAUAUUGUGAUGGUAUGUAUGUUGUGAUUCCCUUAGUUGCGUCAUGUGAGGGUCGACGACACUUCACCAUACUUGGGCCUUAGGGAAUGCAUUGUGGAGUAGUUAUUAGAUGAUGGGUUGCGAGAGUGACAGAAGCUUAAACCAUAGUUUAUGCGCUAUUCCGUAAGGGGCUGAUUUGGAUCCAAAAUUUUAAUGCUAUGGUUAGAUUUAUUCUUAAUACUUUUCUCGUAGAUGGGGAUGCUUGCGAGGGGGUUAAUCAUAAGUAGGAGGUUGGUUCAAGUAAGAACAUCACCUAAGCACCGGUCCACCCAAAUAUCAAAUUAUCAAAGUAGUGAACAAAAAUCAAACCAACACGAUGAAAGUGACUAGAUCAAAUUCCUGUGUACCCUCAUGAACACUUUGCUUAUCAAAAGAGACUGUUUUGGCGUGUCCAUUGCCUCAAAAGGAUUGGCCUACCUUGCUGCACUUUUGUUACCAUUACCGUUACUUGCUCAUUACAAAUUACCUUGCUAUCAAACUACUCGUUACAUAUAAUUUCAGUGCUUGCAGACAUUACCUUGCUGAAAACCGCUUGUCAUUUCCUUCUGCUCCUCAUUGGGUUCGACACUCUUACUUAUUGAUAGUACUUCAAUUGAUCCCCUGUACUUGUGGGUCAUCAAGUACUAAAAGUUUGGCAAAAUGAAAAUAAAUGAAUUUUUGCCAAAACUUUAGCGUUUAUAAUAUGAAUCCCUAUAGAGAAUUUUAAACUAAAAUUAUAUGGUUGUUGAGUUCAUAUGUACGGAUAGUUUUGAUUGGUACAACUAUAAACUAUAACCAUCGAACUACAACUAGAAAUAUCAAACUACAACUAUAAAGUACAACUACAAUUUAUUUUAAUGUGUGCAUUAAAACCUAUACUAGAAAUUAAUACUAUCAAACUAAAACUAGCUAGAAACUAAAAACUAAAACUAUAAUGAUGAAACUCCUAACCCUAACCCUAGUCAAAUGUGGGUGUUAUUGCGGUUGUCCGUGUGUGUGCCGGCCGUGGCCGUGGGUGCCGAUGUGGCCGGCCAGAAAUACAAGCGGCGACGACGACCUUGUACCUGCCGGAGUGGAGGGCGACGGGGCCGCAGAUCAAGGGCGAGGGCGGCGGAGGAUUGAUGGCGAGGGCGAAGGCGACAUGGUGGAGGAUAAGGACGAUGGCGGCAGCGGACGGCAACGAUGACGUGGGUAGCGCCACGGUGGAGGACGAGGGUGGAAACGAGAGUGAGAUGGGGGAGAGAGUGAGUGUGAGAGCGGGGUACGGGAGGGGAAGGGGGCGCGCACGUGCAGAUAGUGCUCAUAACCUAUGAUGGGGUGCUGGACGAUCCACCACUUCUAAUUGGAGGUGGGGGCGGCAAUCGUUGAGUUAUAUUUGGAACGCUUGCCGCUAACCUACGUAUGGAGGGCACGGGCAGGUGCCCGCUACAUCUAGUAUCUGCAUUAAAAAAUAUAACCAGUUGGAGGCUUUUAGCUGUGGCAGGGACUUUGACUUGCCCAUCACCGCUACCUAUAAUAACAGUGGCAGGUAAGCCUAGCCACUCGCUACAAAAAACAUUCAUAACAUAGCCACACUCAGUAGUGUUUGUUUGUGGCGGGUGAUUAUUCCGGCCACCAAUGUAGUUCCCCUAGCUCUAGCGGUCGCAUUUUGUUACCUGCCACUGCUACUUCUCCUAACUAGUUGUGGUAGGCGCCUUGACCGGCCCACCACUCUAUUGAGUUCACCUAUAAUGCCUUUCCCAGAAGCGGUACUAUGUGCGCGACAACUAAAUCCGGAUGGAGGGAGUAUUUUUUUGUCAUCCAGAAGAAGUUUGUUCCCUACCCUUGUGUCUUGAAGUGACGGAGCUUAGUGAAAGCCAAAGGCGGCCAUGGGCCCCAACCAAAUACUCUGUCACUAAUCUAGAGUAUAUUUUUUACGUGAACACAUUUUUGUUAGAAAAGGAGGAUGACCCCUGGCCUCUGCAUCUGAAAGAUGCAUGUAGCCAUUUCACUAAAUAUUCACGGAGAUAUUACAAACUAGUACAUCAGUAUGUCUAAAUCCGCCAUCUUGGCAACAUCUGUCACUACUCCUAUCCACUUGAUAAAGAGGUGCAGAAGUACUGAGCCAAAUACCUUGAUCUCUAACCUAAGCCUAACAUCUAAAACCGGAGGCCCCAGCCCAGCCACAUACUAGGUAUGGGACACAGACAGGUCUGAUACACCCUCAUGGGUCAUUGUUGCCAUCACCGAUCCAUCUUCAUAGCAGGUACUGAUGCAUCGAUCUUGCCAUCCCUGCCAUCGAUGCCGCCACUGUGCAAAUAGCCCCACUGCCCUACGCUCGUCCAUCCAGCGACAUCCUUCAUCGAGAUCCAGCUACACCAUGCUUCCAAUAGUCAUCGUCAUCGAUGUGGUAGAUACAACACAGCUCCUUCCUGCCAACCUCAACAUUGUCACCGUUGUUAGAGCUACACAGAUCCAACCACCCAUAGUAUCUCUCCCACGAACACCUACGCCUCCCAAGACAAUGCCUUCAUGGAGGUCACGACGCACAGGACGCCACCUCUGCCCAAUCCAUUGGACUUUCCUCCGGGAGGGGUUCAGAGGUUGAUCGGAGAGACCUCGACUUUGUCUCUAGGGAUUGGUAACGAUUGCAAGGGACGACGUCGAUGCCGUACCGAACUAGCCGAACAAAGCUUCGUCCGAUCCCCAUCGUAUACCACGAAACCUUCGUCUACUCCGGAUCCGGCAGCAAGCAAUGAAUCGAAACCUAUAGAGAUGAAAGUGCUAUGGGGCUCAACUCACCUGGAAGGAGAAUUGAGAAGAACAUUCAUCGUAGAUAUGCAGGCGCCAGACCAACCGAUCCGACGUGUCCAUAAGCGAAGACCAGCACCUCGCAUUGGCGACAACGUCCAAGCAUCGGAUCUAGAGGGAUCCGACUUUAACCCAGCGGUGCCCGCGACCACCCGGUCUUGCCACCACGCAUCCACCACCUCGCCGGGAGCUCGCAUCCAAGGUGUCGCUCCCUUGCCGGGCACACCGCCGCCAAGAUUGGCCACCUGCCAUGCCGCUGGACCCCGCGUUAGCCCGGUGUAUCCUCGUGAUCUGGCCGUCCCGUGCCUGCCAUGAUGCUCGAAGGGUGGAGAAGCCCUGCCACCGCCUUGGAUUUGCCUGCGGCGCUGCAGACGACAGCGAGGAGGGGGAGAGGAGGGCGAGUUUUGAGUAACCGUAGCUAGGGUUCCCCCCGGGGGAGCAAAAAAAUGAGAUAUUUUCACUUCCCGGCCUCUGCACCAAGAUAAACACCACUAUGCAUCACCUGUCAAUUAUAGGAAUUGAACUCGGGUCGUUAGGAUCCACAACCGCAUGCCAACCAAUGAGUCAAGACUCUUUUUCUCCAUAUAUUAGCCUCAUCAACUAGGUUAUAUUUGACAAUAUUUGAAUCAAAUUUAACAAAAAACACUAGAUUAUCCUCAUCAACUCUUUUUGAAACAAAUUUACCCUGCACUCAAAUCACAUUGAAGCUGGGCUACAGGUGUCGUGGGAAUAAAUCUGACAGUAGAGAUUAGGGGUAUGUAUGGGAGGGCAGUGCCUAGCUACGGCGAGGUUGUACACUCGGAUUUACGAGUUCACGCUCUCUCGGAAGAGGUAACGACCCUACGUCUCGAUGCUGCAGGAGCUUGUUAUCUAGAGUGUUGAGUUACAGGGCAUGCGAACCCUUGUGCACGAGCAGAGGGGCAUCUUAUAUAGAGUCUACUAGCCCCUCAUGAAUGCCCAGUUACCCAAGGGUUUGAUGGAGAAGUAAAGGGUGCGAGCAUUACAGGUAACGUCUGUAAUUGGUGCUCUUUAUGAUGGCAAACUGAUUGCCUGACUGUUCCUAUCCCUUGGUGACUCUAGGUCUUCUGCCUUUGAGUGGUGUCUUUGUACUCUGAGUGAAUGGGGACAAUCCAGUGGUGGAGAAGUAACCGAGUGGAUCUUGCAUCGAGUGACUUGCACGCUGCGGUCAUUCUAGUCGGUGUCCCUUCUCUAACUUUGUAGGUCUUGGAUUCCUGUAUACAAUACCUUUGGGUAGGGUAUGUAGGUCAGGCCUGGGACCCUACCCUAGCUACAUGUCCUCGUCAUUAGCCACUAAAUGGGUCGAGGUUCGAGUGAAAUGGAUUGGUACAGUCUCCUCCUAGACUCAAUUUUUUCGGUCAAUUGCCUCGAUCGAUUGUUGUUUGAUACGUGACUAAGUGAUCCCAAGUGUCGGGUUGGACCCGAAUGGACAAGGAGAUCUUUUGACGCGAUCGGUCAUUCUGUCAGGUCCGGAUUCCACGGGAUUAAAAAAAUUGGAGAAGCGCGUGAAUCGGCAACAACACAGCGAACGGCGCAAGUGGGGCGGGACUCCUCGAUUAUCACUCCGCCUUUUUCUCCAUGUACUGUGUAGUCUCUGUUAGUGGGAUGCACUGAGAUCUUGCUGGCCCACUGAUACGUCCAUUUUGCAUCAUGCUUUUAUAUCAAUAUUUAUCACAUUAUGGGCUGUUAUUACACAUUAUAUCUCAAUACUUAUGGCUAUUCUCUCUUAUUUUACAAGGUCUACCAUGAAGAGGGGGAAUGCCGGCAGCUGGAAUUCUGGCUGGAAAAGGAGCAAACAUUGGAAACCUAUUCUGCACUGCUCCAAAAAUCUUGAAACUCCACAAAAGUUAUUUUUGGAAUUAAUAAGAAUUAUUGAGCGGAAGAAACACCUCAGGGGGCCCACACCCUGGCCAGGAGGGUGGGGGCGCGCCCACCCCUACGAGAUCUCCACGAGGGUGGAGGGCGCGCCCACCCUUACUGGGCAUGCCCCCCUGUCUCGUGGACACCUCGUGUGCCUCCUGGACUCCGUUUUCUUGCACGUUACGUAUUUUGGUUGGUAAAAAUUCAUCAUAUAAACUCCCUAAGGUUUUAACCACCGUAUCACGCAAAUAUCCUAUGUUUCCGUUUCGAGCUAUUUCUGUUUCAGAUCUAGAGCAUCAUGAUGUCUCCAAGCGCUCCCAAGGACAAGUUUUUAGAGAGGGUUAUCAACCCCUAUCUCGCGGAGGUGCUGAAACACCCUCAAACCAUCGAGAUGCGUGAGGGGUGCUGCACAUCCGAGAUGCGGAGGGACCAAGGCGUACCGGAAGCGUGGAGACAAAGCUCGAAGCCGUGGAGCAGCAAGUUUUCAAGUGCCAAGGGAUGGUGGAGCAUGGCCUCAACACCAACCAGAUGAUGAUCACGGAGUUCACCAACAACCACAAACUAGAUGCCAAGGUUAUUGGGGAGACCAUCUUCAAGCUUCAAGAGAAAAUCGAGCACCUCCAAGACCAGAUCUAUGACCUGCAAAACCAGAACUGUGAGUAUGAAUAUAGAUUCAAGAGGAUGAGUUUGGCUGCAGAUUUAAGGAUCCCGGAGACUCGAUCAUCCUUCUAUGAUGGUGAGCCUAUGCCCUGGAAGAUGGACGACAAGCCUACUUCAUUAACAACUCCCACUUCACCACCUCUGAGGACAUAAUCACAUGGGUAUGGGCACUCCCCUUGGCAACUGCCAAGCUUGGGGGAGGUGCCCCGGUAUCGUAUCAUCAUCACACUCCUAUCUUUACCGUUUUAUUUAGUUCGAUCCUUUUAGUAGUAUCUUGAUCUAGUAGAUUGAAGUUUUGAUAUCAAGUAGUUUUGAGUUUUGCUUUGUGAUCUCUUUAUGUAAUCGAGUCCGUGAGCUAUCUAUAAUAAAGAUUAGUGUUGAGUCAAGUGCUUUGCUAUCUUGCUAUGAUCUUGAGAAAGUAGAGAAUAAAAGAGUUCAUAUUGAUCUUAUGGUUAGUGAUGACUUCACACAUAGAAAGUAUGAGGCAUAAAAGUUGUUUAGAGUUGAUAAACGUAGUUUUGGUCAUCGUUGAAAUUAAUAGGAAAUAAUAAGGAAAGAGAGGUUUCACAUACAAAUAUAUUAUCUUGGACAUCUUUUAUGAUUCUCAUUAAGUAUGACAUGCUAAAAGAGUUGAUGUUGGACAAGGAAGACAACAUAAUGGUUUAUGUUUUCUCACAUCUCAGUUAAAGUAUAUUGUCAUUGACCUUCCAAACAUGUUGAGCUUGUCUUUCCCCCUCAUGCUAGCCAAAUUCCUUGCACCAAGUAGAGAUACUACUUGUGCUUCCAAAUAUCCUUAAACCCAGUUUUUCCAUGAGAGUCCACCAUACCUACCUAUGGAUUGAGUAAGAUCCUUCAAGUAAGUUGUCAUGUUGCAGGCAAUAAAAAAUGCUAUCUAAAUAUGUAUGACUUAUUAGUGCAGAGAAAAUAAGCUUUAUACGAUCUUGUUGUGGAAGCAAUAAAAGCGACGGUCUGCAUAAUAAAGGUACACAUACAAGUGGCAAUAUAAAGUGACGUUCUUUUGCAUUAAGAUUUCAUGCAUCCAACCCUAAACGCACAUGACAAACUCUGCUUCCCUCUGCGAAGGGCCUAUCAUUUACUUUAUGUUUUUACUUUAUGCUUGAGUCAAGGUGAUCCUCACCUUUUCCUUUUUCAUUUUAUCCCUUGGCAAGCUCCUCAUGUUUGAAAGAUCAUGAUAUAUAUAUCCAAUUGGAUGUAAGCUAGCAUGGACUAUUAUUGUUGACAUGACCUAAAGGUGAAUACAUUGGGAGGCAACACAAUAAGCCCCUAUCUUUCUCAGUGUCCAGCUGAAACUCUAUAACCACAAGUACCGCGUGAGUGUUAGCAAUUGUAGAAGACUACAUGAUAGUUGAGUGUGUGGACUUGCUGAAAAGCUCUAUUCUUGACUCUUUCUGAUGUUAUGAUAAAUUGCAAUUGCUUCAAUGAUUGAGAUUACAGUUUGCUAGCUCCCAAUGAAGUUUCUGAACCAUGCUUGACAUUGUGAAUUGAUCUUUACUUGAGCAUAAGAAAUCAUAUGACAAAAUCUAUUUAUGUUGCUGUUAUGAGAAUGAUCAUGAUGCCCUCAUGUCCGUAUUUUAUUUUUAUCGACACCUCUAUCUCUAAACAUGUGGACAUAUUUUUCGAUUUCGGCUUCCGCUCGAGGACAAGCGAGGUCUAAGCUUGGGGGAGUUGAUACGUCCAUUUUGCAUCAUGCUUUUAUAUCAAUAUUUAUUGCAUUAUGGGCUGUUAUUACACAUUAUAUCUCAAUACUUAUGGCUAUUCUCUCUUAUUUUACAAGGUUUACCAUGAAGAGCGGGAAUGCCGGCAGUUGGAAUUCUGGCUGGAAAAGGAGCAAACAUUGGAAACCUAUUCUCCACUGCUCCAAAAAUCCUGAAACUCAACGAAACUUAUUUUUGUAAUUAAUAAGAAUUAUUGAGCGGAAGAAACACCUCAGGGGGCCCACACCCUGGCCAGGAGGGUGGGGGGCGCGCCCACCCUACUGGGCGCGCCCCUUGUCUCCUGGGCCCCCUGGUGGCCCUCCGGUGUCCAUCUUUUUCUAAAUGAAGGCUUUUACCCUGGAAAAAAUCGUGGGCAAGCUUACGGGACGAAACUCCGCCGCCAUGAGGCGGAACCUUGGCGAAACCAAUCUAGGGCACCAGCGAAGCUGUUCUGCCGGGGACACUUCACCAUCGUCAUCACCAACAAUCCUCUCAUCGGGAGGGGGUCAAUCUCCAUCAACAUCUUCACCACACUACAGGAAACUGCUAGUUUGCCGUCUGUGGAUAACAGAUGGCAAAGACGUAAAUCCAGACGGCAAAGAGUUUGCCGCCAGGAAGUAGAUGGCAAAGUCAGACGGCAAAGAUUAAUCGGCAAAGAAUACUUUGCCGUCUACUUUUUUUAUGCUUGACGGCAAAGACUUUGCCGUCAGUCGGUACCUUCUGCCGUCAGCGGGUAAAGCCAGACGGCAAAAUAUUGCAGCAGACGGAACGGAUGGACUGACGGAUGGUGUCAAGUGUUUUGCCGUCUACCGGCCGUCCAGGCAGACGGCAAAGUCUAUUAACUUUGCCGUCAACUGUCGCGGCAGGCAAACGGGAAAAACUCGUACUUUGCCGUCUGUCGUUCUUGGGCCAGUGGGCAAAAUAGCUGGACUUUGCCGUCUGCUAUUCGCUCCCAAGUGGGCAAAGAUGCAUACUUUGCCGUCUGGUAGGGUUGUCCCAGACGGCAAAUUGCCACCUCUUUGCCGUCAACCGACCUGUUGGCCAGACGGCAACAUUCCAGCAGAAGCACAAGCUAGCGACAUGUGGCAGUUUUGCCGCCUGUCCCUAGACAGCAAAGCUUUUUUUGAUAAUCUCAAAUUUUAGUACACAAUUAAACAUUUUAAUACACAAUAUAGUAAUUGCCUUGAUCCAUAACCAAUGAUCCUCACAGCACAGAACCAUAACAGGACAACAUAGUUCCAGAGCAAAUAUAAGCAACAAUGAACAAAGUUCCAUAGCAUAUAGUCCCAGGACAAAGUUCCAUAGCAUAUAGUCCCAAAACAAAGUUCCAUAGCAUAUAGUUCCACAGCAUAUAGUCCCAUACAUAUAAUACACAAUGAACAAAGAUGGCAUCACUACGUAAGAUUUGGCACUACAACAAAUGCCUUCAUGACCAUGUCAUAGUCCAAAGAACAUCCAGGUGGCAACCUACAACAAAUGCUUGACGACAAAACUUUCUUUGCCGUCUACCCCGACGAAAUGUUGACGGCAAAGCCGCUCACUGAUGGCAAACUAGCAGUUUCCUGUAGUGCCAGCACCAUCUCUUCUGAAAUCCCUAGUUCAUCUCUUGUAUCCAAUCUUGUAUCAAAACCACAAAUUGGUACCUGUGGGUUGCUAGUAGUGUUGAUUACUCCUUGUAGUUGAUGCUAAUUGGUUUACUUGGUGGGAGAUCAUAUGUUCAGAUCCUUUAUGCAUAUUCACUAGUAGAAAACAGGGCUUUCGUUCGGCCAGAAAAGAGCAUUAAUCCUGGUUGCAUUACGACCCGGGACUAAUGUGAGCAUUAGUCCAGGUUCGAGCGGUGAGGGCACCGUACAGGCAUUACUCCCGGUUCAAAUGGGACCUUUAGUCCCGGUUGGUGCGAUGCCCAUUAGUACCUGUUCGUGGCACGAACCGGUACUAAAGGUCUAGGUACUAAUGGGGUUGAGACCUUUACUACCGGUUCGUGCCACGAACCGGUACUAAAGGUCCCAUUUUCAAACUCUACCCCCCCCCCCCGGUGGAUCGCCUUUGCAGUUUUUGUAAAAAGCAAAACAAAAUGAUAAAAACUUCAAAAAUUUAUGCUUAAAUUUCAGGUUUUUUUGAAUUUUUCAAAUCUAGUCAAACUAUGGUCAAAUUACUUAGUCAAGAAGUAUUAGUGUUACUAAAUAAUUAUUCAAAAAUAUUAGUAUUACUAAAUAAUUAUUUCCGUUUUUUUUGAAUUUUGGUCAAAUCUAGUCAAACUGUGGUCAAACUGUGGUCAAACAAUGGUCAAACUACUUAUUCAAAAAAUAUUAGUGUUACUAAAUAAUUAUUUCAGUUUUUUUGAGUUUUGGUCAAAUCUGGUCAAACUAUGGUCAAACUGUGGUCAAAUCUGGCCAAACUGUGGUCAAACUAUGAUCAAACUACUUAUUCAAGAAAUAUUAGUGUUACUAAAUAAUUAUUGUUUUUUAGCACAAUAGUUUCAAACUCAAACAGUGAAAUGUGUGACUUCAUGCUCAAGCUAAAUUCUUGAGGGUUAAUAGGAUUGACAUCUUAUUAUUGUUAGGAAAACAACAAGUGCAGACUUGAAAAUGAGGGAGAAUAGAACCCGGAAGUUAAGCGUGCUCAGGCUGGAGUAGUGAGAGGAUGGAUGACCGUCCGAGAAGUUAGAUGAUUUGGGAUGAUGAGGGGUGAUUAGAGAUUAGAGGUUAAAUUGAGCAGUGAUGAGGGGUGAUUAGAGAUUAGAGGUUAAAAUAAUUCAGAAAUUUGAAAAUAAAAAAAAAUCAUUUUUUUAAAUAAAAUAAAAUUUCCUUUAUUGCUGGUUGGUGUUACCAACUGGGACUAAAGGUGGACCUCCAGGCAGCGGCCACGUGGAGGGCCUUUAGUCCGGGCCUUUUUCUACUAGUGAUUAUUACUCCUCUGAUUAUGAACAUGAAUAUGCUUUGUGAGUAGUUACGUUUGUUCCUGAGGACAUGGGUGAAGUCUUGCUUUUAGUAGUCAUGUGAAUUUGGUAUUCGUUCGAUAUUUUGAUGAGAUGUAUGUUGUCUUUUCCUCUAGUGGUGUUAUGUGAACGUCGACUACAUGACACUUCACCUUUAUUUGGGCCUAGAGGAAGGCAAUUGGAAGUAAUAAGUAGAUGGUGGGUUGCUAGAGCGACAGAAGCUUAAACCCUAGUUUAUGCGUUCCUUCGUAAGGGGCUGAUUUGGAUCCAUAUGUUUAAUGAUGUGGUUAGGUUUACCUUAAUACUUCUUUUGUAGUUGCGGAUGAUUGCAAUAGGGGUUAAUCUUAAGUGGGAUGCUUGUCCAAGUAAGGGUAGUACCUAAGCACCGGUCCACCCACAUAUCAAAUUAUCAAAGUACUAAACGUGAAUCAUAUGAGCGUGAUGAAAACUAGCUUGACGAUAAUUCCCAUGUGUCCUCGGGAGCUCCUUUCUCAUUAUAAGAAAUUGUCCAUGCUUAUGCUUUGCUACAAAAAGGAUUGGGCCACCUUGCUGCACUUUAUUUACUUUCAUUGCUUGUUACUCGUUACAAUUUAUCUUAUCACAAAACUAUCUAUUACCUACAAUUUCAGUGCUUGCAGAGAAAACCUUACUGAAAAGCGCUUAUCAUUUCCUUCUACUCCUCGUUGGGUCGACACUCUAACUUAUUGAAAGGACUACGAUAGAUCCCCUAGACUUGUGGGUCAUCACCCACAAGUUGGUGACACAGUCGAUCUAUUAUAAGAGGCGACGCGGCCAAGGGCUGGAACAGUGUUCCUCUCCUUCCACCUUCACUCGUGUCUCCUCUUCUUCCAGCGCCGCGCUGCACAUAUCUGCUCCACACAGACGACCACCGCGAAGAUGGUGAAGGAUAAGACGGGGAAGCUGGAGCGUGCCAAGAAGGCAGCCAAGGGAAAGAAGGCUUCGAUCUCCUGGGCCGCGCUGCCGCCUGGCUGGAUAUAGGGCGACUGGCUACCGGCGAUGGUCACGGAGGAGGACCUAGACGGGCUCACCGCCGACAGGCUGCUAGUCCCCGGGUCUUGGAGGCUGCCGAAGGGGGAGGUCGAGCCUGCACCGUGCCCCAACGAGCGUGUUCUCCUCUUCACUCAUGUGGUGAGAGGUUUCUCCUUGCCACCUCAUCCAUUUUUUCAAGGUUUUCUGAACUUCUUCGGUGCAAAAAUCCACCAAUUUCCACCGAACGCCAUAUCGUAUCUUGCCGGCUUCGUCUCAAUGUGUGAAAACUUCUUGGGUUGUCAUCCCCACUGGGGGUUGUUCAAACAUAUCUUCACUUGCUGAUCCUAGUCAGUUAAGAAAGAAAAUCCAAGUGAUGAGAGGACCCAUGUGAUCCAGAUGUGUGGGGGUUUAGGUGUCCAGAUGGGAGGUAGGAGUUCAUUCCCUAUGAUGACCUUUCCUGAGUCUGUUCGGGGCUGGCAGUCGACCUGCUUUUACUAUAAUGAUAUUCCAUCUCCUGGCUCGUCGACUGGUCUUCCUCCCUUCUUGUUGGCGAGGCUCAAUGCUCCCCGUUCGUUGACUAUGUCCGAGGAGGAGAAAGCCGAUGUGGGAAUCUUGGUAGACGCUGUAGUCGGAUUGAUCCGAGGUGGAGUGACGGGCUUGGAUCCGUUGGCGGUAUUCCUCAGUCGACGGAUCCAGCCCGAACAGGCACAGAGACAUCCCAUGAGGCGGUACCUGGGAUCAGACGAUCCCACUCGGACGCAUCCAGAGGAUGUCAAGGACGAGACCAUGAUGCAAUGGCUCAGAAGCAUCACCGGAGCUCGUGACAAUCCUCAUGCGUGUAAGCGGAUUCAGCCUUUCGACGCCAAGCACCCACCAAGGGAGGUGACACAUAUCUUCUCGAUUGUUUUAAUUUUUGCUUCUAAUAUGCGAAAAGGUUGAUAACCUACUGACUUUGAUAUUUGUGCUUCGCAGGAGUUCGCAAAGAUGUUUUCACGUGUGCCGAAUGGAGAGCAGCUCAUUGAAGGAGUAGAGAGCAAGGGUGGGAGCGCUGAUAUCAGUUACGCUGAAGAGAGCGAGGGCAGCAGCGACGGCUCGGAAGAGAGCGAAGAGGUCGAGUCCCCUCCGCGCACUAAGCACCGAACCAAAGCGAACCAAGAUCAGAGUGCCAACAAGGGCAAGGCCUUGGCGUCGAGUGUAAGAAACCCAAAGCGCACUCGGAUGGCGACGCCAGAUCCGUCUGAGAAGACCACGAAUCAUCUCAAAGUCGCUCCACCGACACCUCGGAAUGCUCUCCCUAGGAUAAUGGUAACUAUGCCUAUAGCCUCAACGUGAGUGCUAUAUCUUUCUUACUGCUGCAGAACUUCCUGCUUUUGUCGACCGAGUGAGAAUUGUAUGCCAGAGCUGCCACUUCAAUAACAUCGCCCAUGCGGGUUGAUGAGGAGCAUCCGGAGAUGGACACUGCGGAAGCGGGCACUUCUCGGUGAGGUAUGACAGGUUUUCACUCUGCUCUGUUUCAUUAGUUGAUUCGACAAUUGAAUGAGUUUUUAUGGUUUAUUGACUGCAGAGCCAACAAAUAUCAUCCAUCUUGCUGACAACGAUGAAGAGGAGCCUAAGAAGGACGCAGGUAGCUUCACUCGGAGAGUGUCAUCGAGUCAAACACUGUGGGCGCCGCCCGCUGCUAUGUCUGAGGAACCAGGUGGUUCGUCUCGAGCCAGUGCUUACCCUAUCAUCCCUCCGUCGACUGCUCCACCUUUGGUGCCGAAUCCUCUGGCUCCGGGACCGACUGGUCAACCUAAAGUGUUGAACCCUCCAACUGCAUCACCAACUCCUCCAUCUCAUGUAUUCACUCCGCAUCAUGUUCCGAAAGACCAAACUGGAGCCGGUAAAGAGGCCAUGAUUCAAGCCAACCUGAUGAUGCAGCGCCUGAAGGACGUGUAUGAAGGCAGCAAGUUGGCUUAUGAUGCUACGCCUCUUCAGGCGAAUGUCCGAGUAAGUGCAAUUGUAAUUUGAUUUCCGAUUGAGUUUUUUCCUGUCCAUCUUGACUCAGUACACCAAGUGGGUGUUUUUGACUUUCGAUGUCAGUAGUAAUUAUUAAUUCAGACAAGGCAGGCUAGGCUGAGUGGAAAUGGACCUAGUGGGGGCACGCUCAAUGCACCCAUUGGGUGUAGUCCCCGAGACCGCCGUCAAAUUUGUGAUUUGGCGGGGGUCUUAGAAUAUGCCAAGCAGUAAUUUUUCACUUGGACCUGUCAGGCCGUGCCGAGUGGGGAUCGAUCCAGUGGGGGCACGCUGAGUGCACCCAGUGGCUCUAGUCCCCGAGAUCACCAUCGAAUGUUUGAUUUGGUGGGGGUCUGAGAAAUCUUCCUUCCUCUUCUUUCUUUUUCCUUUUUUUGGUGGCUCUUCACUCGGGCCGGUCAAGCUGAUGUCGAGUGGUAACGUAUCUAGUGGGGGCACGCUGAGUGCACCCACUGGGUGUAGUCCCCGAGACCGCAGUCGAAUGUUUGAUUUGGCAGGGGGUCUAAGAACUAUUUGCUUGUAGCAACUGAAUUUAACCUUCUCCACUCGGAAGUUGAGGAAUAUUUGAGAAUCUUUUUCAUUGUCGAAUGAACUGUUUCUUUGUUAAUCUCAGGAAACUUGUGAGCUCAGGACCCUGUAUGUUGCCUUGGAAAAGGAGAAGAUCCAACUCCAACUGGACUUGGAAGUAGCAAAAAGGAACUUGGAUCAUGCUCAAACGGAGGCGAAGACCCUGGGAGGUAAAUCAUGUCGACUGAAUGCACUGUUGUUCUUUCUUUUUGUCCUAUGAGCCGAGUAGUUUCACUCGAAUAGAUGUGCGUAAUGGAAACCAUCAACUUCAAGUGUAACUCAGGAAUGCUAUUUCCUUAGACACCAUGAAGCAUGCUCUGGAAAGACAAGGACAAUGCACUUGCAGGGGCGCAAAAGGUGGCUAGAGAGAAGAUCAAGGCUGCUAAGGCAAAGUUAGCCUCAGUCAGAAAGUUGGAGGAUGAAAAUGCAUUCCUGAAGGUUGUCGUCGAUAAGGCAAAGAAGGAUGCUCCCCUUAUUAAGAAGGAACAUGCUGAGUGGGCUAAGAAGGUUGAAGAUAAGACAAGUCCUUUUGAAAUGGAGAAGACAUCCCUGAAUGACAAAGUGAACCAGCUCACCCAAAAGAGGGAUGCACUGGAAGAAUAUUUGGGAAGUAUUGCGAAGAAGAUGUACAUCAUGCUUGAUGGUACCUUUCUUUGCUCAAGUGAAUCUCUGAGAACUUUGAAAAUGAUGCCAUGAAUAACUCUUUCCCUCCUCUUUGUGUAGAAUUUUGUCAGAAUUUCGAGCUGAGACUGUCCAGAUUGAAACAGGUCUGGAUCCCACCAAGUCACUUGUCAAGGACGCUACGGCUAUGAAUGUGCUGCGACUGGAAGCUCGCCUCAACGGUCUCUUGGGGUACAUCGCUCGUCUGAAGGCUGCAUUGGCAAAGAUAGACAAAGAGUUGUGGCCUGAGGACACACUUCUGAAUGCCCUCGGGUCUUGUGAAUCGACUCAAUGAAAUUCCUGGGCGAGUGAUACAUUGAAGAAAUCUGCCGCCCGCUGCUGAGCUGAUGUGGCGCUCUCACUCAUCCGUGUCCAUUGUAGAGACGCCAAGUAAGAAAUGUUGAAGGCUCUCCAGGUGGCGAACACAAAGAAGCUCAAGUUUAAAGACUCCAUGGAGAUUUUCAUCAAGGCAACCACUCGGAUUGCGGAUGGCAUAGAUUUGGACACUUUUGUCGAGCCAACGAGUCCCCCGGGUGCGUUAAGGAGAACUUUAUGACCCGAGAACCUUCUGGUCAAAACUUAUUUGCCUCGGAAUGCCGAGUGAUUUUCUAAUCAUUAAAACUCGUUCCUGCUUUCAGUCCAAGAAUUUUUAUCUGCAGUUGAGAACUUUUAUCUGCAAUUUAAGAUUCUGGACUUAUCCGAAAGUUGCUUUCCAAUUUCUUGCAUGAUAAUGUUUAUUUCAGCUGAUUUGUAGGUAGACCUCUAAGUGAGAGGAAUGCUCUCCAUUCGGAGUAAUUUUUAACUUAGGCGAGGACUGACUCGUAGCUAAGUACCCGAGUGGGAGGGAUGAUGACCACUCGGAGAAGUUUUUAACUUAGGCGAGGACUGGCUCGCGGCUAAGCCCCCGAGUGAGAGGGAUGCUCUCCGUUCGGUGUAAUUUUUAAACUUAGGCGAGGACUAGCUCGCGGCUAAGCCCCCGAGUGAGAGGGGUGCUCUCCACUCGGAGUAAUUUUUGAACUUCGGCGAGGACUAGAUCACGGCUUAGACCCCGAGUGGGAGGGACGCUUGUCGUGGUACUAAGACUGAUAGUAGAAUGGGGGGUAGGUAUGGAGAUGCAAGAUCUUAGCUAUGGAGUAGUUGUAUACGCAAGGGAUUUACUAGUUCAGGCCCUUCUCGGAGGAAGUAACAGCCCUACGUCUCGGAGCCCAGAGGCGGUCGACUGGAUUAUAAGCGUAUGAGUUACAGGGGUGUGAACCCUUCUGCCAGUGGAGGGGGGUGGCUUAUAUAGUGUCUGCCAGGACCCCAACCAGCCCACGCAGCGGAGGGUUUAAAGUACAUUAAGGCCAUGCGUUACUGGUAUCGCCUUACAUAAAGUGUCAUCAUGGCUAUAAAGACUACUUAAUUACAGACCGUUUGGAUACAGAGCGGCUCUUGAUCUCCUAGUGGUCGAGUGAGUCUUCAUGGUCGAGUGUCUUCGAGUCCGUCGAGUGGCAUUCCUCUUGGUCGACUGGAAGGCAGCUUCUUAUAAAGAUGUUCUUGGGGAGGGUACCUUGGACAGGUCCAUGACCCUACCCUAGGUACAUGACUUCGUCAUUAGCCCCCGAAUGGAUCGAGGUUCGAGUGAGGAAGGAGUUGAUAAUUUUUCCGACCUGUUUUCCGUGUUCUGAGCAUGUCACAUUCUGGAUCAAUGACCUUUUUUAGCGAUGGCAUCAACUUUUCUUUCAGUCGCCUUAAUCCAUUCUUUUCCUCUGUCGAGUGAAAUUUUGAACUUGGUGGAUUUUCGAGCGACGGAUCGUAGGAAAUCUACCGUCUGACAAGUUGUUCUGCUGUUGACGGAUUUAGCGGGAUCCGAAUUUUGGGAAGCGCGCGAAGCGGAGAAGACCGGGGUGCUUGGAUGGGAUAAGGCAGAGACGCCUCGAUUUCUGCGCCACCUUUUUCGCCACGUAUCGCGCGCGCGACUGUUUCGGGAUUUGACAGGAUCGCCCGGGCCUACCGGUCAGUCACUCGGAAGUGACCUUAUAUAAAGCGUCAGACGGGAUUUUUUGAACAGUGCAUUUCCAUUCUCCUCUCCCCCUUCCUCAACCUCGCCCGCUGCGCCCGCUUUUAUCUCCGCCCAACUGUUCCUCGUGCGCCUCGCCGGCGACGAUGGUGAAGGAGAAGACAGCGGCCUUGGAGCGAGCAAAGAAGGCGACGGCGACGGCGAAAGCGAAGGGGAGAGCGACCAGUCGGGGCGGAUCUUCGUCGCGGUCCCGCCUGCCGCAAGGCUGGGUCCAAGGAGACUGGAUCCGCUCGACCAUCACCCAGAGGGAUCUCGACGAUCUGGCCAAUGAGGGACUGAUCUCCCAUGGGUCAGCAAGACUUCCGGGGACGGAGUGGCAACCGCAGCCACAAGAGGGUGAGUGUGUCCUCUUAGCCACUCACGUAGAUCGCGGAUUCUCUUUGCCGCCAAAUCUUUUCUUUCGAGGGUUUCUGAACUUCUUUGGGGCAAAACUCCACCACUUCACUCCCAAUUCUAUUGCCUAUCUCGCUGCUUUCGUGUCUUUGUGCGAAAACUUCCUGGGUUGUCGGCCGCACUGGGGUCUCUUUAAGCACAUAUUCACUUGUUGCUCUCAGACGGUGAAAAAGGCGAGUCCGAAUGACGAGAGGACCAAGGUAAUCCAGAUGUGUGGGGGUCUUAGGGUCCAAAUGAGGAGUAAGAGUGCUUUCCCAGCCAGGACCCUUCCCGAGUCGGUUAGAGGGUGGCAGUCGACCUGGUUCUACUGCCAAGACGAGUCGACGCCGGGGUAGUCGACUGGUCUCCCUCCAUUCUCCAUGGACCGAGUGAAGAAGCCAUCUUCUUUGAAGGUACUUCCGGAGGAAAAAGCUCAGGUUAAAAUGUUGAUGGAGCGUGUAGUUCAACUCAUCCACGACGGGGUCACUGGCAUGGAUCUUUUGGAGGUUUUUCUUCGACGGCGCAUUCAGCCACUCCAGCACCGAGGCCACCCGAUGUGGCUAUACUCUGGUACCGAGGACACCACUCGGGUCCACCUAGAGGAGGUCGACGACGCCACACUGGAGAGGUGGAUGACCUCCAUCACGGGGAACAAUGACAACCCUCGUGGGGCUAGGAGGAUCCCACCGCUCGACCAGUCUUAUGAUCCAGACACGGUAUGACCACCUAUCCUCGGUUGUGAUCCUGUUUCAUUCAUUCUAUUUCACUGCAAAUCGGUCGAUUGACCUUUGUCUUGUUUUGUUGUCUUCCAGGCUACCACUGAGUUGUAUUCGAUGCCCAACGGGGCGCAGGCUCCGACUGAGGAGGAGGAAGGAAGUGGAGGUGAAAGUCAAGAGGAGUGGGAAUCGAAUGGCGAUGAGGGUGAUGAAGAUGCUGACUCCGAUGAGGAAGAGCAGGAGGAAGAGGAGGAGGAAGUUGCGCCUCCUCGUUCCGAGAGGAGAUCCAAACUUGUCCAUGAUCCUGUAAUCGAGCGUGGCAAAGGAGUCGCGCAUGUUGUUCAGUCGACCAAGCAUCCUCGGACGACCUCUCCGGUGCCGACUGAAAAAGCGCCAAAGCAAUCUCGAGUGGCGCCGUCAAAGCCGACGAAGGCCUUGCCGAAGAUGAAGAUGGUGAUUCCCACUAUUUCUAGGUAAUGACAUAACUUGCGUCUCUUUGUUUCUCAUGGAUUUACUCUUGGUCGAUUCGUUAGCUGAUUGACUGAAUUCUGAAACUGUAGUGCUGCUACUUCUGAUACCUCGACCAGACCUGAAGACCAUGAAAUGGAAGACGCUGUCACUUCAAAACCUGGUACGACCUUUGUAGUUCCGUCUUCAGUCGGUUGGAUCUUUGUCUUUAACUUUGACUCUUUUCUGCAGCUCCACCUAACAUUGUUAUUGACCUUCCUGACGACGAUGACGAGGAACCACUGAGGCAGAGGAGGAAUAGGAAAGCGUCUUCUGGCAAGGCAACUCAGGACGUGUCAGCACCCGAGACGUUGGUUGUGGAGGGGGACAGCGUCACUCGGCCUACCGUAUCCUUUGCGGUGCCGCUGACGAGUGCUCGCCCUUCGUCGUCGAGUGCUGAUCAACCUUCACUUUUCUCGACCCACCACGUCCCAGAAGACCAAGCAAGCGCUGCUAAAGAAGCAAUACGCCAGGCAGGGGUCAUGAUGGAGCAAGUGAAGGCGAUCCGAGACGCUAGUCAGGCGGCUUAUGACGCCAGUUCAGCUCUUCAGAGCAAUGUUCAGGUUAGUCGAUCACCGCCUGUUCUGUUAGGAUAUGAUACCUGAAAAUCUUUCUUUCUGAAAAUCUUAGUGUCUGUCAUACACCCACUGGGUGCGCCGAUUGAAAUUCUGGAUUGGUGGGGGCACGCUGAGUGCACCCACUGGGUGUAGUCCCCAAGGCUAUGGUGGACUGCUGGCAGUUGACCAUAGUCUUUAUGUCUUAAGCUUUUUCUUUACUCGAUCAGGUCGAAUGGAAUCAUAGACCGGUGGGCCACGCUGAGUGCACCCACUGGGUGUAGUCCCCGAGACUGUGGUCAACUGCUGGCAGUCGACUACAGUCUGAAGAACACCUCUCUCUUUUUUUGUGUGUGGCUAUCUGCUGGUGAUUAGCCUUUCUGUCUUUUUUGGUCGACUGAUCGACUCUAGCUGAUAGAACUAGUGGGGGCACGCUGAGUGCACCCACUGGGUGUAGUCCCCGAGACUACGGUCGAAUGUUUAUAUUCGGCAGUAGUCUUAGAAAUGCUACGAUUUUUUCUUAGUCACUCGGAAGUGACCUGUCUUUGACAUCUGUCGAUUGGUUCUUCACAGAAAUCUUGCGAGCUUGCAGCUCGUUAUACUGAGUUGGAGAACAAGCAUAUCCAGCUCGAACUUGAUCUGAAACUUGUCCAGGAGAACUUCACGAAGGCAAAGGAGGAGGAAAAAGGUAUGUUUGGUGAGAACCUUGACGACUGCCUUUGUUUCUUGUUUUAUUUGCGAGUCUGAUCUCACUGUGAUUUUGCAGAUAAACUGAGGGAUUCUUUGAAGAAGAAGGAUCUUGACCUCGCCGAGGCGCAGAAAGCAGCUUAAGAGAAAACCAAGCUCGUAGAAGAAAAGCUGGCCUCAAUCACCAAGCUUGAAGAGGAGAAUACUAGUCUGAAAGCUGCUCUUGAUGCGGCCAACAAGGAGGUCAGUCGACUGAAGAAUGACAAGAUUGCUUUGAGUGACAAGGCCAGUGAGUUGGCGGGAAAGAGGAAUGAUCUGGAGGCUUAUUUGGGAGGACUUGCCAAGAAGCUAUUCCUCAUGCUCGAAGGUAAUCCUUUGUAUCAGAUAGGCCCUUUUAUUAUGAUCUUGCCAUCAAACUACUGUCUUAACUUUGGGGUUGUGCCUGCAGAGUUCUGCCAGAAUUUUGAAGAGGAGACUGGUCGACUGGAGACGAGCCUAGAUCCCAUCAAUUCUCCUGUGAAGGACGAAGCCGCCAUGAAUGUGCUCCGACUUGAGUCUCGCGUUGCUGCUGUUGUCGACUAUCUCGCAAGGCUGAAGGUCGCAACUUCCCGCGUCGACACAACACUCUGGCCAGGAGAAACACUUCAGAAUGACCUCGAGUCUCUAAUGACUCGACUGAACGAUGUUCCAAGUCGAGUGCAAGAAUGGAAGAAGUCUUCUGCCAGGUGUGGUGCGGAUGUUGCUCUAUCUCUGGCCCGUGUUCACUGCAAGGAAGCGCGAGAGGACAAGCUGGCAGCUCUCAAGGUGGCCAAUACCAAGAAGCAUGAUUUCCGAUCCUUCAUGGAGACCUUCAUCGCCGCUGCCACUCGGAUCGCAGAUGGAAUCGACCUAGAUGAAUUCGUUGUGCCUUCCAGCCCUCCGCAGGAGGGGUAAAAACUUCUAUGCUUGACACUUUAAAUUUGCCUCGGUAUGCCGAGUGGUUUUUGUAACCGAUAAACUUUAACGGGCUUAGCGCCUGAGCACUUCUGGUUCCGUAAGACGUUAUCUGAACUUGGAUUCAACGUUGAAUAUGUUUGCAUCUGGUUUGAGGUGUCUUUUGCAGGCUAAGAUGAAGCUCAUAUUGCAAUCGACUUGUUCCUCAUCACCCUUAGGCGAGCACUUGGCUGCGGCUAAACCUCCGAGUGGGAGGUCUGCUCUCCACUCGGUAGGAUUUUCAAAAACUUAGGCGAGCACUGGGCUGCAGCCAAGCCCUUGAGUGGGAGGUCUGCUCUCCACUCGGUAGGGUUUUCAAAAACUUAGGCGAGCACUGGGCUGUAGCUAAGCCCCCGAGUGGGAGGUCUGCUCUCCAAUCGGUAGGGUUUUCAGAUACUUAGGCGAGCAUUGGGCUGCAUCUAAGCCCCCGAGUGGGAGGUCUGCUCUCCACUCAGUAGGGUUUUCAGAUACUUAGGCGAGCACUGGGCUGCAGCUAAGCCCCCGAGUGGGAGGUCUGCUCUCCACUCGGUAGGAUUUUCAAAAACUUAGGCAAGCACUGGGCUGCAGCUAAGCCCCCGAGUGGGAGGUCUGCUCUCCACUCGGUAGGAUUUUCAAAAACUUAGGCGAGCGCUGGGCUGCAGCUAAGUCCCCGAGUGGGAGGUCUAUUCUCCACUCGGUAGAGUUUCUAUGGUGUACCUCUGAAGAAGAAGGCAUCAAUCGACCUGCACCUUGUCUUCCUUGCGGAGCGCACAUUAUACUUGUGGCGUAGCUCAGAAGGAGAAAGUAGCAGUAGACUUGUACGUUGUCCUCCUUGCGGAGUGCACAUUAUACUUGUGGCGUAGCUCGGAAGAGGAGGGUAGCAGUCGACCUGCACCUCGCCUUCCUUGCGGAGCGCACGUUAUAGUUGUACUUAGGCGAGCGCUAUGCUGCAGCUAAGCCCCCGAGUGGGAGGCUGGCUCACCACUCGGUAGGAUUUUGUUGAAACUUAGGCGAGUACUUGGACUUCAGCUAAGCCUCUGAGUGGGAGGCUGGCUCACCACUCGGUAGGAUUUUAUUUAAACUUAGGCGAGUACUUGGACUGCAGCUAAGCCUCCAAGUGGGAGGCUGGCUCACCACUCGAUAGGAUUUUAUUUAAAAUUAGGCGAGGACUUGGACUGCAGCUAAGCCCCCAAGUGGGAGGCUGGCUCGCCACUUGGUGAGAUUUUAUUGAACUUAGGGAAACGGAUUCGCAGCUAAGCCUCCGAGUGAGAGGCUGGCUCACCACUCGGUAGGAUUUUUACAAACUUAGGCGAAACGGAUUUGCAGCUAAGCCUUCGAGUGAGAGGCUGGCUCACCACUCGGUAGGAUUUUUACAAACUUAGGCGAAAUGGAUUCGCAGCUAAGCCACCCACUGGGGGGAUUUUUUGAAUAAACAAAAGUAACAACACUCAUUGGGAAAAUUAUAACACUAUUGUCUUUGAAAAAUGAACUACAGAAGUACUUUUAUUACAUUUCCAAGUGCAUACUUAAGUGUAAAAGGGGCGGAGCAGCUCCGCGUUCCAAGCUCGGGUCUCGUUGAUCUGGUGCUCGACAUUGUAAAGACGGUAUGCUCCAUUGUGGAGAACCUUGGUGACGAUGAAGGGGCCUUCCAAAGAAGGAGAGAGCUUGUGUGGCUUCUGCUGAUCCACUCGGAGAACCAAAUCUCCUUCCUGGAAGGCUCGACUCCUCACGUUUUUGGUGUGGAAGCGACGCAAGUCCUGCUGGUAAAUGGUCGAUCGGAUCAAGGCCAUCUCCCUUUCUUCCUCUAGAAGGUCGACUGCGUCUUGCCGGGCUUGUUCUGCUUCAGCUUCGGUGUAGAGCUCGACUCGGGGAGUGUUGUGAAGUAGGUCACUCGGCAAGACCGCUUCAGCUCCGUAGACCAAGAAGAACGGAGUUCUCCCCGUCGACCGGUUAGGUGUGGUCUUUAAUCCCCAAAGUACUGACUGAAGUUCGUCGACCCAUGCACCAGCUGCAUGCUUGAGGUCGCGCAUCAAUCGGGGUUUCAACCCUUUGAGGAUCAAGCCAUUUGCUCGUUCUGCCUGUCCCUUCGACUGAGGAUGAGCGACUGAAGCAUAAUCGACUCGUGUGCCCUGAGAUGUGCAAAACGCUCUGAAUUCCUUAGAAUCGAAGUUUGACCCGUUGUCAGUGAUGAUGCUGUUUGGGACUCCAUAUCUGAAUAUCAACUCUCUGAUGAAGCUGACAGCAGUGCCGGCAUCAAGAUUCUUGAUGGGUUUAGCCUCAAUCCACUUGGUGAACUUGUCGACUGCUACCAGCACAUGUGUGAAACCGCUUCUGCCUGUUCUCAGAGGUCCAACCAUAUCCAAUCCCCAUACAGCGAAAGGCCAAACGAGUGGUAUGGUCUUUAAGGCUGAGGCGGGCUUAUGUGACAUAUUGGAGUAAAAUUGACAUCCUUCACACUUGUCGACUAUCUCCUUUGCCAUUUCUUUCGCUCUUGGCCAGUAAAAUCCGGCUCGGUAUGCUUUGGCUAGAAUGGUCCGAGAGGACGCAUGAUGGCCACAGGUCCCCGAGUGGAUGUCGUCAAGGAUUAUUCGACCUUCUUCUGGCGUUAUGCAUUUCUGACCAACUCCAGUCACGCUUUCUCUGUACAACUGUCCCCUUAUCACGGUAAAGGCUUUAGUCGGCGGACGAUCUGUCGAGCCUCUUCUUCAUCCUCUGGGAGCUCUUUCCUUAAGAUAUACGCGAUAUACGGCACGGUCCAAUCGGGAGUGAUCACCAACACUUCCAUGAUCAGGUCGACCACUACUGGAACUUCAACUACAGUCGGAUAUGUGACACUUUUAGGCUGCGGAGCUUAUUCAGUAAAAGGAUUUUCUUUAACUGAUGGAGUAUGGAUAUUCCCCAAGAACACAUCACUGGGAAUGGCUUCUCUCUUGGAACCUAUCUUCGCCAAAUCAUCAGCCGCUUGAUUCUUCAGUCGGGGUAUAUGAUGGAGCUCUAACCCUUCGAAUUUCUUUUCAAGCUUUCUCACUGCAUUGCAAUAUCCAGUCAUGGCUGGGCUUCUAACAUCCCACUCCUUCAUCACCUGAUUGACCACCAAAUCUGAGUCGCCAUAAACCAUAAGGUGACGGACGCCGAGUAAAAUGGCCAUGCACAACCCAUAUAAAAGUGCCUCGUAUUCUGCUUCAUUAUUAGAGGAAUCAAAGUGGAUCUAGAGCACAUAUCUGAGCUUAUCUCCUCUGGGGGAAACCAAUACUACCCCAGCACCUGAACCAUUUAACAUCUUAGAGCCAUCAAAGAACAUGGUCCAGUGCUCCGAGUGGACUUGAGUCGGCUGGUGUUGUUGAAUCCACUCGGCAAGGAAAUCUGCUAUUGCUUGGGACUUAAUGGCUUUCUUUGUCUCAAACUUGAUAUCAAGGGGAAGGAGUUCAUUUGCCCAUUUCGCCACUCGACCAGUUGCAUCUCUGUUGUGCAGAAUCUCUGAUAGUGGGGCGUCGCUGACGACCAUAAUGUAAUGAUCAGAGAAAUAAUGAGCAACCUUCUUCGUGGUCAUGUAGAUCCCAUACACGAGCUUCUGAUAAUGAGGGUAUCUUUGCUUCGAUGAGGUCAAAACUUCGGAAAGAUAAUACACUGGGCGUUGAACUUUGAAGGCUUUCCCUUCUUCUUCCCGCUCGACCGUAAGUACUGUACUGACGACUUGUCCUGUGGCUGCAAUGUAAAGCAAUAGAGGCUCUUUGCUGAUCGGAGCAGCAAGCACCGGCUGGGUGGAUAGCAGAGCUUUUAGCUCGGCAAAUGCUGCAUCAGCUUCUGGAGUCCACUCGAACUUGUCUAACUUCUUCAUCUGUCGGUAAAGAGGCAAUGCCUUUUCACCGAGGCGAGAGAUGAAUCGACUUAACGCGGCCAAGCAUCCAGUAAGCUUCUGGACAUCGUGCACACGCACAGGGCGCUUCAUUCGGAGUAUAGUGCCAACUUUUUCUGGGUUAGCGUCGAUUCCUCGUUUGGAAAUGAGAAAACCGAGUAACUUUCCACCAGGAAAUCCGAAUGUGCACUUUGAUGGAUUGAGCUUGAUAUCAUAUCUCCUGAGAUAGGCAAAUGUUUCAGCGAGGUCAGUCAGCAGGUCAGAACCCUUCCGUGACUUGACCACAAUAUCAUCCAUGUACGCUUCCACGUUCCGACUGAUUUGAGUGAGUAAACACUUCUGAAUCAUCCUCAUAAACGUGGCUCCAGCAUUUUUGAGGCCGAAUGACAUGGUGACAUAGCAGAAGCACCCGAAUGGAGUGAUGAAAGCUGUUUUGAUCUCGUCGGGUCCAUACAGACGGAUCUGAUGGUACCCGGAAUAGGCGUCUAGAAAAGACAAUCUCUCACAUCCCGCAGUCGAGUCGACAAUUUGGUCGAUGUGAGGGAGAGGAAAAUGAUCUUUCGGGUAGGCCUGAUUGAUAUGUUUGAAAUCAAUGCGCAUGUGAAGUGACUUGUCCUUCUUGGGGACCAUGACAACAUUGGCGAGCCACUCGGAGUGGUAUAUCUCUCGGAUAAACUCUGCUGCCAGGAGCCAAGCCACCUCCUCGCCAAUGGCCUUUCUCUUCUGGACGGCGGACCCUCGAAGAUGUUCUUUGACAUGUUUUGCUUUUGGGUCGACUCGUAAACGAUGCUCAGCUAGCCCCCUGGGAACACCCGGCAUGUCAGCAGGCUUCCAUGCAAAGAUGUCCCAGUUCUCACGGAGGAACUGGAUGAGCGCUUCUUCCUAUUUAGAGUCGAGUGUUGUGGAAAUAUGAGUCGGAGCCGCGCUGGGGUCGGUCGGGUGAAUGGAACGGGCUUCGUCUCACCAGACGACUGGAAUGCUGACUCUGUGGUGGGCUUCUUGGCCCGCAAUAAAUCACUCGGAUCUGCAUUUUUCUUAUAUUCUUCCAGCUCCACCACUGUUAUCUGGGAAUCGGCAAUAUUUCAGCCUUUCUGAAAACACUCUUCCGCCUUUUUCCGAUUGCCAGUGAUGGUGAUCACACCCUUGGGGCCAGGCAUCUUCAGUUUGAGGUAUACGUAACAUGGUCGGGCCAUGAACCGUGCAUAAGCUGGCCUGCCCAAAAUAGCGUGAUAAGCGCUCUAGAAAUCCACAACUUCAAAUAUCAGUUUCUCCUUGCGGAAGUGCUUCGAGUCGCCGAAAACCACAUCUAGAGCUAUUUGGCUGAGUGACUCAGCCUUCUUUCCAGGAAUGACUCCAUGAAAACUCAUGUUACUGGAGCUGAGUCUGGACAUCAGAAUGCCCAUUCCUUUUAGCGUCUCCGCAUACAAUAUAUUCAGUCCACUGCCACCAUCCAUCAGCACCUUAGUUAGUCGAGUGCCUUCGACGACUGCGUCGACCACCAAAGCUUGCCUCCCAGGGGUGGCUAUGUGUGUCGGAUGAUCGGACUGGUCGAAUGUAAUGGCAGUCUGAGACUAUUUCAGAUAGCUUGGUGUCUCCAGAGCGACCAUAUUUACCUCACGGUUGAUAACUUUCAAUCGACUUUUGCUCUCCACAUCAGCAAAAAUCAUCAGGGUGGAAUUGACAUGAGGGUACCCUUCGUCACUGUCCUCUUUGUCCACAGCCUUGUCCGACUCCUUCUCCUUAUCCUUGGACUGUUUUCCUUGGAACUGUUGGAUGAAGAGCCGGCACUGGCGAGUGGUAUGUUUUGGGUAGAUGAAGUUACCCUCUUCGUCUUUCUUCAUGUGGAUGUGACACGGCAGAUCCAUCACAUCAUUUCCUUCCUUAUCUUUUACCUUCUUGGGGUUCCAGGAUCCUUUGGGCUUUCCUUUUAAUUUGCCCUGAAUCACGGCCAAGGCCUCUCCAGGAGCAGCUGGCUCGGCUUUCCGCUUCUGCUUCCGACUGGAAUUUCCUUUUUCCGACUGACUCGGCUUGUACUUGCCACUCCGGAGCCGAUCCUCUUCUUCAACAUUGGCGUAUUUGGUGGCAAUCUCCAUCAUUCGACUCAGGGUCAUAUCUCCGGUCUGACCAAACUUCAAACUUAACGCUCUGUUCUUAACGCCAUCCUUGAAGGCACAGACUGCUUGAUGGUUAGAUACGUUCUCCACCGUAUGAUGCAACAUGAUCCAUCUCUGAAUGUAAUCUCUCAGGGUCUCAUUCGACUUUUGCACGCAGACCUGCAACUCUGUCAGUCCCGCUGGUCGCUUGCAAGUUCCUUCAAAUGUCCUGACGAACACUCGGGAAAGAUCUUCCCAAGUGUAAAUGCUGCUAGGAGCUAGCUGAUUCAACCAGGCCCUGGCCGAACCCUCCAACAUGAGUGGUAGGUGUUUCAUGGCCACUUCAUCAUUGCCACUGCCAAUCUGCACAGCCACUCAGUAGUCUUCGAGCCAAGUUUCAGGCUUGGACUCACCAGUGAACUUACUUACCCCAGUUGCCAACCUGAAGUUGGGAGGGAUCACUGCGGCUCUGAUGACUCUGCUAAAACAUUCUGGACCUGAAACAUGGACUCGGCUACUGGUGGGCGCAUCUCUGUCGUGGCCUCCUCGAUGAGCUCUGUUCCGAUCGACCAAACCUUGCACGAUGAUGGAUCUCGCGUCAAAGCUUGGUUCCCUGGGGUCGAUCGGAGCUCUUCGCCCAACACUGAGCUGGCGCCUGUCAUCUUGCUGCCGAGGGGCGUAAGACCCACCCCUUAGGGGAGGAGUGGGCACCCGACGCCGAUCAUCAUGAUCGAAUCGAUCAUCAUACUGGUCACGUCGACCUUCACGUCCCUCAUGCCGCAGAGGCGAUCUUGGGCUAUGAGCCGGCUAGACUGUAUUCGCAGCGGCGGAUCGACUGUGAAUCCUAUUGCGUGACUGUGACACAGCUGAAUUCUGAUCUCCUACUGUCCGGAGCAAAUCUCGGAUCUGCAUCAAGCCUCUGACAGCCUCCGAUUGAGAGGGCUGAAUUGACUCUGCUAUACGGGCUGCAGCUGCUAAAUUCUGAAUCGGGGUUCGAUAUACCUGAGUUGGUUGCGGAAAGAGUUGACGUCGACUGAAGUCGUGUACUCGUUGCCACGCGCGUUCGUCGAGUGCUCGCUGGAGGUUCUCCAGUCGAGUGUGUUCAGCCAAGUUGGCCAAACGCGCCUCCUCCAAGGCGCGAGCCUCGGGAGUUUCUCCUGCGAUGGGAGUAUGCAGAGCAUCCAUAUUCCAGCGGCGAAGAUCUUCCCUUUGCAGAGAAGUGAGUGGCUCGGGUUGAUAUUCCUCCGCCGUCCGCCCCAUCAGUGCGGGGGAAGCCGGGAGGACUACGAGGCCCAUUGACCAUCAGAACCUCCGCCGCUGGAUCACUGCCGUCGCACUCGGAUGCAGUCUCUACGGAGCCAGUCGACAGAUCGAACAUGCCGUAGAGAGAUUCGUCGGGCUCGAUUGCCGCGACUUGGGUGGUAGCCGAUUGGCGAGCCACUGCGUGUCUCACCCACCGCUGAAUCCUCGACCGACCAGAGCACUUGCGCUGGCGGGAGACAGGGAGGGAGGACGACACAUGAGUCAACCGAUACGGAGCCUACGGUUGUCGCAGCAGGACGCCGCGGACACAUGAGCGGAAGUGCGUCGCCCCGCGGACGGGAAGCGCGUCGGUGUCGAGUGGAGCCUCCUGGAGCCAAGCGGAGUCAUCGGCGAUGAACGUGAGCGCGCCGAGACGGAUCUCGCGGCCCUCGACCAGAACUCCGCCAGAAACCAUGAUGAAGGCGAUUGGAACAAAUGCAACUUCUCCAAUAAGCCGCUAAGACACCUGCCCCACGAUGGGCGCCAACUGUCGUUGUACUAAGACUGACAGUAGAAUGGGGGGUAGGUAUGGAGAGGCAAGAUCUUAGCUAUGGAGUAGUUGUAUACGCAAGGGAUUUACGAGUUCAGGCCCUUCUCGGAGGAAGUAAUAGCCCUACGUCUCGGAGCCCGGAGGCGGUCGACUGGAUUAUAAGCGUAUGAGUUACAGGGGUGCGAACCCUUCUGCCAGUGGAGGGGGGUGGCUUAUAUAGUGUCUGCCAGCGGAGGGUUUAAAGUACAUUAAGGCCAGGCGUUACUGGUAACGCCUUACAUAAAGUGUCAUCAUGGCUAUAAAGACUACUUAAUUACAGACCAUUUGGAUACAGAGUGGCUCUUGAUCUCCUAGUGGUCGAGUGAGUCUUCAUGGUCGAGUGUCUUCGAGUCCGCCGAGUGGCAUUCCUCUUGGUCGACUGGAAGGCAGCUUCUUAUAAAGAUGUCCUUGGGGAGGGUACCUUGGACAGGUCCAUGACCCUACCCUAGGUACAUGACUUCGUCAAUGCUCACCACUCGGAGUUCUUUUUAACCUACGCGAGGACUAGCUCGCGGCUAAGCCCCCAAGUGGGAGGGACACUCACCACUCAAAGUAGUUUUUAACUUAGGCGAGGACUGGCUCCCGGCUAAGCCCCCUAGUGGGAGGGACGCUCACCACUCGUAGUAUUUAAACUUAGGCGAGGACCGGCUCGCGGCUAAGGCCCCGAGUGGCAGGGAUGCUCUCCACUCAGAGUAGUUUUUUAACUUAUGCGAGGACUGGCUCACGACUAAGCCCCCGAGUGGGAGGGACACUCACCACUUGGAGCAGUUUUUUUAACUUAGGCGAGGACUGGCUCGGAGCUAAGCCCCCAUGUGGGAAGGACGCUUACCACUCGGAGUAGUUUUUUAACUUAGGUGAGGACUGGCUCACAGCUAGGCCCCCGAGUGGGAGGGAUGCUCACCACUCGGAAUAGUUUUUUAACUUAGGCGAGGACUGGCUCGCGGCUAAGCCCCCGAGUGGGAGGGACUCUCAGCACUCGGAGUAGGUUUUUAACUUAGGCGAGGACUAGCUCGCAGCUAAGCCCCCAAGUGGGAGGGACGCUCCCCACUCAAAGUAAUUUUUAAACUUAGGCGAGAACUGGCUCGCGGCUAAGCCUCUGAGUGGGAGGAAUGCUCUCCACUCAGAGUAAUUUUUAAACUUAGGCAAGGAUUAGCUCGCGGCUAAGCCACCCACUGGGGGUUUUUGGAACAUGCACUUGUGCGAGUGAAAUCAUCAAACGACUGCCGGAGUCAUGUCUUUGAGAAGAAAAUGUUUCUAAAAGUACUCUUAUUACAACUUGACAAUUUAGCUGUCAAGUAUAAAAUCGACGAAGAAGAUCUGCGUUCCAGACGCGUGGCUCGUCGAUCUUUUUUGCGAGGUUGUAGAGGUGGUAGAGUCCAUUAUGCAACACCUUGGUGACAAUGAAAGGACCUUCCCACGCGGGGCAAGCUUGUGCGGCUGCUGCUGAUCCACUCGGAGCACGAGAUCUCCCUCUUGGAGUGUCCGACCCUUGACGUGCCUUGCAUGGAAACGGCGAAGGUCUUGCUGGUAAACAGUCGACCAUAUUAGGGCCAUCUCUCGUUCUUCCUCCAAGUGAUCGACAACAUCUUGCCGUGCCUGCUUUGCUUUGGCUUCUGAAUAAAGCUCCACUCAGGGUGAGUUGUGGAAGAGAUCACUCGGCAGCAUGGAUUCGGCUCCAUACACCAUGGAGAAAGGGGUGCGGUGCGUAGACCGAUUAGGAGACGUCCUUAAUCCCCACAAGACAGACAGUAGUUCUCCCUGCAUGUUUAAGAUCACGCAUGAGCCGUGGCUUCAACCCUUGAAGGAUUAGGCCGUUCUCCCUCUCAGCUUGGCCUUUCUACUGUGGGUGCGCAAUGGAUGCAUAAUCCACCCGAGUGCCUUGGGUGGUGCAGAACCUUCUGAACUCUUAUGAAUCAAAAUUUGAGCAGUUCUCUAUGAUAAUGCUAUGAGGGACCCCAUAUCUGAAGAUCACUUUUCUCAUGAACUUCAUUGUCGUGCGCCAAUCUAACUUCUUGAUCGGUUUUGCUUCAAUCCAUUUGGUAAACUUGUCGACUGCUACGAGCAGAUGAGUCAAACCACUCGCGCCUGUCCUGAGCGGCCCAACCAUAUCCAAUUCCCAAGCAGCUAACGGCCAGACGAUUGGAAUUGUCUUUAAAGCAGACGUGGGUUUGUGGGACAAGUUCACAUAGAACUGGCAUCCUUCACAAUGUUGGACGAUCUCUUUAGCAACUUCGUUGGCACGUGGCCUGUAAAAACGGGCUCAGAAUGCUUUGGCUCCAAUUGUCCGUGAGGACGCAUGAUGACCACAAGUUCCCGAGUGAAUCUCCUAUAGGAUCAGUCGACCUUUCUCUCGGGAAAUGCAUCAUCGAGCCACGCCAGUGACACUCUCUCUGUAUAGCUUUCGUUCAUCACAGUGAAAGCUUUGGAUCCGCAGACAAUCUGACGUGCCCUGGGAGUUCUUGCCUGAGCAAAUAUGCAAUAUACGGCAUAGUCCAGUCGGGCGUAAUCACUAGAAUCUCCAUAACCAAGUCGAUGACUGCCGGGAUCUCGAUUUCGGUCGGGUUAGAGGGACCUAUAGCUUGGGGAGGCUCCUCAGUGAAAGGAUCCUCCUACACUAACGGGGAAUGGAGGUGCUCGAGGAACACAUUGCUGGGGAUAGGUUUCCGAGUGGACCCGAUCUUGGCCAAAUCAUCAGCUGCUUGGUUUUUUACUCAGGGAAUGUGAUGAAGCUUCGGACACUCGAAUUUCUUUUCUAACUUCCUCACUGCGUUGUAGUAUCCGGUCAUAGCAGGGUUUCUGACGUCCCAUUCCUUAAUCACUUGAUUGACCACCAGAUCUGAGUCGCUGUAUACCAUCAGGUGAUGGACGCCGAGUGAGAUGGUCAUACACAACCCGUAGAGGAGUGCUUCAUGUUCAGCCUCAUUAUUGGAUGAAUCAAAAUGAAUCUGGAGGACAUAACUGAGCCGAUCACCUUUUGGGGACACCAGAACCACUCCGGCGCCAGAACCAUUCAGCAUCUUGGAGCCAUCGAAGAACAUAGUCUAAUUCCCCGAGUGGAUCUGAGUCGGCUGUUGUUGUUCUAUCCACUCGGCCAAAAAAUCUGCAAGUGCUUGGGACUUGAUUGCCUUCUUUGCCCAUUUGGCCACUUGACCGGUUGCAUCCCGAUUGUUCAUGAUUUCAGACAGCGGGGCAUCACUGAUAACCGAGAGCGAGUGUUCUUGGAAAUAGUGAGCAACUUUCUUUGCUAUUUAGUAAAUACCAUAGACAAGCUUCUAGUAAUGGGGAUACCUUUGCUUAGAAGGAGUCAGGACUUUAGAGAUGUAAUAAACCAGUCGCUGAACUUUGUAGGCCUUGCCCUCUUCUUCCCGUUCCACUGUGAGGACUGUGCUGACGACUUGUCCAGUAGCUGCAAUGUACAAAAGCAGGGAUUCUUUGUUGUUCGGGGCAGCAAGCACCGACUGGGUGGAAAACAAGGCUUUGAGCUCAACAAAUGUUGCUUGUGCUUCGGUAGUCCAGUCGAACGUAUCUGAUUUCUUCAUCAGUCGGUACAAAAGGCAAUGCCUUUUCUUCGAGACGAGAAAUGAAUUGGCUCAGCGCUGCGAGACAGCCUGUUAGCUUCUGGACAUCGUGCAUGCGCACGGGGCGUUUCAUUCGGACAAUUGCGUUGAUUUUCUCGGGAUUGGCAUCUAUUCCUCGUUCGAAAACGAGGAAACCGAGUAACUUGCCUCCGGGCACGCCAAAAGUGCAUUUGGACGUAUUUAACUUGAUGUCAUACCUCCUUAGGUUGGCAAAGGUUUCAGCGAGAUCAGUCAGCAGGUCAUAACCUUUGCGUGACUUGACAACGAUAUCAUCCACGUAGGCCUCAAUGUUCCAAGUGAUCAGAGUGAGCAGGCAAUUCUGGAUGACGCGCAUAAAGGUAGCACUAACAUUUUUGAGGUCGAACGGUAUGGUGACAUAACAAAAACACUCAAAAGGGGUGACGAAGGCAGUUUUCAUUUUAUCUGGCCCAUACAGUCGGGUUUGAUGGUACCCGGAGUACGCAUCAAGAAAAUACAAAUGCUCGCACCCCAUAGUGGAAUCCACUAUAUGGUCGAUAUGGGGGAGCGGAAAAUGAUCUUUCAGGAAGGCCCGAUUGAUAUGUUUGAAAUCAAUACACAUAUAGAGUGAAUUGUCCUUCUCGGGGACCAUGAUGACAUUGGCGAGCCACUCAGAGUGGUAUAUUUCGCGUAUGAACUCAGUUUCCAGGAGCCAAGCUACUUCCUCGCCAAUUGCCUUCCUCUUCUCCGCAGUAGAGCGACGGAGAUGCUCCUUAACAGGUUUGGCCUUCGAGUCAACUCUCAAGCGGUGCUCAGCUAGUCCCCUGGGUACACCUGGCAUGUCAGAUGGUAUCCAUGCAAAGAUGUCCCAGUUCUCACAGAGGAACUAGAUGAGCGCGGCAACCUAUUUGCUGUUUGAGAUGUUGGUCGGAGCGGCCGCAUGAUCUGUCGGGUGAACAUGAACUUGCUUUGUCUCACGUGCCGAUUGGAAAGAAGAUUCGGAGGCUGGCUUCUUGGAACAAAUCAAAUCAGUCGAAUCAACAUUUCUCUUGUAUUCUUACAAUUCUACCAUCGCCAUCUGCUCGUCAGCAAUUUAGGAUCCUUGCUAGAGACACUCCUUAGCCCUCUGCCUAUUCCCCGUGAUUGUGAUUACGCCCUUGGGACCGGGCAUGUUCAACUUGAGGUAAACAUAACAUGGACGGGCCAUGAAACGUGCAUAAGCAGGUUGACCGAGGAUAGCUUGGUAGACACUGUGAAAAUCCACCACUUCGAAUGUCAACUUUUCCUUCUGAAAAUUCUUCGAGUCGCCGAAAACUACAUCCAAAGAAAUCUGACCGACUGACCUUGCUUUCUUCCCCGGAAUGACUUCGUGAAACUGCAUGUUGCUCUCACUAAGUCGGGAAACUGGAAUGACCAACCCUUUAAGGGUCUCGACAUAGAGUAUAUUCAAGCCACUCCCACCAUCCAUGAGGACCUUCUGUAACCGAGUGUCUUCCACGACUGGAUGAACCACAAACGCUUGCCGCCCAGGGGUAGCAACGUAAGCUGGGUGGUCUGACUAAUCAAAAUUGAUGGGAGUUUUUUACCACCUAAGAUACGUCGUGGUUGCUGGAACAAUCAUAUUAACUUCUAGGUUGAUAACUUUCAGUGGACUAUUACUCUCCACGUCAGCAAAAAUCACAAGAGUGGCAUUGACUUUCGGGUAAUCCUCAACCUUUUCUUCUUCGUCAUCUUUGUCGGAGCCCUUUUCACUCGGCUGACCUUCACGGAACUGUUGAAUCAAAAGCCUGCACUGUCGAGUGGUAUGCUUGGGCAAUAUCAGGUUACCCUCUUCGUCUUUUUUCGUGUGAAAGGCACACGGCAAGUCGAGGACGUCCUGUCCCGACUGGUCUUUCUUUGUUUUGCGCACCCAGUGUUCUUUGGCUUCCCCUUUGAACUUGCCUUGUGCAGCCACAUUAGCCACCUCUGCCUGGCCUGUGCCCUCGGCCUUGCGCUUCUGUUUUCGACUGGGAUUAUCACCACCAGCGUCAGGAUCAACAACCUUUCCCUUGCCACUGCGGAGACGAUAUUCUUCCUCGCCAUUCGCGUACCGAGUGGCUAUCUCCAUCAUUCUGCUCAUAGUCAAAGUCCCAUACUGACCGAAUUUCAGUAUGAGCUCUCUGUACCUGACACCAUCCUUGAAAGUGCAAACAGCCUGAUGAUCGGUAACAUUCUCAACCACAUGGUGAAGUGUGGUCUAACGAUGUAUGUAAUCUCUCAGGGUCUCAUUCGUCUUUUGAACGCAGUGUUGCAAUUCGGUCAGCCUGGCAGGACGCUUGCAAGUGCCCUCGAACAUUUUAAUAAACACCCGAGCCAAAUCUUCCCAGCAGUAUACACCACAGGAGCCAGCUGGUACAACCUUGCUCGAGCCGACCCUUCUAGCAUCAAAGGAAAGUGCUUCAUAGCGACAUAAUCAUUGCCCCCACCAAUCUACACAGCCACAUGAUAAUCCUCCAACCAUGUCGCUGGCUUCGACUCGCCAAUGAAGUUGUUUACUCCAUUGGCUGACCUGAAGUUGGGCGGUAUCUCCGCAGCCGGAUGGCCCUGCUGAAACAUUCGGGUCCAGAGACGAAAGUGCCACUUCCACUCGGACGAUCUCUGUCCAAGUUCUCUCGGGAAGCUCUGCCUCUGUCGACUAAAUUCUGCACAAGGACGAACCUUGCGUUGAACCCUGGAUCUCGGGGAUCGACUGGUUCUCUCUACUCGUCGCCGUAUGGGCGCCAGCUAUCAUACUGCGGGGCACGUAUGAUCUGCUCCUCGGAGGGGGCGUCGGCACUCGACGGCAGUCAUCACGGUGAUGUUGUGGAGCAAACUGACCGCGGCCUUGAUCCAGGUACUGAUCCUGGCGGUAACCGCAAUCAUCACGCCAUGAAGGCGAUCUGGGGCUAUGGGCCGACUGAACUGUGUCAGCCCUAACAGAUCUGCCAUGAAUUCUAUUGCACGACUGGGAAACAGCCGAAUUUUGUUCAUCAGCCGCCCUUAGGAGCGCUCUGGUCUGCUGAAGACCUCUUCUAGCCUCGGACAAUGAGGGCUGGAUAGAAUCUGUGAUCCUCGUGGCUGCUGCCAUGUUCUGAAUCAGAGUGCGGAACACCUGAUGCUCGUUCAGAGAUUCACCCAGGAAUAGUUGUCCCUGUCGCCGAUUGCAGUUUGGAGGUUGCCUGCGGGCUCGAUCAUCGAGUGAUUUCUGGAGUUCUUUAAGGCGCAUGCAUUCAGCCAGAGUUGCUAUGUGCAUGGCUUCCAAAGCCUAAGCCUCGGCGGUCAUGCCAUCGAUGGGAGUUUGAAGGACCUGCUCAUUCCCGCGAAGCAGUUCUUCCCUUUGUUCCACACUGAGGGGUUGCGGGUAAUACUCACCGUUGAGAUGUGACGGACCACCGCUACCAUCGCCGCCAUGGGGUAAUCCCGGUGGGCUUUGCUGAGGACCAACCACAAACACUUCUACCGCCGGGUCGUUGCUUUCGCACUCGAAAGGAGCAUCCGAGUGAUCAGUCAACGGAUCGAUCAAGUCAUAGAGGGAUUCAUUGGGCUCGAUUGCCGGGAUCUGCAGGGUGGAUGACUGAGGAGCCACCGCAUGCCUCACCCACCGCUGGAGCUGCGAGCGACCGGAUCGCUUGCAACGGCAAGUCGUGGGGAGAGGAAACUGUUGGGGAACGUUGCAGAAAAUUAAAAAUUUUCCUACGGUUUCACCAAGAUCCAUCUAUGAGUUCAUCUAAGCAACGAGUCUAGGGAGAGAGUUUGCAUCUACAUACCACUUGUAGAUCGCGUGCGGAAGCUUGCAAGGUGAUGAUGUAGUCGUACUCGACGUGAUUCAAAUCACCGAUGACCUGCGCCGAACGGACGGCACCUCCGCGUUCAACACACGUACGGAAACAGCCACGUCUCCUCCUUCUUGAUCCAGCAAGGAAGGGAGGAGAGGUUGAGGGAGAUGGCACCAGCAGCAGCACGACGGCGUGGUGUUGGUGGAGCUGCAGUACUCCGGCAGAGCUUCGCUAAGCGCUAUGGAGUUGGAGGAGGUGUUGGGGAGGGAGAAGGAGGCAACCAAAGGCCAGGGCACAAGGUAUGAAGUCCCUCCUCNNNNNNNNNNNNNNNNNNNNNNNNNNNNNNNNNNNNNNNNNNNNNNNNNNNNNNNNNNNNNNNNNNNNNNNNNNNNNNNNNNNNNNNNNNNNNNNNNNNNNNNNNNNNNNNNNNNNNNNNNNNNNNNNNNNNNNNNNNNNNNNNNNNNNNNNNNNNNNNNNNNNNNNNNNNNNNNNNNNNNNNNNNNNNNNNNNNNNNNNNNNNNNNNNNNNNNNNNNNNNNNNNNNNNNNNNNNNNNNNNNNNNNNNNNNNNGAUGCCCGAAACAGGACUUCCCAUAUAUAAAUCUUUACCUCCGGACCAUUCCGGAACUCCUCGUGACGUCCGGGAUCUCAUCCGGGACUCUGAACAACAUUCGGGUUACUGCAUAUACAUAUCCCUACAACCCUAGCGUGACUGAACCUUAAGUGUGUAGACCCUACGGGUUCGGGAGACAUGUAGACAUGACCGAGACUCUCUUAGUCAAUAACCAUCAGCGGGAUCUGGAUACCCAUGAUGGCUCCCACAUGCUCCUCGAUGUUGUCAUCGGAUGAACCACUAUGUCGAGGAUUCGAUCAAACCCUGUAUACAAUUCCCUUUGCCAAUCGGUACGUUACUUGCCCGAGACUUGAUCGUCGGUAUCCCAAUACCUUGUUCAGUCUCGUUACCGGCAAGUCACUUUACUCGUACCGUAAUGCAUGAUCCCGUGUCCAACACUUUGGUCACUUUGAGCUCAUUAUGAUGAUGCAUUACCGAGUGGGCCCAGAGAUACCUCUCCGUCAUACGGAGUGACAAAUCCCAGUCUCGAUCCGUGUCAACCCAACAGCUACUUUCGGAGAUACCUGUAAUGCACCUUUAUAGUCACCCAGUUACGUUGUGACGUUUGGCACACCCAAGGCAUUCUUACGGUAUCCGGGAGUUACACGAUCUCAUGGUCGAAGGAAGAGAUACUUGACACUUGCAAAGCUCUAGCAAAACGAACUACACGAUCUUUUAUGCUAUGCUUAGGAUUGGGUCUUGUCCAUCACAUCAUUCUCCUAAUGAUGUGAUCCCGUUAUCAAUGACAUCCAAUGUCCAUAGUCAGGAAACCAUGACUAUCUGUUGAUCACAACGAGCUGGUCAACUAGAGGCUUACCAGGGACAUAGUGUGGUCUAAGUAUUCACACGUGUAUUACGAUUUCCGGAUAAUACAGUUAUAGCAUGAAUACAAGACAAUUAUCAUGAACAAUGAAAUAUAAUAAUAAUACUUUUAUUAUUGCCUCUAGGGCAUAUUUCCAACAGUCUCCCACUUGCACUAGAGUCACUAAUCUAGUUACAUUGUGAUGAAUCGAACACCCAUAGAGUUCUGGUGUUGAUCAUGUUUUGUACGCGAGAGAGGUUUAGUCAGCGGAUCUGCGACAUUCAGAUCCGUGUGUACUUUGCAAAUCUCUAUGUCUCCAUCUUGAACAUUUUCACGGAUGGAGUUGAAACGACGCUUGAUGUGCCUGGUCUUCUUGUGAAACCUGGGCUCCUUUGCGAGGGCAAUAGCUCCAGUGUUGUCACAGAAGAGUUUGAUCGGCCCCGACGCAUUGGGUAUGACUCCUAGGUCGGUGAUGAACUCCUUCACCCAAAUUGCUUCAUGUGCUGCCUCCGAGGCUGCCAUGUACUCCGCUUCACACGUAGAUCCCGCCACGACGCUCUGCUUGCAGCUGCACCAGCUUACUGCUCCACCAUUCAACAUAUACACGUAUCCGGUUUGUGACUUAGAGUCAUCCGGAUCUGAGUCAAAGCUAGCGUCGACGUAACCUUUUACGACGAGCUCUUCGUCUCCUCCAUAAACGAGAAACAUGUCCUUUGUCCUUUUCAGGUACUUCAGGAUAUUCUUGACCGCUGUCCAGUGUUCCUUGCCGGGAUUACUUUGGUAUCUUGCUACCAAACUUACGGCAAGGUUUACAUCGGGUCUGGUACACAGCAUGGCAUACAUAAUAGAUCCUAUGGCUGAAGCAUAGGGGAUGACACUCAUCUCUUCUUUAUCUUUUGCCGUGGUCGGUGACUGAGCUGAGCUCAGUCUCAUACCUUGUAACAUAGGCAAGAACCCCUUCUUGGACUGAUCCAUUCUGAAUCUCUUCAAAAUCUUAUCAAGGUAUGUACUUUGUGAAAGACCUACGAGGCGUCUCGAUCUAUCUCUAUAGAUCUUGAUGCCUAAUAUAUAAGCAGCUUCUCCAAGGUCCUUCAUUGAAAAACACUUAUUCAAGUAGGCCUUAAUGCUGUCCAGAAAUUCUAUAUUAUUUCCCAUCAGGAGUAUGUCAUCUACAUAUAAUAUGAGAAAUGCUACAGAGCUCCCACUCACUUUCUUGUAAACGCAGGCUUCUCCAUAAGUCUGCAUAAACCCAAACGCUUUGAUCAUCUCAUCAAAGCGAAUGUUCCAACUCCGAGAUGCUUGCACCAGUCCAUAAAUGGAUCGCUGGAGCUUGCAUACUUUGCUAGCGUUCUGAGGAUCGACAAAACCUUCCGGCUGCAUCAUAUACAGUUCUUCCUUAAGAUGCCCGUUAAGGAAUGCUGUUUUGACGUCCAUCUGCCAUAUCUCAUAAUCAUAGUAUGCGGCAAUUGCUAACAUGAUUCGGACGGACUUUAGCUUCGCUACGGGAGAGAAUGUCUCGUCGUAGUCAAUCCCUUGAACCUGUCGAUAACCCUUAGCGACAAGUCGAGCUUUAUAGAUGGUAACAUUACCAUCCGCGUCCGUCUUCUUCUUAAAGAUCCAUUUGUUUUCUAUCGCUCGCCGAUCAUCGGGCAAGUCUGUCAAAGUCCAUACUUUGUUUUCAUACAUGGAUUCUAUCUCGGAUUUCAUGGCUUCAAGCCAUUUGUUGGAAUCCGGGCCCGUCAUUGCUUCUUCAUAGUUCGAAGGUUCAUUGUUGUCUAACAACAUGAUUUCCAGGACAGGGUUGCCGUACCACUCUAGUGCGGAACGUGUCCUUGUGGACUUACGAAGUUCAGCAGUAACUUGAUCCGAAGUACCUUGAUCAUCAUCAUGGUUUUCCUCUUCAGUUGGUGUGGGCAUCACAGGAAUGGUUUCCUGUGCUGCGUCACUAUCCCGCUCAAGAGGUAGUACUUCAUCGAGUUCUACUUUCCUCCCACUUACUUCUUUCGAGAGAAACUCUUUCUCUAGAAAGCAUCCGUUCUUGGCAACAAAGAUCUUGCCUUCGGAUCUUAAGUAGAAGGUAUACCCUAUAGUUUCCUUAGGGUAUCCUAUGAAUACGCAUUUUUCCGACUUUGGUUCGAGCUUUUCAGGUUGAAGUUUCUUGACAUAAGCUUCGCAUCCCCAAACUUUUAGAAACGACAGCUUAGGUUUCUUUCCAAACCAUAAUUCAUACGGUGUCGUCUCAACGGAUUUAGACGGUGCCCUAUUUAUAGUGAAUGUAGCUGUCUCUAGAGCGUAUCCCCAAAAUGAUAGCGGUAAAUCGGUAAGAGACAUCAUAGACCGCACCAUAUCCAAUAGAGUGCGAUUACGACGUUCGGACACACCGUUUCGCUGAGGUGUUCCAGGCGGCGUGAGCUGUGAAACGAUUCCACAUUUCUUUAAGUGUGUACCAAAUUCGUGACUUAAGUAUUCUCCUCCACGAUCUGAUCGUAAGAAUUUUAUCUUUCGGUCACGUUGAUUCUCCACCUCAUUCUGAAAUUCCUUGAACUUUUCAAAGGUCUCAGACUUGUGUUUCAUUAAGUAGACAUACCCAUAUCUACUCAAGUCAUCUGUGAGAGUGAGAACAUAACGAUAUCCUCCGCGAGCCUCAACGCUCAUUGGACCGCACACAUCGGUAUGUAUGAUUUCCAACAAGUUGGUUGCUCACUCCAUUGUUCCGGAGAACGGAGUCUUGGUCAUUUUACCUAAGAGGCAGGGUUCGCAUGUGUCAAAUGAUUCAUAAUCAAGAGACUCUAAAAGUCCAUCAGUAUGGAGCUUCUUCAUGCGCUUGACACCAAUGUGACCAAGGCGGCAGUGCCACAAGUAUGUGGGACUAUCGUUAUCAACUUUAAAUCUUUUGGCAUCUACACUAUGAACAUGUGUAAUAUUACGCUCGAGAUUCAUUAAGAAUAAACCAUUGACCAUCGGAGCAUGACCAUAAAACAUAUCUCUCAUAUAAAUCGAACAACCAUUAUUCUCAGACUUAAAUGAGUAGCCAUCUCGUAUUAAACGAGAUCCAGAUACAAUGUUCAUGCUCAAACUUGGCACUAAAUAACAAUUAUUGAGGUUCAAAACUAAUCCCGUAGGUAAAUGUAGAGGCAGCGUGCCGACGGCGAUCACAUCGACUUUGGAACCAUUCCCGACGCGCAUCGUCACCUCGUCCUUUGCCAGUCUCCGUUUAUUCCGCAGCUCCUGCUGUGAGUUACAAAUAUGAGCAACGGCACCGGUAUCAAAUACCCAAGAGUUACUACGAUUACUGGUAAGGUACACAUCAAUCACAUGUAUAUCAAAUAUACCUUUGGUGUUUCCGGCCUUCUUAUCCGCUAAGUAUUUGGGGCAGUUCCGCUUCCAGUGACCCUUCCCCUUGCAAUAAAAGCACUCAGUCUCAGGCUUGGGUCCUUUCUUUGACUUCUUCCCGGCAACUGGCUUACCAGGCGCGGCAACAUCUUUGCCGUCCUUCUUGAAGUUCUUCUUACCCUUGCCCUUCUUGAACUUAGUGGUCUUAUUGACCAUCAACACUUGAUGUUCUUUCUUGAUUUCAGCCUCUGCUGACUUCAGCAUCGAGAACAAUUCAGGAAUGGUCUUUUCCAUUCCUUGCAUGUUGUAGUUCAUCACAAAGCUCUUGUAGCUUGGUGGGAGCGACUGGAGGAUUCUGUCAAUGACCGCCUCAUCUGGGAGGUUAAUGUUCAGCUGGGUUAUACGGUUGUGCAACCCAGACAUCUUCAGGAUGUGCUCACUGACAGAACUGUUUUCCUCCAUCUUACAACUGUAGAACUUGUCGGAGACAUCAUAUCUCUCGACCCGGGCAUGAGCUUGAAAAACUAGUUUCAGCUCUUCGAACAUCUCAUAUGCUCCGUGAUGCUCAAAACGCUUUUGGAGCCCCGGUUCUAAGCUGUAAAGCAUGCCGCACUGAACGAGGGAGUAAUCAUCAGCGCGAGUUUGCCAAGCAUUCAUAAUGUCUUGGUUCUCUGGGACGGGAGCGUCACCUAGCGGUCCUUCUAGGACAUAUUGUUUCCUGGCAGCUAUGAGGAUGAUCCUCAGGUUCCGGACCCAGUCCGUAUAGUUGCUGCCAUCAUCUUUCAGCUUGGUUUUCUCUAGGAACGCGUUGAAGUUCAUGUUGACAUUAGCAUUGGCCAUUGAUCUACAAGACAUAUUUGCAAAGGUUUUAGACUAUGUUCAUGAUAAUAAAGUUCUAAUCAAAUUAUGAACUCCCACUUAGAUUAGACAUCCCUUUAGUCAUCUAAGUGUUACACGAUCCGAGUCGACUAGCCCGUGUCCGAUCAUCACGUGAGACGGACUAGUCAUCGUCGGUGAACAUUUUCAUGUUGAUCGUAUCUUCCAUACGACUCGUGUUCGACCUUUCGGUCUCCGUGUUCCGAGGCCAUGUCUGCACAUGCUAGGCUCGUCAAGUUAACCCUAAGUGUUUUCGCUGUGUAAAACUGUCUUACACCCGUUGUAUGUGAACGUAAGAAUCCAUCACACCCGAUCAUCACGUGGUGCUUAGAAACGACGAACUGUAGCAACGGUGCACAGUUAGGGGAGAACACUUCUUGAAAUUUUAUAAGGGAUCAUCUUAUUUACUACCGUCGUCCUAAGUAAACAAGAUGCAUAAUACAUAAUAAACAUCACAUGCAAUUAUAGUUGUGACAUGAUAUGGCCAAUAUCAUAUAGCUCCAUUGAUCUUCAUCUUCGGGGCUCCAUGAUCAUCUUGUCACCGGCUUGACACCAUGAUCUCCAUCAUCAUGAUCUCCAUCAUCGUGUCUUCAUGAAGUUGUCACGCCAACGACUACUUCUACUUCUAUGACUAAUGUUUAGCAAUAAAGUAAAGUAGUUUACAUGACGUUAUUCAAUGACACGCAGGUCAUACAAAAAAUAAUGACAACUCCUAUGGCUCCUGCCGGUUGUCAUACUCAUCGACAUGCAAGUCGUGAAUCCUAUUACAAAGAACAUGAUCUCAUACAUCACAAUUCAUCAUUCAUCACAACUUCUGGCCAUAUCACAUCACAUGAUCAAUCGCUGCAAAAACAAGUUAGACGUCCUCUAAUUGUUGUUGCAUCUUUUACGUGGCUGCAAUUGGGUUCUAGCAAGAACGUUUUCUUACCUACGAAUCACCACAACGUGAUUUUGUCAACUUCUAUUUACCCUUCAUAAGGGCCCUGUUCAUCGAUUCCGCUCCAACUAAAGUGGGAGAGAUAGACACCCGCCAGCCACCUUAUGCAACUUGUGCAUGUCAGUCGGUGGAACCGGUCUCACGUAAGCGUACGUGUAAGGUUGGUCCGGGCCGCUUCAUCCCACAAUACCGUUGAGCAAGAAAAGACUAGUAGAGGCAAGUAAGAUGACAAAAUCCACGCCCACAACAAAGUUGUGUUCUACUCGUGCAAAGAGAACUACGCAUAGACCUAGCUCAUGAUGCCACUGUUGGGGAACGUUGCAGAAAAUUAAAAUUUUUCCUACGGUUUCACCAAGAUCCAUCUAUGAGUUCAUCUAAGCAACGAGUCUAGGGAGAGAGUUUGCAUCUACAUACCACUUGUAGAUCGCGUGCGGAAGCUUGCAAGGUGAUGAUGUAGUCGUACUCGACGUGAUUCAAAUCACCGAUGACCUGCGCCGAACGGACGGCACCUCCGCGUUCAACACACGUACGGAAACAGCCACGUCUCCUCCUUCUUGAUCCAGCAAGGAAGGGAGGAGAGGUUGAGGGAGAUGGCACCAGCAGCAGCAUGACGGCGUGGUGUUGGUGGAGCUGCAGUACUCCGGCAGAGCUUCGCUAAGCGCUAUGGAGUUGGAGGAGGUGUUGGGGAGGGAGAAGGAGGCAACCAAAGGCCAGGGCACAAGGUAUGAAGUCCCUCCUCUCCCCCCACUAUAUAUAGGGGUGCCAAGGGGGGUUGGCCGGCCCUAGGAGAUCAAAUCUCCUAGGGGGUGCGGCGGCCAAGGGGGGAUUCCCUCCCCCCCAAGGCACCUAGGAGGUGCCUUCCACUAGUAGGACUCCUCCCCCUUUGGAACCCUAGGCGCAUGGGCCUUGUGGGGCUGGUGCCCUUGGCCCAUGAAGGCCAAGGCGCACCCCCUACAGCCCAUGUGGCCCCCGGGGAUGGGUGGCCCCACCCGGUGGGCCCCCGGGACCCCUCCGGUGGUCCCGGUACAAUACCGAUAACCCCGAAACUUGUCCCGAUGCCCGAAACAGGACUUCCCAUAUAUAAAUCUUUACCUCCGGACCAUUCCGGAACUCCUCGUGACGUCCGGGAUCUCAUCCGGGACUCCGAACAACAUUCGGGUUACUGCAUAUACAUAUCCCUACAACCCUAGCGUGACUGAACCUUAAGUGUGUAGACCCUACGGGUUCGGGAGACAUGUAGACAUGACCGAGACUCUCUUAGUCAAUAACCAUCAGCGGGAUCUGGAUACCCAUGAUGGCUCCCACAUGCUCCUCGAUGUUGUCAUCGGAUGAACCACUAUGUCGAGGAUUCGAUCAAAAACCCUGUAUGCAAUUCCCUUUGUCAAUCGGUACGUUACUUGCCCGAGACUCGAUCGUCGGUAUCCCAAUACCUUGUUCAGUCUCGUUACCGGCAAGUCACUUUACUCGUACCGUAAUGCAUGAUCCCGUGUCCAACACCUUGGUCACAUUGAGCUCAUUAUGAUGAUGCAUUACCGAGUGGGCCCAGAGAUACCUCUCCGUCAUACGGAGUGACAAAUCCCAGUCUCGAUCCGUGUCAACCCAACAGCUACUUUCGGAGAUACCUGUAAUGUACCUUUAUAGUCACCCAGUUACGUUGUGACGUUUGGUACACCCAAGGCAUUCUUACGGUAUCCGGGAGUUACACGAUCUCAUGGUCGAAGGAAGAGAUACUUGACACUUGCAAAGCUCUAGCAAAAUGAACUACACGAUCUUUUAUGCUAUGCUUAGGAUUGGGUCUUGUCCAUCACAUCAUUCUCCUAAUGAUGUGAUCCCGUUAUCAAUGACAUCCAAUGUCCAUAGUCAGGAAACCAUGACUAUCUGUUGAUCACAACGAGCUGGUCAACUAGAGGCUUACCAGGGACAUAGUGUGGUCUAAGUAUUCACACGUGUAUUACGAUUUCCGGAUAAUACAGUUAUAGCAUGAAUACAAGACAAUUAUCAUGAACAAUGAAAUAUAAUAAUACUUUUAUUAUUGCCUCUAGGGCAUAUUUCCAACACCAGUGAUACCUCUCCGUCAUACGGAGUGACAAAUCCCAGUCUUGAUCCAUGUCACCCAACAGACACUUUCGGAGAUACCCGUAGUCUACCUUUAUAGUCACCCAGUUACGUUGUGACGUUUGGCAUACCCAAAGCACUCCUACGGUAUCCGGGAGUUACACGAUCUCAUGGUCUAAGGAAAAGAUACUUUGACAUUGCAAAACUCUAGCAAACGAACUAUACGAUCUUGUGCUAUGUUUAGGAUUGGGUCUCGUCCAUCACAUCAUUCUCCCAAUGAUGUGAUCUCGUUAUCAAUGACAUCCAGUGUCCAUAGUCAGGAAACCAUGACUAUCUGUUGAUCAACGAGCUAGUCAACUAGAGGCUCACUAGGGACAUGUUGGUGUCUGUUAUUCACACAUGCAUUACGAUUUCCGGAUAACACAAUUAUAGCAUGAAUAAAGACAAUUAUCAUGAACAAGGAAAUAUAAUAAUAAUGCUUUUAUUAUUGCCUCUAGGGCAUAUUUCCAACAGCUUUGAGUUACAAAUGUGAGCAACUGCACCGGUAUCAAAUACCCAGGAGCCACUACGGGCACUAGUAAGGUACACAUCAAUUACAUGUAUAUCACAUAUACCUUUUGUUUUGCCGGCCUUCUUAUCCGCUAAGUACUUAGGGCAGUUCCGCUUCCAGUGACCGCUCCCUUGCAAUAAAAGCACUCAGUCUCGGGCUUGGGUCCAUUCUUUGGCUUCUUCCCGGCAGCUUGCUUGCCGAGCGCGGCAACCUCCUUGCCGUCCUUCUUGAAGUUCUUUUUACCCUUGCCUUUCUUGAACUUAGUGGUUUUAUUGACCAUCAACACUUGAUGUUCCUUCCUGACUUCUACCUCUGCUGAUUUUAGCAUAGCAAAUACUUCAGGAAUGGUCUUUUCCAUCCCCUGCAUAUUGAAGUUCAUCACAAAGCUCUUGUAGCUUGGUGGAAGCGACUGGAGGAUUCUGUCAAUGACCGCAUCAUCCGGGAGAUUAACUCCCAGCUGAGUCAAGCGGUUAUGCAACCCAGACAUAGUGAGUAUGUGCUCACUGACAGAAUUGUUUUCCUCCAUCUUACAGCUGAAGAAUUUGUCGGAGACUUCAUAUCUCUCGACCCGGGCAUGAGCUUGGAAAACCAUUUUCAGCUCUUCGAACAUCUCAUAUGCUCCAUGUCUCUCAAAACGCUUUUGGAGCCCCGGCUCUAGGCUGUAAAGCAUGCCGCACUGAACGAGGGAGUAGUCAUCGAAACGUGCCUGCCAAGCGUUCAUAACAUCUUGUUCUGCAGGGAGAACGGGUGCGUCACCAAGCGGUGCUUGUAGGACAUAAUCUUUCUUGGCAGCUAUGAGGAUGAUCCUCAGGUUCCGGACCCAGUCCGUAUAGUUGCUGCCAUCGUCUUUCAGCUUAGUUUUCUCUAGGAACGCGUUGAAGUUGAGGACUACGUUGGCCAUUUGAUCUACAAGACAUAUUGUAAAAAUAUUUAGACUAAGUUCAUGAUAAUUAAGUUCAACUAAUCAAAUUAUUAGUGAACUCCCACUUAGAUUAGACAUCCCUCUAUCAUCUAAGUAUUACAUGAUCCGAGUUAAACUAGACCGUGUCCGAUCAUCACGUGAGACGGACUAGUCAACAUCGGUGAACAUCUUCAUGUUGAUCGUAUCUUCUAUACGACUCAUGCUCGACCUUUCGGUCUUCUGUGUUCCGAGGCCAUGUCUGUACAUGCUAGGCUCGUCAAGUCAACCUAAGUGUUUGCAUGUGUAAAUCUGUCUUACACCCGUUGUAUGUGAACGUCUGAAUAAAACACCCGAUCAUCACGUGGUGUUUUGAAACAGCGAAACGCAACGGUGCACAGUUAGGGGGAACACUUCUUGAAUUUAUUGUGAGGGAUCAUCUUAUUUACUACCGUCGUUCUAAGUAAACAAGAUGCAAAACAUGAUAAACAUCACAUGCAAUCAAAUAAUAAACGUGACAUGAUAUGGCCAAUAUCACAUAGCUCCUUUGAUCUCCAUCUUGGGGCUCCAUGAUCAUCUUGUCACCGGCUUGACACCAUGAUCUCCAUCAUCAUGAUCUCCAUCAUCGUGUCUCCAUGAAGUUGCUCGCCAACUAUUACUUCUACUACUAUGGCUAACACGUUUAGCAAUAAAUUAAAGUAAUUUACAUGGCGUUUCUUGAUGACACGCAGGUCAUAUAAAAGAAUAAAGACAACUCCUAUGGCUCCUGCCGGUUGUCAUACUCAUCGACAUGCAAGUCGUGAAUCCUAUUACAAUAGCAUGAACAUCUCAUACAUCACAUAUAGAUCAUUCAUCAUUCAUCACAACUUUGGCCAUAUCAUAUCACAAACCACUUGCUGCAAAAACAAGUUAGACGUCCUCUAAUUGUUGUUGCAAGUUUUACGUGGCUGAAUUAGGGUUCUAGCAAGAACGUUUUCUUACCUACGUUAAAGCCACAACGUGAUUUGUCAACUUCUAUUUACCCUUCAUAAGGACCCUGUUCAUCGAUUCCGCUCCAACUAAAGUAGGAGAGACAGACACCCGCCAGCCACCUUAUGCAACUAGUGCAUGUUAGUCGGUGGAACCGGUCUCACGUAAGCGUACGUGUAAGGUUGGUCCGGGCCGCUUCAUCCCACAAUACCGCUGAAGCAAGAAAGGACUAGUAAUGGCAAGAAAGUUGACAAAUCUACGCCCACAACAAAUUGUGUUCUACUCGCGCAAGAAGAACUACGCAUAGACCUAGCUCAUGAUGCCACUGAUGGGGAACGUUGCAGAAAACAAAAAUUUUCCUACUCGUUUCACCAAGAUCAUCUAGGAGUUCAUCUAGCAACGAGUGAUUAGAUGCAUCUACAUACCUUUGUAGAUCGCGAGCGGAAGCGUUCAAAAGAACGGUGAUGAUGUAGUCGUACUCGACGUGAUCCAAAUCACCGAUGACCAGCGCCGAACGGACGGCACCUCCGCGUUCAACACACGUACGGAACAGCCACGUCUCCUCCUUCUUGAUCCAGCAAGGGAGGGAGGAGAGGUUGAGGGAGAUGGCACCAGCAGCAGCACGACGGCGUGGUGUUGAUGGAGCUGCAGUACUCCGGCAGAGCUUCGCUAAGCACUAUGGAGUUGGAGGAGGUGUUGGGGAGGGAGAAGGAGGCAACCAAAGGCCAAGGACUCAAGGUUUGAAGUCCCUCCUCUCCCCCACUAUAUAUAGGGGUGCCAAGGGGGGGUGGCCGGCCCUAGGAGAUCCAAUCUCCUAGGGGUGCGGCGGCCUAGGGGGGUUUCCCUCCCCCCCAAGGCACCUAGGAGGUGCCUUCCACUAGUAGGACUCCUCCCCCUUGGAAACCCUAGGCGCAUGGGCCUAGUGGGGCUGGUGCCCUUGGCCCAAGCAGGCCAAGGCGCACCCCCUACAGCCCAUGUGGCCCCCGGGGAUGGGUGGCCCCACCCGGUGGGCCCCCGGGACCCCUCCGGUGGUCCCGGUACAAUACCGAUAACCCCGAAACUUGUCCCGAUGCCCGAAACAGGACUUCCCAUAUAUAAAUCUUUACCUCCGGACCAUUCCGGAACUCCUCGUGACGUCCGGGAUCUCAUCCGGGACUCUGAACAACAUUCGGGUUACUGCAUAUACAUAUCCCUACAACCCUAGCGUGACUGAACCUUAAGUGUGUAGACCCUACGGGUUCGGGAGACAUGUAGACAUGACCGAGACUCUCUUAGUCAAUAACCAUCAGCGGGAUCUGGAUACCCAUGAUGGCUCCCACAUGCUCCUCGAUGUUGUCAUCGGAUGAACCACUAUGUCGAGGAUUCGAUCAAACCCUGUAUACAAUUCCCUUUGCCAAUCGGUACGUUACUUGCCCGAGACUUGAUCGUCGGUAUCCCAAUACCUUGUUCAGUCUCGUUACCGGCAAGUCACUUUACUCGUACCGUAAUGCAUGAUCCCGUGUCCAACACUUUGGUCACUUUGAGCUCAUUAUGAUGAUGCAUUACCGAGUGGGCCCAGAGAUACCUCUCCGUCAUACGGAGUGACAAAUCCCAGUCUCGAUCCGUGUCAACCCAACAGCUACUUUCGGAGAUACCUGUAAUGCACCUUUAUAGUCACCCAGUUACGUUGUGACGUUUGGCACACCCAAGGCAUUCUUACGGUAUCCGGGAGUUACACGAUCUCAUGGUCGAAGGAAGAGAUACUUGACACUUGCAAAGCUCUAGCAAAACGAACUACACGAUCUUUUAUGCUAUGCUUAGGAUUGGGUCUUGUCCAUCACAUCAUUCUCCUAAUGAUGUGAUCCCGUUAUCAAUGACAUCCAAUGUCCAUAGUCAGGAAACCAUGACUAUCUGUUGAUCACAAUGGGCUGGUCAACUAGAGGCUUACCAGGGACAUAGUGUGGUCUAAGUAUUCACACGUGUAUUACGAUUUCCGGAUAAUACAGUUAUAGCAUGAAUACAAGACAAUUAUCAUGAACAAUGAAAUAUAAUAAUACUUUUAUUAUUGCCUCUAGGGCAUAUUUCCAACAGAAACAUCACCGGAGUCGACUGAUACAAAGUCGGCGGCUGCCGGAGGAGGAUGCCACAUGUACUUGCAUAGAAGUGCGCCGCCCCGCGAAUAAGGAGCGCCUCGACGUCCAGAGGAGCUUCCUGGAGCCACGCCGAGUCGUCGGCGACAAAACUAAGAGCGCCGAGACGGAUCUCGCGGCCUAGAGACAAGCCGCCGCCGGAAACCAUGAUGAAGGAGUUCGAAGAACGCAACCACGCCGGAAGUCGCUUAGACGCCUGCCCCAUGGUGGGCGCCAACUGUCGUGGGAACAAAUAUGACAGUCAAGAUUAGGGGUACGUAUGAGAUGGCAGUCCAUAGCUACAGCGAGGUUGUACACUCGGAUUUACGAGUUCAGGCCCCUCUCGGGAGAGGUAACGACCCUACGUCUCGGUGCUGUGGGAGCUUGUUAUCUGGAGUGUUGAGUUACUGGGGGUGCGGACCCUUGUGCAGGAGCAGAGGGGCGGCUUAUAUAGAGUCCGCUAGCCCCUCAUGAAUGCCCAUUUACUCAAGGGUGUGAGCAUUACAGGUAACGGCUCAGGGUGGACACGGUCCGGGCCGGGCCGGUCCCUGACCGAGCCGUCGUUUGCACCGGCCAUCGGCGGUCCGGACUGGACCGGACCGAGCAGCGUCGCGGUCCUGUUUUCAGGGACCGGACCGCAGCGAUGAAAGCCCGGGCUGGACCGAGCGGCUCGUUUGGACCGGCCGGUGGUCACCACAGAGCUCGCGCCGGAGCACGACGACGCGGGGAGGGCGCUGGAGGCAGAGGGCUCGUCGUGGAGGUGUCCGGCGACUUCUGUGACUCAUGGUGGACGGCACGGCGGCCAGGCAGAGCUCGGGAAGCAACAGCCACGGAGAAUCUGGCACGAUGGCCGGUGCACGACGACCAGUGUGCAGCGGCGGUUUAGGGCCUCCCGCUUUAAGUUCUACCUUCCAGGUGAUAGAUCCGGGCAUGGAGCAUCUAGUAGACAUGCUUGCCAGCGUCAGGGAGGCCGGUGGCCGCGCGGAUGAACGACGGCGGCGCUGACCAGUGCACGACCGACGCGCCCACUGAUGGGGUUAUGUACCUAGGGUAGGGUCAUGGACCUGAUCCAAGUAACUUACCCCAGGACAUCCUUAGAAGAGGUCGCCUUCCAGUCGACCAACUAGGACUCACUCGACUGGCCUGAAGGACUCGACCACGAAGACUCACUCGACCACCAGGAGGUCAAGAGGCACUCUGCACUGCAACGGCCUGUAAUCAAGUAGACUUUAUGAUAGUAAAGGCACUUUAUGUGGGGCGUUACCAGUAACGCCCCAGACUUAACUCACCUUAAACCCUCACCUACGUGGGCUGGCUGGGGUCCUGGCGCACUCUAUAUAAGCCACCCCCCUCCACAGGCAGAAGGGUUCGGCACCUUGUAGCUCAUAUACUCAUAAUCCACUCGACCGCCUCCGGGCUCCGAGACGUAGGGCUAUUACUUCCUCCGAGAAGGGCCUGAACUCGUACAUCCUUUGUGUUUACAACAUCUCCAUAGCUAGGACCUUGCCUCUCCAUACCUACCCCCCACUCUACUGUCAGGCUUAGAACCACGACAGUUGGCGCCCACCGUGGGGCAGGUGUUUUAGCGAUUUUGUGGAGAAGUUGCGAUUCUUCCGAGUACUUUCAUCAUGGUGUCUGCUGGAGUUUUGGUCGAGGGUCAAGAGAUCCGUCUCGACACUCUCACCUUCAUCACCGACGACUCCGCAUGGCUCCAGGAGGCUCCACUCGACGUAGAUGCGCUCCCCGUCCGCGGUGCGAUGCAUUUUCGCGCAUGUGUCCGCGGCGUUCUGCUGCGGCAACCGUCGACCCAGUAUCGGUCGGCUCCUCCAUCGUCCACCCUCCCGGUCUCCUGCCAGCGCAAGCGCUCGGGCCGGUCGAGGCUUCAGCGAUGGGUGAGGCACGCGGUGGCUCGCCAAUCAGUCACCACCCAAGUCGCGGCAAUCGAGCCCGACGAAUAUCUCUACGGCUUGUUCGACCUGUCGAUUGGCUCCGUAGAGACUGCAUCCGAGUGCGAUAGCAGUGAUCCAGCGGCAGAAAUCUUGAUGGUCGACGGGCCCCGCGGUCCCCCUGGCUUCGCCCAUGACGGUGGAGCAGGUGACGGAGACGACCCCGCAUGAGGCUACGAAGAGUACCAGCCCGAGCCACUCGACUCUCUGCAAAGAGAGGAACUUCGCCGCAGGAACGUGGAUGCCCUGCAUACUCCCAUCGCAGGAGAAACCCCCGAGGCUCGUGCCUUGGAGGAGGCGCGUCUGGCCAAUUUGGCCGAGCGCACUCGGCUGGAGAACCUUCAGCGAGCACUCGACGAGCGCGCGCGGCAACGAGUUCCCGACACCAAUCGACGUCAACUCUUCCCGCGGACUCAGGUAUAUCGAACCCCAAUCCAGAAUUUAGCAGCUGUGACACGUAUAGCAGAGUCCAUCCAGCCUUCGCAGUCGGAAGCUGGCAGAGGUUUGCUGCAGAUCAGGGAUCUGCUUCGGGCAGCAGGAGAUCAGAAUUCAGCCGUGUCUCAGUCGCGCAACAGAAUUCACAGUCGAUCUGUCACUGUGAAUACGGUUCAGUCGGCUCACAGCCCCAGAUCGCCUCCGCGGCGUGAAGGGCGCGAGAAUCGACGAGAUCAAUAUGGCGACAGACUCGACCGAGAUGAUAGGCGUCGAGUGCCCUAUUCCCCUCCGAGGGGUGGGUCUUACGCUCCUCGGCAGCCAGAUGAUAGGCGUCAGUACAGUACGGGGCGUAGGGUUCCAGUCGACCCCAGAGAACCAGGCUUCGACGCGCGAUCCAUUAUCGUGCAAGGGUUGGUUGACCGGAACAGAGCCCAUCGAGGUGGACUCGACAGAGAUGUGCCCGCAAGCAGUCGAGUGCAUGUUUCUAGCCCAGAAUGUUUCAGCAGAGCUAUCAGAGCUGCAGUUAUCCCUCCCAAUUUCAGGUUGGCAACAGGAGUCAGCAAGUUCACUGGGGAGUCUAAGCCUGAAACUUGGCUUGAAGACUACCGAGUGGCAGUUCAGAUUGGCGGUGGGAACGACGAGGUGGCCAUGAAGCAUUUGCCCCUCAUGCUGGAAGGUUCUGCCAGGGCAUGGUUGACUCAAUUACCUCCCAGCAGCAUUUACACUUGGGAAGAUCUGUCCCGAGUGUUCGUCAGAACGUUUGAAGGAACUUGCAAGCGACCAGCUGGAUUAACAGAGUUGCAAGUCUGCAUGCAGAAGGCCAAUGAGACUCUCAGAGAGUAUAUUCAGAGGUGGAUCACUUUGCACCACACUGUGGAGAAUGUGUCCGAUCAUCAGGCAGUCUGCGCCUUCAAAGACGGCGUCAAGAACAGAGAACUGAGUUUGAAGUUUGGUCGAACCGGUGACAUGACCUUGAGUCGGAUGAUGGAGAUUACUACUAAAUACGCCAACGGUGAAGAAGAAGACCGACUCCGAAGCGGCAAGCACAAGCCGAGUCAGUCGGAAAAAGGAAACACCAGUCGGAAACAGAAGCGGAAGGCUGAACCGGCAGCUCCUGGAGAGGCUCUGGCCGUGACUCAAGGAAAGUUUAAGGGGAAACCAAAAGGAUCCUGGAACCCCAAGAAGGUAAAGGAUAAAGAAGGGAACGACGUGAUGGAUAUGCCAUGUCACAUUCACACGAAGAAAGACGAAGAGGGGAAUAUCAUUUACCCGAAGCACACCACUCGCCAAUGUCGACUCCUGAUCCAGCAGUUUCAAGGAAAACAGUCUAAGGACAAGGAGAAGGAGUCGGACAAGGCCGAAGACAAGGAGGACAGUGAGGGAGGAUAUCCGCAUAUCAACUCCACUCUGAUGAUCUUUGCAGAUGUGGAAAGCAGAAGUCGACUGAAAGUGAUUAACCGAGAGGUGAACAUGGUUGCCCCCGCAAAAGCAAAUUAUCUGAAGUGGUCCCAAACACCCAUCACAUUCGACCAAUCUGAUCACCCGACUCAUAUUGCCACCCCUGGGAGGCAAGCUUUGGUGGUCGAUCCAGUUGUCGAAGGCACUCGACUGACAAAGGUGCUGAUGGAUGGUGGAAGUGGGCUGAACUUAUUGUAUGCAGACACAUUGAAAGGUAUGGGCAUUCCGAUGUCCCGACUGAGCACUAGUAACAUGAGCUUUCAUGGAGUUAUACCUGGGAAGAAGGCCGAGUCACUCGGCCAGAUAGCUUUGGACGUGGUGUUUGGUGAUUCGAAGCAUUUUCGCAAAGAAAAGUUGACGUUUGAGGUCGUGGAUUUUCAGAGUGCAUAUCAUGCCAUUUUGGGGAGACCAGCUUAUGCAUGGUUCAUGGCUCGACCAUGUUACGUGUACCUCAAAUUGAAGAUGCCCGGCUCCAAAGGAGUGAUCACUGUCACUGGUGAUAGGAGAAAGGCAGAAGAGUGCUUUCAGAAGGGCUCCAAGAUUGCCGAUUCCUAAGUGACAGCGGUCGAGUUCGAGGAAUACAAGCAAAACGCAGAUCCGAGUGACUUGCUGCGAUCCAAGAAGCCCGCCACAGAGUCUGCUUUCCAGUCGUCCGGCGAGACGAAGCCUGUUCACAUUCAUCCGACCGACCCCGAAGCAGCUCCGACCCGCAUCUCCACAACACUCGACCCAAAAUAGGAAGAAGCGCUCAUCCAGUUCCUCCGUGAGAACUGGCACAUCUUUGCAUGGAAGCCCGCUGACAUGCCAGGUGUUCCCAGGGGACUGGCUGAGCAUCGCCUAAGAGUCAACUCGUCUGCAAAACCAGUCAAAGAGCAUCUUCGGCGGUCCGCCGUCCAGAAGAGAAAGGCCAUUGGUGAAGAAGUGGCUUGACUGUUGGCGGCAUGAUUUAUCCAAGAGAUAUACCACUCCGAGUGGCUCGCUAAUGUCGUCAUGGUUCCUAAGAAGGACAAGUCGCUCCGAAUGUGCAUCGAUUUCAAGCACAUCAACCGGGCCUGCCCGAAAGAUCACUUUCCUCUCCCUCGCAUAGAUCAAAUUGUUGACUCGACCGCGGGAUGCAAGAGGUUAUCUUUUUUAGAUGCUUACUCUGGGUACCACCAGAUCCGUCUGUACGGGCCCGACGAGGUAAAAACAGCUUUCAUCACUCCAUUCGGGUGCUUCUGCUAUAUCACCAUGCCAUUCGGCCUCAAGAAUGCCGGAGCCACAUUUAUGCGAAUGAUUCAGAAGUGUCUACUCACUCAAAUCAGUCGGAAUGUGGAAGCAUAUAUGGAUGAUAUCGUUGUCAAGUCACGAAAAGGUUCCGACCUGCUAGCUGAUCUCGCCGAAACAUUUGCCAACCUCAGAAGGUAUGAUAUCAAGCUCAAUCCAUCAAAGUGCACAUUUGGAGUUCCUGGUGGCAAGUUACUCGGUUUUCUCGUUUCCGAACGGGGAAUCGACGCUAACCCAGAGAAGAUUGGCACUAUUCUCUGAAUGAAACGCCAUGUGCGAGUGCACGAUGUCCAGAAGCUUACUGGAUGCUUGGCUGCAUUAAGUCGAUUCAUCUCACGACUCGGUGAAAAGGCAUUGCCUCUUUACCGACUGAUGAAGAAGGCAGACAAGUUCGAGUGUACUCAAGAAGCUGAUGCAGCGUUUGCCGAGCUAAAAGCUCUGCUCUCCACCCAGCCGGUGCUUGCUGCUCCAAUCAGCAAAGAGCCUCUGUUGCUCUACAUCGCAGCCACAGGACAAGUCGUCAGUACUGUGCUAACGGUCGAGCGGGAAGAAGAAGGAAAAGCUCUCAAAGUUCAGCGCCCAGUGUAUUAUUUGUCUGAAGUCUUGACUCCAUCCAAGCAGAGAUAUCCUCAUUAUCAGAAGCUUGUGUAUGGAAUAUACAUGACCACAAAGAAGGUUGCUCAUUAUUUCUCUGAUCAUUCCAUCACAGUCGUCAGCGACGCUCCACUAUCAGAGAUUUUGCACAACAGGGAUGCAACUGGUCGAGUGGCCAAAUGGGCGAUUGAACUUCUUCCCCUUGAUAUCAAGUUUGAGGCAAAGAAAGCCAUUAAGUCCCAGGCAAUAGCAGAUUUCCUCGCCGAGUGGAUUGAACAACAGCAGCCGACUGAAGUUCACUCGGAGCAUUGGACCAUGUUCUUUGAUGGCUCUAAGAUGUUGAAUGGUUCCGGUGCUGGGGUUGUCCUGGUUUCCCCCAGAGGAGAUAAGCUCAGAUAUGUGCUCCAGAUUAACUUUGAUUCCUCCAACAAUGAGGCAGAAUAUGAGGCCCUCUUAUAUGGGUUGCGCAUGGCCAUCUCACUCGGCGUCCGUCGCCUGAUGGUCUAUGGCGACUCGGAUUUAGUGGUCAAUCAGGUGAUGAAAGAGUGGGACGUGAGAAGCCCAGCCAUGACUGGAUACUGCAGUGCAGUGAGGAAGCUGGAAAAGAAGUUCGAGGGAUUGGAGCUCCAUCACAUACCCCGACUGAAAAAUCAAGCAGCUGAUGAUCUGGCAAAGAUAGGUUCCAAGAGGGAAGCCAUUCCGAGUGGCGUGUUCUUGGAGCAUAUACACACUCCGUCAGUCAAAGAAGAUCCUUUCACCGAAGAAACUCCACAGCCCAAGAGUGCCACAGAUCCGACUGAAGUUGAAGUCCCAGCGGUGGUCGACUUGAUCAUGGAGGUUUUGGUGGUCAUUCCCGACUGGACGAUUCCGUAUGUCGCAUAUAUCCUGAGAAAAGAGCUUCCGGAGGAUGAGGAAGAGGCUCGACAGAUCGUCCGUCGAUCUAAGGCCUUUACCGUUAUCAAAGGACAAUUAUACAGAGAAAGCGCGACUGGAGUUAGUCAGAAGUGCAUAACACCAGAAGAAGGUCGACUCAUCCUCAAUGAUAUUCACUCGGGAACCUGUGGUCAUCAUGCGUCCUCUCGGACCAUCGUGGCCAAAGCAUACCGAGCCGGAUUUUACUGGCCAAAGGCGAAUGAGAUGGCAAAAGAGAUAGUGGAUAAGUGCGAGGGAUGUCAAUUCUACUCGAAUAUGUCACACAAGCCUGCGUCGGCUCUGAAGACCAUCCCACUCAUCUGGCCUUUCGCAGUAUGGGGAUUGGACAUGGUCGGCCCUUUGAGAACAGGACGAAGUGGCUUCACGCAUGUACUGGUGGCAGUCGACAAGUUCACCAAGUGGAUCGAGGCUAAACCAAUCAAGAGCCUUGACACCGGUACUGCUGUUAGCUUCAUCAGGGAACUAAUAUUCAGAUAUGGAGUCCCGCACAGCAUCAUUACGGAUAAUGGGUCGAACUUUGACUCGGAGGAAUUCAGAGCUUUCUGCUACUCCCAGGGCACACGGGUCGACUACGCUUCAGUCGCCCAUCCGCAGUCGAAUGGACAAGCAGAGCGAGCUAAUGGACUGAUUCUUAAGGGAUUGAAGCCUCGACUGAUGCGUGAUCUCAAACACGCGGCUGGAGCUUGGGUCGACGAACUUCCCUCUGUACUCUGGGGACUGCGGACCACACCUAAUCGGUCGACCGGAAGAACUCCAUUCUUCUUGGUCUACGGAGCUGAAGCAGUCUUGCCGAGUGAUCUUCUCCAUAAUGCUCCCCGAGUUGAAAUCUACAACGAAGCAGAAGCUGAGCAAGCGCGGCAGGACGCAGUCGACCUUUUAGAGGAAGAAAGGGAGAUGGCUCUGAUCCGGUCGACCAUCUACCAACAAGAUCUGCGCCGUUUCCACGCCAGAAAUGUGAGAGGUCGAGCCUUCCAGGAAGGGGAUUUGGUUCUCCGAGUGGAUCAGCACAAACCACACAAGCUUGCUCCUUCUUGGGAAGGCCCCUUCAUCGUCACCAAGGUUCUCCACAACGGGGCGUACCGUCUUUACAACGUCGAGCAUAACAUCGACGAGCCUCGAGCUUGGAACGCGGAGCUACUCCGCCCAUUUUACACUUAAGUUUUAUCACUCGGAUGAGUUGCAAUAAAGUGCUUCUGUAGUUCGUGGGCCUCAAAAUAAUAGUGUCAUAGUUCCUCCAUAAUUUCUGUCACUUUUUAUUUUUGUCCACAUAAAACUCCCCCUCAGUGGGUGGCUUAGCUGCGAAUCCGUUUCGCCUAAGUUUGUAAAAAUCCUACCGAGUGGUGAGCCAGACUCCCACUCGGAGGCUUAGCCGCGAAUCCGUUUCGCCUAAGUUAUAAAAAUCCUACCAAGUGGUAAGCCAGACUUCCACUCGGAGGCUUAGCUGCAGUCCAAGGACUCGCCUAAGUUUAUCAAAAUCCUACCGAGUGGAGAGCAAUCCUCUCACUCGGGGGCUUAGCUGCAGUCCAAGGACUCGCCUAAGUUUAUCAAAAUCCUACCGAGUGAAGAGCAACCCUCACACUCGGGGGCUUAGUUGCAGUCCAAGCACUCGCCUAAGUUAUAAAAAUCCUACCGAGUGAGGAGCAACCCUCUCACUCGGGGGCUUAGCUGCAGUCCAAGCACUCGCCUAAGUUACAAAAAUCCUACCGAGUGAAGGGCAACCCUCUCACUCGGGGGCUUAGCUGCAGUCCAAGGACUCGCCUAAGUUUAUCAAAAUCCUACCGAGUGAAGAGCAACCCUCACACUCGGGGGCUUAGCUGCAGUCCAAGCACUCGCCUAAGUUAUAAAAAUCCUACCGAGUGAGGAGCAACCCUCUCACUCGGGGGCUUAGCUGCAGUCCAAGCACUCGCCUAAGUUAUAAAAAUCCUACCGAGUGAAGAGCGACCCUCUCACUCGGAGGCUUAGCUGCAGCCCUGUGCUCGCCUAAGUUAUAAAAAUCCUACCGAGUGGUAAGCCAGACUUCCACUCGGAGGCUUAGCUGCGGCCCAGUGCUCGCCUAAGUGGACCGAAGAAUAAGUCGAUUGCAAUAAAGGCGCCUUGCUUUGAACCUGCAAAAGACAUUUCGAGCCGAAGGCAAUCGUAUUCAAGCACCAAAUUCAAGUUUGAAUCGACAUCUAAAGGAACCGAAAGUGCUCAGGCAUCAAGCCUGUUAAGGUUUGUCGGUUACAAUUCCACUCGGCAUACCGAGGCAAAUUUAAAGCGUCGAGCCAGAAGAAGUUUUUUACCCCUCCUGUGGAGGGCUGGAAGGUGCAACGAAUUCAUCNNNNNNNNNNCCUACCGAGUGAGGAGCAACCCUCUCGCUCGGGGGCUUAGCUGCAGCCCUGUGCUCGCCUAAGUUUAUCAAAAUCCUACCGAGUGAGGAGCAACCCUCUCACUCGGGGGCUUAGCUGCAGUCCAAGCACUUGCCUAAGUUAUAAAAAUCCUACCGAGUGAAGAGCGACCCUCUCACUCGGAGGCUUAGCUGCAGCCCUGUGCUCGCCUAAGUUAUAAAAAUCCUACCGAGUGGUAAGCCAGACCUCUCACUCGGGGGGCUUAGCCGCAGCCCAGUGCUCGCCUAAGUGGACUAAAGAAUAAGUCGAUUGCAGUAAAGGCGCCUUGCUUUGAACCUGCAAAAGACAUUUCGAGCCGAAGGCAAUCGUAUUCAAGCACCAAAUUCAAGUUUGAAUCGACAUCUAAAGGAACCGAAAGUGCUCAGGCGUCAAGCCCGUUAAGGUUUGUCGGUUACAAUUCCACUCGGCAUACCGAGGCAAAUUUAAAGCGUCGAGCCAGAAGAAGUUUUUUACCCCUCCUGUGGAGGGCUGGAAGGUGCAACAAAUUCAUCAAGGUCAAUUCCGUCGGCGAUCCGAGUGGCAGCUGCAAGGAAAGUUUCCAUAAAGGACCUGAAGUCGUGCUUCUUGGUAUUGGCCACCCGAAGGGCCGCCAGCUUCUCCUCUCGCGCAUCUUUGCAGUGCACUCGGGCCAGACACAGAGCGACAUCUGCACCACACCGAGCCGAGGACUUCUUCCACUCCUGCACUCGACCAGGGAUCACGUUCAAGCGGGCCAUCAGCGACUCAAGGUCAUUCUGAAGUGUCUCCUCAGGCCAGAGCAUCGAGUCGAUGCGCGAUGUGGCGGCCUUCAGCUUUGCAAGAUAGUCCACGACAGCUGCAACACGGGACUCCAGUCGGAAAACUUCCAUGGCAACUUCGUCGUUCACCGGAGAAUUGACGGGGUCGAGGUUUGGCUCCAGCCGGCUAGUUUCUUCUUCAAAGUUUUGACAAAAUUCUGCAAGGGUGAUCACUAAGUCAAGGGGAUGGUCGAAUGGAUAAAUCACGAUUGGAAACGUCUGCCAAGCAUAGAGGUUUACCUUCAAGCAUAAGAAACAGCUUCUUGGCAAGUCCACUCAGGAAGGCCUCCAGAUCAGUUUUCUUCCCAGUCAAUUUGCUGACUUGGUCGGUCAGGGCAGCUUUAUCAGUUUUCAGUCGACUGAUCUCCUUGUUGGCAAUCCCAAGAGCAUCUUUCAGAUUGGUAUUGUCUUGUUCAAGCUUGGUGACUGAAGCUAACUUCUCGUCAGCAAGCUUGAUUUUCUCAGCUAGCUCAAGGUCUUUCUUCUGCUGGGCCUCCCUUACCUUACCUGCAAGUUACAGCAAGAUCAGAUUUUGAAACAAGCAAGGGGAAAAGCAGUCGUCAGGGUCUCACCAAACAUACCUUCGGUCUCCUCCUUUGCCUUUGUCAGCUUCUCCUGAACCAGCUUCAAGCUCAGCUCGACUUGAGUAUGCUUGUGUUCCAGCUCUGAAUAGCGAGCCACAAGAUCACAAGAGUUCUGCGAAGAACCAAUCGACUAAAUGUCAAAUAUAAUUCACUUCCGAGUGAAAAUGGGAAAAACACACGUUUCUAAGACUACAGCCGAAUACAAGCAUUCGACCGUAGUCUCGGGGACUACACCCAGUGGGUGCACUCAGCGUGCCCCCACUAAUCUUGUUGAAGACAAAGUUGACCAGUCGACCUCAAAAAAAAAGUGCGAGAUGCAUUCUCUAAGACUGUGAUCAACUGCAAGCAGUCGACCACAGUCUCGGGGACUACACCUAGUGGGUGCACUCAGCGUGCCCCCACCGGUUUGUGAAAUCCAGUCGACAUUGUGGACUGACAGACAGAUUGACAUCAUAAAGCCUAAGGCCGACUGCCAGCAGUCGACCUUAGCCUUGGGGACUACACCCAGUGGGUGCACUCAGCGUGCCCCCACCGGUUUGUGAAACCCAGUCGACAUAGUCGACUGACAGAAAGAUUGACAUCAUAAAGCCUAAGGCCGACUGCCAGCAGUCGACCUUAGCCUUGGGGACUACACCCAGCGGGUGCACUCAGCGUGCCCCCGCUAACACGGAGUUUAAUCAACACACCCAGUGGGUGACUACUAUAAAUUCCGGAAAGGAAAAGUUUUCGGUAGCAUAUCCAACAGAACAAACGGUGGUCGACUGACCUGGACAUUGCUUUGGAGGGCAGAGCUGGCAUCAUAAGCUGCCUGGCUCGCAUCCCGGAUGGUCUUCAAUUGCUCCAUCAUGAUUCCCGCCUGGUGUAUUGCCUCCUUCGCCGCGCUGGCUUGGUCUUCCGGGACAUGGUGCGUCGUGAAGAGGGAGGGCUGCUGAGCACUCGUCAAUGGAUCUGCAAAGGACACCGUGUGUCGAGUGGUGUUCUCUUCCUCCGCAAUCAGAAUCUCAGGCGCCGUCACAUCCUGGGGCACCUUACUGGCGGACGCUUUCCUGCUCCUCCUGCGUGCCAGUGGUUCUUCAUCCUCAUCGUCAUCAGGGAGAUUGAUAACAGUAUUGGGUGGAGCUACGAAGAAGACUCAGGAUCAGAGAUCGCGAAAUCAGUCGACUAAAAAUGACGUUAAGAAUACAGUACCUGGGUUCGAAGUUGCUGCGUCCUCCAUCUCGUGGUCAUCAGCCCGAGCUGAGGUUUCAGAAGUAGCAGCACUGCAACUCCAAAGGAUCAGUCGACUAGCUUCAGCGUCGACCAGAGACAAAGUUCACACAGGAUAAGAAGACUCAAGCAGUACAAUUACCCUGAUAUGGUGGGGAUGGACACCUUCAUCUUCGGCAGGAGCUUGGUCGGCUUUGGCGGAGCCCCCCUAGGCUGCUUCGGCGCCUUUUCAGUCGGCGCUGGAGAGGUGGUCCUAGGGCGUUUGGUCGACUGUGUCGCAACCCCCUUGCCACGUUCAGUCGAAGGGUCGUGGACGGCUUCGACCGCCUUUCCGAGCGCGGUGGCACGACCUCCUCCUCUUCCUCCUCGUCUUCGGCGUCAUCGUCAUCGCCGUCGUCAUCAUCAUCGUCGUCGUCAUCCCCUGCAACGUCCGAGUCCCACUCCUCCUCUUCCUGGCUCUCACCCCCGCUCGCCUCACCCUCCUCAGUCAGAGUUUGUGCCCCAUUGGGCAUCGAGUACAGCUCGGUGAGAGCCUAGCAGAUAUCAAGACAAGGAUCAGUCGACCAGUCGGCAGGAUAAACAAGAAUGAGUGCGACAAGAACGCAGUGGAGGGCAGAGCAGAUGUACCUUGUUUGGAUCGCUGUUGUGGUCGAGUGGAGGAAUUCUUCUGGCUCCGCGUGGGUUGUCUUUGUUUCCGGUAACGGCUACCAUCCAACUUUCCAGAGUGACAUCGUCGACUACUUCUGGAUGGACUCGAGUCUCAUCUUCGGUCCCACAGUACAACCACAUGCAGUGGCUCCGGAACUGAAGAGGCUGGAUGCGACGCCUGAGGAAGACCUCCAAGAGGUCCAUGCCCGUCACUCCCUCCCGAACCAACUGCACCACGCGCUCCAUCAACAUCUUCACAUCAGCUUUCUCCUCCGGAAUCAACUUCAGAGAGGAGGGCUUGUUCACUCGGUCCAUGGUAAACUGUGGGAGUCCACUCGACUGCCCCGGCGUCGACUGGUCUCGGCAGUAGAACCAGGUCGACUGCCAGCCUCUGACCGACUCGGGAAAGGUCAUGGGCGGGAAGGUGCUCUUAUUCCUCACCUGGAUCCCCAGACCCCCACACAUUUGGACGACUCGGGUUCUCUCAUCACCUGGGCUCGCCUUCUUCACGGUCUAAGAGCGACACGUGAAUAUAUGUUUGAACAAACCCCAGUGCGGUCGACAGCCCAAGAAACCCUCACACAUGGACACGAACGCAGCAAGAUAGGCAAUGGAGUUUGGGGUAAAGUGGUGGAGCUGCGCUCCGAAGAAAUUCAAGAAGCCACGAAAGAAAACACUCGGCGGCAAGGAAAACCCACGAUCAACAUAGGUGGCCGAAAGCACACACUCACCCUCUUCUGGCUGAGGCUGCCACUCCUUCCCCGGAAGCCUCGCAGCUCCGUGAGGGAUCAAGCCCUCGUUGGCCAUGUCGAGGAGGUCAUUCUCUGUGAUGGUCGACUGGAUCCAGUCUCCUUGGACCCAGCCUUUCGGCAGGCGGGAUCUGGACGAGGACCCUCCGCGGCUGGUGGAUCUCCCCUUCGCCUUCUCCGACGCUGACGCCUUCUUUGCACGCUCCAGCGCCGCCGUCUUCUCCUUGGCCAUGGUCGCCGGCGAGAUGCGCGAAGGGAAGUGGUGCGGGGGCGAGAGCGAGCACGCUGGGCGGGGAAGAAGGAAGCAGAGAGAGGGAGACAAUGCUGAGGCGCAGCACAGAAAUCCUCGCCGGGCACAUUUAUAAGGUCCCUUCCGAGUGGAUGACGGGUGGGCCCGUCCAUCUAAUCAUAUCUGGGAGCAGUUAUGCUGACGGGAUACGUGGCGAAAAAGGCGGCGCGGAGAUCGAGGCGUCUAUGCCCCGUCCCAUCCGAACGCCGCGGUCCGCCCCGCUUCGCGCGCGUCCCCAAAUUUCGCAUCCCGCGGAAUCCGCGAACAGCAAAUCAGUCUGUCAGACGCGGUGUUUCCGGCGAUCCGUCGCUCGGAGAUCGUCGAAGCCUGAAAGAUCACUCGACGCAAAAAUAGAAUGGAUCGAGUCGACUGAAGGCAAGUCGCUCCCUGUCGACGAAGAGAUUCUUUGAUCCAGAACAGCGCACAACCAGAGCGCAAAGGUUAAUCGGAAACGACAUCAACUCCUUCUUCACUCGAAGCCUCAAUCCAUUCGGGGGCUAAUGAUGGGGUUAUGUACCUAGGGUAGGGUCAUGGACCUGAUCCAAGUAACUUACCCCAGGACAUCCUUAGAAGAGGUCGCCUUCCAGUCGACCAACUAGGACUCACUCGACUGGCCUGAAGGACUCGACCACGAAGACUCACUCGACCACCAGGAGGUCAAGAGGCACUCUGCACUGCAACGGCCUGUAAUCAAGUAGACUUUAUGAUAGUAAAGGCAUUUUAUGUGGGGCGUUACCAGUAACGCCCCAGACUUAACUCACCUUAAACCCUCUCCUACGUGGGCUGGCUGGGGUCCUGGCGCACUCUAUAUAAGCCACCCCCCUCCACAGGCAGAAGGGUUCGGCACCUUGUAGCUCAUAUACUCAUAAUCCACUCGACCGCCUCCGGGCUCCGAGACGUAGGGCUAUUACUUCCUCCGAGAAGGGCCUGAACUCGUACAUCCUUUGUGUUUACAACCUCUCCAUAGCUAGGACCUUGCCUCUCCAUACCUACCCCCACUCUACUGUCAGGCUUAGAACCACGACACCCACCACGCAGCUCCGGCCACGUGCUCGCCACGCGCCUGCCACGAUGUCGACACGCCCCCGCCACGCCCCCGCCUCGUCCCGACAUGCCCCUGCCAUGCUCUCGCCAUGCCACAGCUAGUAUUCGCCGGUACGCUCGGUCGGAUCGAGCUUUAACCGGACCGGACCGAGGGAUUUUCGGUCCCGUUUGCAGGGCCCGGACCGGCUGGAUUUCACGCCGGGCCAGGACCGAGCCUGGCCGGACCGAGCGGGCCACGAGCCGGUCCUAAAGACCGCUCGUGCCGUCGACCCUGAGUAACGGCUGUAAUUGGUGCUCUUUAUGAUGGCGAACUGAUUGCCUGACUGUUGCUAUCCCAGGGUAACUCUAGGUCUUCUGCCUUCGAGUGGUGUCUGGUACUCUGAGUGAAUGGAGACAGUCGAGUGGUGGAGAAGUAACCGAGUGGAUCUUGUGUCAAGUGACUUGCACGCAGCGGUCAUUUCUGUCGGUGUCCCUUCUCUAACUUUGUAGGUCUUGGAUUCCAGUAUGCAAUACCUUUGGGUAGGGUAUGUAGGUCAGGCUUGGGACCCUGUCCUAGGUAUAUGUCCUCGUCAACAGGUGUCGUGAUCCGAGUGUGACGCUAACGGUAGCGGCAUCGAGGCAUGAACCAACUGCCUCUCCUUUCGGCAGCAGUGCACCAUAGCGACACAGAGGCACAUAGCAGACCUCCUUUUUGUAGUCUGCGAUAUGGGAGGUUGCCGCCCCGGAGCACGGCCGGUGCACCGCACCGCACCAGCCCCACUCCUAGACCUAGAGGUCAGCAUCCAUCCAAAGCCAAGCAGACCUCCUCGGGACACCACGCCUUUAUCUGAUCUGGUCCGAGGUGACGCAGCCGGUUGGGAAUUGACACAAUGAGACGAGAUGAUGCACACGCACCAACAGCGUGGGUGGCCGGGCGUGCGGACGGCAACGCCGUGCCGGCCGUGUGUGGCCUACAGCAGUACAGGCUAGUGGGGAGUGGGGACACGCUAUCCUCCGCAUGAGGUUGGAGGAAGCAACAAGGCAACAAUCUCGAUCGUAAGGCUGGAGACGCUAUCCUGUGCUGCUGCUGAUUGCAUGCUCGACUGUCUGCAAGCACAUACCUAAACUUAUCACUCGACUGCCAUGUCAUGCGAUUUGGAUGGACCAUGGACGGGGAAGCCACCGCGGAACUACCCACUCGCGAAAAUGGUAUAGUAUACCUCUAGUUGAGUGGAUCACUCGAGGAUGCUGCUUGCUUCGAGUUAAGCGAGCCAAAGCAUAGCAUGCGCUCUCAUCUCAGUGCGUUACAAUUUGCAAACUUAGACAUCUUUCUUAGUACUAUAUACUACUAGUAGUAGUAUUUGCUGAUUUCGGUCAAGAUCCUGUGCAAACUCCUAUCACUUGACUAGAAUGCUAGGGUGGUGGUGAUAUUUCACCAUGCACGGUCGCUCAAACGAAUGUAUCCGGAGGACGUACAUCCCUGUGUUGUGCAUGAGGAUGAAGACCACAGAAUUGCAGAUCUACGGCAUCGUGGCCGGGAACUACUCGGCUCUGUUUCUCCCUUCAGGUUAUGGAGGCCAGCUCAGCUAAGGAUACCAAUGUCCUCCUAACCAUCCAACAUUUGGUAUUGUUUACUAUUUGGGUCAACCAUCUAACUACUUGUGUCCAACACUUAAUGUUUUAUGUGUCACUUACUCCAUGAAUUAAAACCACAACAUUUAUUUUAGAUCAGAGCGACUACUUUUUUGUGAGAAAAAAAAAGGUUACAAGCAUACACUCAUCUCUAUGAAUGCACAUACGAAGAUCUUACCCCUAUGAGUAUGUCUGAGAGACUGAGUCGGCACAUCAUCUUAAGAUUGAUGAAGUCUCCACAAACGCUAGUUCAUGGGAACGUCUCCUCCCACUAAACAUACAUCAGCGAAAGGCCUGUAAUAAAUCUGGAAAAUGCGAGCACUAAUGUCAAGUUUGAGACUUGGGACUUCAACUCCGGUGGCAAGGGAUACCAAUGUCCUCCUAACCAUCCAACAUUUGGUAUUGUUUACUAUUUGGGUCAACCAUCUAACUACUUGUGUCCAACACUUAAUGUGUUAUGUGUCACUUACUCCAUGAAUUAAAACCACAACAUUUAUUUUAGAUCAGAGCGACUACUUUUUUGCGAGAAAAAAAAGGUUACAAGCAUACACUCAUCUCUAUGAAUGCACAUACGAAGAUCUUACCCCUAUGAGUAUGUCUGAGAGACUGAGUCGGCAAAUCAUCUUAAGAUUGAUGAAGUCUCCACAAACGCUAGUUCAUGAGAACGUCUCCUCCCACUAAACGUACAUCAGCGAAAGGCCUGUAAUAAAUCUAGAAAAUGUGAGCACUAAUGUCAAGUUUGAGACAUGGGACUUGAACUCCGGUGGCAAGGAAUACCAAUGUCCUCCUAACCAUCCAACAUUUGGUAUUGUUUACUAUUUGGGUCAACCAUCUAACUACUUGUGUCAACACUUAAUGUGUUAUGUGUCACUUACUCCAUGAAUUAAGACCACAACAUUUAUUUUAGAUCAGAGCGACUACUUUUUUGCGAGAAAAAAAAGGUUACAUGUCGCUCAUGUACAUCAGGUACGAGGAAAAUUAAUGUUGCGGCCAAACAUAUCCACACCUAUAAAAGUGAUGUACCAUCAAACAGUGGCAUGAUCACCGCCAGCUUGGCCCAGCACCGCCUCCCCUGUGUCACAGGGUUGUAUGGUCAUUGUCAGUCCACCACCACGCCGCAUGCCCCCGCCCAUCUCUCCAUCUUUCCCCCCUUCCCUCAUGGUGGUACGCACGAGCCAUCAUCGCCUCCUCCGCACCACAUGGUUGCACACGUACCCGACCCAUCACCUGCUCCUCCGCAUCAUAUGGUUGCACGGGCGCCGCGAGUCCAUCGCCGCCUCCUUCGCACCACACGGUUGCACGGGCGCCCGUCCACACCGCCUCCUCCGCACCACAAGGCUGCACGGGCUUUGCAUGUCCACCACCACACCGCACACCCUGCCCAUUGCUCCAUAUUUCUCCCCUUCUUUUGUGCGGUAAUUAAUGUCCAACGACGAUGAUGCUCGGAGCCUAGAGACGACUAUCGUCUUCGGAACUUGGUCGCCUUCAUCAACACGCCAUGGCCCACAAGGUCUGCAGUACAACUCCCGAUAUCUUCUUCCUCUCCCACUGUCAUCCUUUGUUUGGCAUCAUGAUUCAAAUUCAUUUUCGAUUGCUUCGGUGCUAAACAAGUAGGGGACUAUACCGGGAUUUUAUCUCACUGUGUAAGGUUUCAAUUUGAAAGCCCCAUGCUUCACUUCUUAAGUACCAUCUUCGUGCUUGUGGAUUAACAACCUCAUGCAGUUUAUAUAUGGCAUGGUUUAUGCUGCCUCUGUUCCACAAUACAGUGCAUAUUAGUUUUUUUCAGUCAAAAAUGUCCAUUUGACCAUGUUUCUAGAAUAAACUAUCAAUAUCUGAAGUACUAAAUAAGUAAACUACAACAAUGCAUGUGGAUGUUGAUUUUUUUAAGACACUUGGUCAAACAUUGGCGCGUUUGACUUUCCAAAACAAAGUAUGUACUAUAUUUUAGAACGGAGGGAGUAUGAAUUAGGAUAUGGUUCCAAACCUAAGGAGCACGGUCUCUAACUGAAUUUAAUUGGCACUAAAACAAUAAGACAAGAUGAUAACUAGGUUUUCCUAUGAAGAUAAUUUGGUUAACUGUCACCGGAUCGCUUAUGUACGCAACUGAUCAGGCCUUAUUAAUCCAUUAGUAAUGUUACAUUCAAAUGAAAAUUGAGAUCAAUCACUUGUACUAUUAUCUCAUGAUCCUCCCAUUUAUGUCUCUUCCUCUUAGAGGCUGCUAUAAACAUGAUUCAUUCCCUUUCCUAUCGGUAGUCUGUGCAAUUCAUGCGUUUAUUUCAAAUAUGUUCUUUCUAUUUUGAUUCUAAAUACCCAUAUGAAUGAUCAAUAUUGAAAACCAGAAGCCAUAUACUUUGGUGCAGUGCUGCAACUUCCAAGUAUUUCUCACUUUCACUACCCUUUUACCAUUAUUGGUGGUGUUUUGUAUUAUUUGUAUGUGAGCAAAGUAAAUUACGAAAUAUUGAUUGGUCAAAUCGUAGAGUUGUAUGAUUGCUAUAGAUGAAUACCACAAUCAGAAGCCUCAUUGACGCAUAUCAUAGUUUUCAAUUAGUUUCGCAGAUGAAUAUUAUCAUGUCCAUCCAGUACUAUGGUUUAACCCUGCAGGUCCGGGACAUGCUUGACGCCAACCACUAUUUUGGAUAUGUUUAUGGCAACCCAUAUUAAUUUUGUGAAGAACAAUAGUUGUAAAAAAAGUGAGUAAUAUCCUACCAAGUAAAUGAUGACGUGUCUUAGCAUCUAGACAUAUCCUGCAAUGCAAUAAAGGGUGUUCUCUUAAUUACCAGGGGAAAUUUGGUAAUUCAAAUGAGGUUGGUUUCAACAUGAUAAUUACUUAGGGAUUUUAUGGGACAUUAACAACAUUUUGUUUUACUGUUUGAAAACUUUUAUUGUUUGCCGCGACUUUGAUUUUGAAUUUGGACCGGUUUUGAAUCAACGUGAGUUUAACAACCGUAAUCGUGGUGAUGUGGAACCAUUAGCAGGGAAUUACUGUAGCAUAAUUAUCCGGACGUCACAAUUCUCCUCUACUACAAGAAAUCUCGUCCUGAGAUUUUAAGAGGUGGAGUAAAGGGGAACGAAAUUCUAACGGUUCUUCUCGGUCUUGGCUGCUCUCCCUGAAGUAGUUGAUCCUCUUCAUUGAUGUCUUUAUUUCUCUACUUCAGGCCAGCACAUCGCCGCCUGGCCAAAAGUAUAAAAUUUGACCCCAUCGGGUAAAAAAAAGUAUUGUGAUUUUUGAGAUUUUUUUUUGGAAUCAAAUUAAAUCUUAAGCUGGCGAUAGCUUUUGCCCAAAUUAAGCGUACGGAUCGAUCGGCCGGAUUUGCACGAAAGUACAGGCAAGAAUGAAUGAAUGGUCGAUCUGUUCUCGCCAAAUCAAUUACUAGCUCAUUCAUUCCCUUAUUUUGAGCCUUUAUCUCUACCUCUGCCUCCACGUUUUAACUUACUCCCUUAUUAUUUUCCAAUAUAUAUACAGCUAGACAGCCAAAAAAAGCCUAAUAUCUGGUAGCACAUUAAAGUACGUAAGUUGAUUCUGAGCAUAGUGCAUGCAGAUGGAGUGCAUGAACGUACUACUCGUACGUAACGCGCCAAACGCAUGCAGUUUGUUUCUUUCCCGAAUUACCCUCCACUAACCACGGCUUUUGAUUCCUGAUCUUUACCAAGUCCAGAGACCUCCACUAACCAGAGCGCGUAAUUUGUUUUGAUUGACAUUAGUUUCCUUACACCCUAAGAUUCGUGCAGCGAUUGAUCAAAUUAACCCUCAAGAUGCGUGCUGAUUUGGCGCCACAACAUAUACUGUACCACAGUAACUUAAACGAUACAGUAUAUGCCAAGGCUUGUGUUCUGCAAAUUAGUCAACCGAUCGAUGGAAUCGUCGGGAACGGAAGCCAGCAAUUUCGGUGCAGAAAGGUAAUAUAACACGGCGAAUUCGUGGUUUCCACUCCAAAUUUAGGGAGAGAUUGAAACAGAAGCCAUAAAUAAAAGGAAAAUCCCUCCUGAAAACGAGAAGGAUUAACUAUUGGGGGCCGGUCAAUCUCAUCGUCAGUUGCUUUCUCACUCGGGAUGCCAACCAAAACCCGGUCACGCACCAUAAAUACUUGGCAGCCUGCCAUCUACGGACCUCGUUUCUUUGCCACCCUGCCCGCCCGUCCCCUCGCCGAUCGCUGACCUCACCUCCCACAUCUGACUAACUCCGGCCGGUGACGCAUCGCCUUGGCUGUAUAUAUAGGGAGCUAGCGGACGACCCGCGCGCCCGAUCAAUCACCAUGGCUUCCCUGGAACUGCAACGCCUGCGCCACAUGUUACUCACCACCGGCGGCGGCGGCGGCCACCACCAGCUCGGCUCCGCCGCUGCUAUGCCAGCCAGUGGGCCUUGUUAUGGCGCUGUGGUGCCGUGCCAGCGCGGGAACCGACCGUACGCGGACCUCUUCACGCUGCCGCUGCCGCUGCCGCCGCCGCCCGCGACGACGGCGGCCGCGGAGCAGUAUUCGGAGGCGCGACGAGCAGUCGUCGAUGCUUGGCGCGGCCGACGUUCUUGCGGCCCGCGCGCAACAGCAGAUCACCGACGUCGACAGCAUCCUGCUCAAACAUGUAAGUCCCAUGAUCAUAUCGCCGCCACCGAUCGAUACUUUGCGUUUCAGGCUUUAACAGUGGUCGAUGAUGCAGGCGAGAAAGAUGUCAAAUAUGGCUAUUCCUAACUAGUUAGACGCACAACUCGUAUCGACGCCGUCCGCUCGUCGUGUGGAUCAGCGCCCCAGGCCCCACACGGACCCACUAGAUUGUGCCUAUUUCCUCUUUUCUCAGCGCAUACGGAGAGAAUACACGUCCUAUCGUAUCUGCCAUCCUACCUACGCACUACGUGUAGCAUGUACUCGCCUACCCCCCGUCCACUACCCCGUGACCAGCCCCCACCCCCGACCAUCCCCAUCCGCGAUUCAAAAUUCGAAUCGAAGCAGACAGACGCAGCUGCAUCGAGCGGACGAACCACGGCCUCCCCGUCCACGCGCCUGGAUCCCUAGGUUGCUUCACGAUUCAACGAUGAAUCGCGGUGCAGAGUCAUUCACGGAUCUCCUCUUCAGGUAUCUCCUCGUCUUGUGGAUCCUCUUUUUCGUCGGCGCAUUUUCUCCAAAGGGCAGCAAUCCUCAUCUUGCCAUUGCCUGCGGCAGAUUUUGUUCCCAGCCGGCCGCAACAGAGGGCGUCCCAGAUCUGGGAUUGCUAGAGGAGGAGGAGGAGGAGGAGGAGGAGGAGGUCGAGGACGAGGAGGAGGAGGGCGAAGAGCGCAUCCAUCCUAAUUUCCAGAAUCAUUCUCCUUCUUCAAGCCAAGAUGGAGAGAAAUCUGAUGCCACAGAUUCAGGAACUCUUGAAGAUCAGGAGGCUAUGCCAUAUUUCUCCAACGUCCCAGAUAUUGACGACGCAGAAGAGACCCAGCCCGAAUCGCAUCCCAUUCCAGUUCCGUGGACUCAAAGGUACUAGCACGGGUCUAUAUUCAGUUUCUAGUUUUUAGUUUUGGCAUUGAUGAAUGUUAAAUUUAGCUGAAGAGGAGAAGUAGGCAAGAUUGUAAGUCAGGACUGAAUACCUUAAGAUUCGAUGUAGCGUGUUCAGUUGUUUGCUGUCAAAUCUGUUUUUAGUUGUAGCACGUUUAGUGGGAUGACAGUAACAGUACACUUGCCCAAAUUUCCCAUCCAUGUGUCAAAGAAUCAUGAAUCUGGGUAUGUGGUCACAGUAAAUUAUAGUGACAGUUUUCUGCUGUCCUUUUUUUAAUAAAUUGGGGUGGGCACGGGCAUGUACAGCAGGACGUUCUUUUUAAGAAGGACGAAACUUAUCAUAAUACACGGUUAAAUAUUUCAGAAUGCUUGGAUUCAACAACUGAUACUUAUCAUGUACACAUGAGGCCGUCAUCUCCGAGUUGUCUGAAUUCAUCAUUGUGUUUUCCACAAUUUAAAUCAGACACUUAUGAUCCAAGUCAUUGGAAUGUGCAUAUUCUGAUCAUACUUGCGCUAUUUUGUUUACAUUUGCUUCUGCGGCUUACAUCUCUGAUUUACUUAGGGUCCGACUUGGCAAAAUUCCUGACAGCCGUGCCACAUUAUCGGGAAGGAAAAGUGCUUUGAAAAAGGCCAUGAGAAAUUACGCUGAUAAGAAGUCAGAGUUCGUCGUCAAGCCAGAGAUCGGCCAGGAAUUUGAUUCUUUGGCCGAAGCUUACGACUUCUACAACCUAUACUCGUGGGAGAUUGGUUUUGGCAUCAAGUAUGGGCAAUGCAGAAGAAACGUUGAAAAGUGCAAGACGGUCCAGGACAUAGUUUGCGGAUGCGCGGUGAGUUAUAUCAUCCAGCCGGCUAACAUUUGCAAUUGCAUUCAGUAUGAUAUAUAUCCAAUUUUUUGAUUUUUUGGCUGAAAAGUCCAUAUUUAUGUCUCAUUGCUUUUGUUUACCACCAUUUUAUCAGGGGAAACCACGCAGGGAAAAUUCACAUUCAGUAUGCUGCCAAUGUCUUGCGCUUAUGAGGUUGCAUCGCACGUCAGACCAUGGUUGGUUCAUCCAUGAUGUGAAGCAUGAGCAUAAUCACAGUAUGUCACAAACAUGUGGAGAGAAGUUGCACUGGCCAUCUCAUAGGCACAUUGAUGCCCAUGCCAAAGACAUUGUCAUGCACCUUAGGAACAACAAUAUAUCAUUAAGCAAGACUUUCGGUGUGAUUGCAAGCUUUUUUGGGGAUAUGGAAAACUUGCCCUUUAACAAGAGAUCUCUGCGUUAUCUCUGCAAGAGGAUGAAUCAGCAGCAGGGCGAUGAUGACAUCAGAAAGACGAUACAACUCUUCUCUGAAUUGAAAGAGAAGGAUCCAAACUUUGUCGACAGUGUGCUUGUUGAUGAAGGCAGCAAGAUCAGGGCAUUGAUGUGGACAGACGGUAAGAGCCGACACCAGUACAAAUUCUUUGGAGAUGCAAUAACAUUCGACACAACAUAUCGUACGAACCAGUACGACAUGCCGUUUGGUCUUUUUGUUGGUGUCAACAAUCACUUUCAGAGCAUCAUCCUUGGAGGAGUGUUGCUACGCGAUGAAACAACUGAGACUUUUGGGUGGGUGUUCAAGGAAUUUGCAUCUUUGAUGGGAGGGAAGGCUCCAAAAACAAUACUCACGGGUAAUUUAAAAGCACCAACAAAAUGUAACAUUAAUUCCUUGGAUUACUAUUUCUCUUUGCAUCGCCCUCACCAUGAAUGUCAUUUCUUCAUUUAUCGCAGACCAAGCCCGUGCAAUGGAGAGGGCUAUAUGUUCCCAGUGGCCUGAUACAACUCACAGAUGGUGCAAAUGGCAUGUAUUGCAAAAAGCAAGGGAACAUCUAGGUUCUGUUUAUUCAAAAAACAGUGAUUUCAGAGACGAGUUUCACAAACUUCUCGAGUAUAUGGUCACAGUAGAUGAGUUUGAAACCGCAUGGGCCAGCUUGAUUGAGAAAUAUCAACUUGCAGACCACCCAUGGCUCACUCAAAUAUAUGAAGUUAGAACAAAAUGGGCAAAGCCAUAUUUUGCAGGUGUGUUCUGCGCAAGGAUGACGAGCACACAGCGUUCCGAGAGUGCAAACCGUUGUGUGCAAUGACCAAGGCAGAAUCUGAUGCUUUCAAGGUUCCCUAUGUUGUAUGUGCAGUUACAUAUGUUCUCGCGCCACCGUUGAAGCACAACUACUUCCUGACGGAAUACUGGGGAGGUCUGCACACCCCUGAUCUCAUACACAUGUACAACUGGGGUAAGUAUGUCCGGGAGGAAGUGCUUCUAUCAGCUGGGAGGGUCAAGUCAGAGCUCCUUGGGGGCAAAGUUAAAUCAAACAUCUCUGGUUGCACUUUCUUCAUUCAGGUAUGGGUAAACUAAGCUGGUUUGAGUCUUGUGCAUACGAAGAUGCAUAUGUGAUGACUAAUAUUGUAGAUGAAUAAUGCCACAGGUGUUCUAUCUGGACAAUUUUGAUCUUGAGGACGAGAACCUACCACACGACGUCUUCCCAAGAUGCAAGGUCUAUGAUCAGAAAAAGAUUAACAUGGUUAUUGAAAAGGACACAAGCACAGGAAAGAACGCAGAUAUUGUUAUAUACGGACUACUUCUGGUACAGUCCUAAACGUUGACCCUACUCAUUUUGGUUGUUUUUCAGAUGUUAUCUUUGCAUUAUGUUUGCGACUAACUUGCAGUGAAUAUUUGUUGUUCAGCCGAGGCCGGCGCACACAGUGUGCUAUAGCAGGAACAGAGCUUCAAUGUCCUUCAUUGGCAAGAUUGCUGAUAUCGGAGCCGGGUCAAGCAGAUAUCAAAGAGCACCGAUGAUCGAGGAGGUACUAAAGUUAUCGCAAUAUACAUAUUGACCUACGUGCUAGUGUGUUCAGAAUGCUGCAUGAUGUACAUUCAGUGCUGAUUUCCGUUUUGUGUAAUAUCAGAUUGUUACUAUACUUGUGGAAAAAGUGGGCCAAUAUUCAUCUAGAUGCCGAGCAGCGUUGCAAGCGGCGUCUAAGAAAGGGGCCAAGAUAAACAAAAAGCACGCGGAUGGGUGGGAUGGUGUUGUGAGGGAGACUGACAUUUUCAUUGAAGAAGAGACCUCUAAGAUGCUCGCAGAUAUUGAUGAAAUAUCAGAAACUGUAAGGCAGAACAACAAAAGGCUAAGGGAACAAGACUACCAAGGUAAACGAGUUAUGCUAUGAAUAUGACCAAAAUUAAAUGGACCGGGACUUGAUGAAUCAUAUGUUGUGCUUGUGAUUGAUACCUUUGUAUUGACGAUACAGGUGAUGAUGUCUCGCCUGAAGAGUCCGGAGAAGAGUCGCCAUUUUCACCACGUUCGGCCAUUUGUCCUGUGAAUACAGAUAAUCGGAAUGUAGAUGAUGGUAAUCCUAUCCAUAGGUCAAAUGACAGUCAACGGGGUGGUUCCCCGAAAAGAGCAAGGGUCGAAGAGACAGAGGAGGAUCCUGACCCGGCGAUUAAGAAUCUGGAAGGACUGGUCGCGGCAGCAGACCAAGACAAUGAAGUAACAAAUGACACUGUGGUGCAUGAACAAAUGCCAAUCCAGGCCAAAGCAGCAGAUGGUAGGCAAUGGGUAUAUGGCCCUAAUGCAGCGCUUAACACAGAGGUUCCCUUAUAUGACCUCGGAAUAGACAAUGCUGAGCCAGUCCUGUCACCGGGAAGGGAAUUGUCAGUUGUGGCUAAAACUCAACAACCGUUCCACAUUCAGCAUCACACUACCCAGGCCGGUCCAAGCAGAUUCAAAAUAGAUUUCACAGGUUUUAGGAGCAAAGACCUGAUGGAUGAUUUCAGUAGAGCGGUGACACCAGAAGGUAAAUUGAUUUUGUCCCAUGGGAUGUACCAUACUUCGCCAGUCAUCUUUCAAUAUUUCUGUACCUAACAUGCUUUGUCAAUAGUUGUAGGUACGAGCUCCGUGCCAUCAGCUAACACAACACCUGUAUCAACAUAUGGGAAAAAUGAACUCCAAGGUGAUAGAACAUGUAAUGAAUAACACUAACACACUGUGUGAUGCUGUAUUUGGAUCAUGCUGAUGUUGGGAAAAUGUGCAUUGCAGGCUCACGGCUUGACAUAAUAUGCACUCCUGUGCACAGGGCGAUAGAGCCGAAUAAGGCGGCGGGAACAACACCUGUUAGCCUGAACAGGGAGAUCGCGGCACAAGAGUUGGACGUACGUGAGGAGAUGGAGGAGGCAGCAAUCAACCUGAACGUUCCACAGACACAAGAUGGCCUCAGUACACAGCCACAACGAAAAAGAACAGUUAAGCCAGGCAAGGCUGCACGGUCCCCUUUUGUUCUGGGGUACGAUCCUCCCCUAAGAGCACCAGCUAAUGUUGCAAAGGUCUUCAAGAUGUUUAUGAAGGAGCCCGCAUCUGCAAGGAAAGAGUAUGUACUAUUUAUGCGGCAUCCAGCAAUAUUUCCAUAGAUUUCAAUCUUUUUCUAGGGUGCUUGUCACAAGCGAUUCUCACAUUAUCGUGUGUUUUUACAUUUGCAGCAAUUGGGUUAUAAGCACUCAGCCAAAAUACAUCGAGCUCUCUGCCGAGCGAAUCAGGAUGAACCUUUCGGAAGGGGGUGUGAUAGAUAAUGAUUUGAUGACAAUAGCAGUUAGAAGAUAUCAGCAGAUUGACUACACUUUUGCAUUGGAUAAAGAUGAAGGGUGCUGGCGACAUUGGCUCGAGCCAGACUUUGUGGUGAGGACAGCAUUUUAUGCUUAAGUAAUAUGUAUUUUUGAUAUGAUCAAGCAGCUCUGCCUAAUGAUUCGUUGUUUGAUUUGACAGAACCAUGUGAGCAGAGGAGACGUGAUUGUGAGGUAUGUGCAGGACAUGUUUAUUGGGGAACAUAUCAAGUAUGACGUACACCUCAAAAGAGUUAUUGGGGAAUCUAUAGACAGCUGGCCCACAACCGAUGCAAUACAUCUCCAUAUACGUACACCAAAACAAUCACAUGCUCGGGAAUACGCUGCAUGGCUGGGACAACAGUGGGGCAGGUUGAUUUGACUGCACCGGAGAUGGACGGCAAGGAUACAAGUUAUGCGCGCAACUAGUUAGACAAAAUCCGCGUCCGAAGAUGUGGGCUACUUUGGCGGAGCAGAGGCAGAGCCAGACGAGGCUUAUCGUCUCGGCCGUGGAGGCCAGGGCGGCGAAGCGGCUCAAGGCCAAGGACGAGGAGAUUGAGCGGAUCAGGAGCAUGAACUGGGCGCUCGAGGAGCGCCUGAGGAGCCUCUUCAUGGAGGCCCAGAUGUGGCGAGACGUCGCGCAGUCCAACGAGGCCACGGCCAACGUGCUCCGCGGCGACCUGCAGCGGGCGCUCGACGUCCAGGCGGUCCAUGGCGGUGGAAGCGGCCAUGGUCAGGAAGACGACGCCGAGUCGUGCUGUUGGGGGGAGAACCAGGUGCCCCUCUACGCGGAGGAGGAGGUGGGCACGCCGGUAGUGGAGGAGCGUCACGCGACGGGAGCAGGAAGGUGCAAGGGGUGCCGCGAGGGCGCGGCCGUUGUGCUACUGCUGCCGUGCCGGCACCUCUGCGUGUGCGCGUCGUGCGCGGCCGCGGCGCAGGCGUGCCCGGCGUGCGGAAGCGCCAAGAAUGGCAGCGUCUGCGUCAACUUUUCGUGAUGCGGGACGAAUAGUUUUAGAGUCGGCAUUUUGUUUCCUUCUGAAACUUAUUAGAGUCGACUUUUGUUUGUAUUCUUUUGUUCACUCCUUUUGUUAUCGUUGUUGUUGACGGAGGUGAUAGAUAGGAGGAUGGUUGGAUGACAUAGAUAUGAGAGCAUGAGUUUCCUUUUUUUUUUAGUUUAGCUUUUGGCCCAAGCUGUUGGAUCAAUCUUUUAACAAGAAGAAAGACAGUUCAUAAUAUUGCAUAUCAAUGCUGGAAAUUAAAUACAUAGAUUAGGAGUUAGACAACAUAUAUGGGGUGUGUCUAAUGGUUUUGUGGCAGGGGAUGGUGAAGCGGGUCAAAGAUAGGAAUCCGAUUCAGAUCCAAUGGUAGAGUGACUUGAAUUUAAAGAACUUUUGCUCGGUUGGCAAAAGGUUGGUUAAAAUUUAUACGAUCCACUAUAUAUAGAAGGUCAUUAUUUAAUUAC